UUUGUCCGGAGCUAGUAAUGUCUAGCGCACAACCGUUAUGGCACCUGUGCACCUGAUUCGAAAAUGGAUACAUGAGAAAGAGCUACCUAGAAAAAUAGAUUGCUGACUUUUGGGGUGUGGUUUUCAUAAGGUUGUAAUAGUGGUAUCAGAGCCACCUAUCACCCUCCAUGCCCAUUGUGCCUGGGAUGGUGACAUCAGUAUGACAGUGUUUGGUUAGGGUUAGUAAUGUCUAGUGCACAAACAUCCCGGCACCUGUGCACCUGACUCGAAGGGAAAGCGCUACCUAGAAAAGUAGAGUAAAAUCUAUAUAUCGGGGAUAAAGGAUGCGAAGCGUGGUCGUUUGUUAUAAUCCGUUGCAAAAAGUCCCACAUUUGUAUUACAAAGUAUCUGCGUGCGGUAUUUAUAGCCUUGGGUUCUCCACCUUAAUAGAUAACUUUUGGGGUGUGGUUUUCAUAAGGUUGUAAUAGUGGUAUCAGAGUCACCCAUCUCCUCCGUGCACACCGUGCCUGGGUUGGUGACGCUAGUAUGAAAGUGUUCGACCGGGGCUAGUAAUGUCUAGCCCACAACUGUCGUGGCGCCUGGGCACUUGACUCAAAAGGGCUUCUGGAAACAGCUAUCUACAAAAGUGGAGUGAGGACGAAGGAUGUGGUUUGUUAUGACCCAUUGCAAGAAGUCCCACAUUGGUACUUGUCAGUAGUAAGUGCAAACGUCUAGGUUGAACAAUAUAUGAACAAACAUUAGGUAGGCGUUUGGCCGUGAAAACAAACAAAAAUAACCUUUCUGGGUUACGCCAUACAUUGGAGUUGUAUUACGCCAUACAUUUUGCAAAUAUUUACAAUUUAAACAUAUUUUUUCUUCUUUCUCGUGGUCGCUACUCAUUCUCUAUGCGUUCAACUUUCUUUCUUUCGCUUCAGCGACUGUUAUGCCAAUACCAUGACUCAACAAUAUGUGUAUCAUGCAAACAUGGUUUCGAAUAGGUGGACCAAUAAUGCGACGACACAUAACAUGCCUCCAUUGUUCAAUCGUACUCAAACCAUUCUAUAAAUAUAGCCAUUCAUAAUCAAAAUACUACAUUCAAGUCCAACAGAUGAACGAUAAGUACCUAAAUGUUCCUACUAAAGCUAGAUAUCUUCCUAGAACAAAGCAAGUCGACCAGAAAGCUAGAUAAGAACUUUUUGCCGAGGGAGGUCGUAGUCUAGUGCAACAACUCGACCAGACAGCCUUCGUGUCAACUGGAGCUUAAUUUGCGGAUAGCAGCACCAACGCAGAACAGCUGGUCUUUCUUGCUAUUGUAAAUCCUACAUAUUUGGCGAGAGUAUUGAAUAGCCAGUGUCUUGCAUAUGCAAAGAUCUUCCGGUCCAACCUCCGAAAUUGUUCUCUUGAGCUUGUUUUCGGGAUCAUCACGACACAAAAACACCCCUAAAGCAGUAAUCCUGAAAGAAAAACCAGGCAAAAACGAAUUACUAAGUGAGUAAUCGAAUGAACAUACUAGACUUACCCCUACCGUAGAGGUAGAAGGCUAUUUCUGAUAGACCGUCACAAAUUUUCUUUUCACAAACUAAGGAAAAAGAACUAUCGAGAGAUUGAUAUAUACCUAUUUUUGUCGAUCUUACUCAUCGAGGAGAAUUUGUUUCCAGAAAUUUGUUGACGGUACAAAGCACAUACAGCAUUUAGACAAAGCUCGACAUCCGUAUAAAAUGUAGAACAAAAAUCGUCUUCAGACGUCCAUUCUAUACCGGACUUAUUCCCAGGAUUAACCAAUUCUGGAAUAAAUGAUGUUAUUUGACCCUCAUUCAUGCUUCUUUUUCUCUUCCGUGUCGAAUUAGAGUAGCCUUUUCCGUGCACUUCCUUUUUCUGUCCGCGAGUUUUUGAAGCACGAGCGAUUUCAGUUAACGUCAGUUCAUCAUCACAGUCGUUCAUUACACGAACAGGCGUAGUUUCUGGUUCGUCUAACGCUUCACUUAAGACUAGUGCUUUACAUGCCGAUGGAUCUGCAAGAAGAUUAUAUGCGAUAACAUCUUAAAUUUUCAUCUUUUAAGCUGAUGUAUGAAACUUAUCCGUCCAAUAAAAGUAUGAUAGCCUCCAAUAUAAGUAACAUAACAACAACAACUUAAGUAACAUAACAACAACAACUUAACUAGUAUAAUCCUCAUGUACGCAGACCUUACCUCUAUCUUCUGCGGUAGAGAGGCUGUUUAAGAUAGUCCAGCGGCUCAAAAGAAAGAAAAAUGAAUCACGUUUGCAUGAAAACACGACAAUAUCCUAGUAGGAUGCAAAGCAACUAAAAGGGGAAACGAAGACAGACAAGAAAGGAAAAACUUAACUGCAGCAAAGUGGCUAAAAUGGACACAGCGUGUAACAGUGGAUGAAGUGGACGUAGCAAGUGUUUUGUCGGAAUUGCUUUCUACUCGAGCAUCUAGUGUUUCUUUUUUCAUUUUUCGUGAGUGUGUCUGUGUCGUUGUGGUGGUGUUAUUUUCAGUAUAUCAUGAAGAAUCAUCAGAAAAUAUCAUACCGAUAACCGUUUAACAGAACAACAGUAACUACUAUACCUCAAUCCAAAGAGUUGAGGUCGGCAAUAUGAAUCCUAAUGAAAUAUCCACAUAAUACAAACAGAUCGUAACAACAAGAAGUCGCCUAAAUCACAAAACUGUUAUACCUUUGAGUCUCGAUUCACCACUGCUAUUUCCGGUUGGGGUGCCAACAAGUUUCGGAUCAUCAAAAAGCACGAUUGCCCGAUCUUCUCCUUGAGUAGAUUCCACGCUGUUAACGCCAGUCGCACCAGUAACUUGAAGGCCUGUUUCCACCUCCAAAUCUAUAGCAAAUUUUCAGAAAACACACGCAUCAACAUAAAGAAGGGGAGCCUUGGAGUAACUGGUAAAGUUGCUGUCAUGUGACCAGAAGGUCACGUGUUCAAGCCUUGGAAACAGCCUCUGGCAGAAAUGCAAGGCAAGGCUACGUACAAUACACCCUUGUGGUGGGGCCCUUCCCCGGACACCGCGAUAGCGGUAGCUUUAGUGCACCGGGUUGCCCUUUUUGUACACACAUCAACAUAAAGAAUUUUCCAAAUUAGUUAAAUAAUUAAACGCGACAAAUAACUAAAAUAGAUUUUGCUAAUAUAGUAAAAUCAAGAUAUACUAUCUAUCAACACACAUUAUGAAAUGAUACGUAAACAAGUUGCAUGAAACAAUAAAACACAUAAUAACAACAAUACCUUCAUCAUUUUUUCUCUGAUUUUCCACCAUAAGAGAAACUUCACCCCUCAACUCUCUUAGUUUCUCUGCUAGCAAGCCACGCUUUCACUUGUCGCGUUCUCUAUUUCUUUGAUUCUCUCGGACAACAAAUCGUUGUCCUUCUUAUAGUACUUGCGAUGAUCUUCUAUUAUCAUAUUAUACGUUUUUUCCAUAUUCCUGUUUCUUUCCUCCAUUUUUUUUUCACAUUUCAUUAGAGUUCUUUGCACAAAAGAGUAGUGUUCUUCUUUAACCACAUGUUUUUCCUUAAAGAUCGAAAGUGCUUCUGCGAUCGAUGUCCUCUUCGACGCAGAAUCCAUUAUCAAAACUGUGAUAACGAGAUUUUCUUGAUAUAGCGAAAAAGUGUGACGCAGUUAAAACUGCGAAAAUGAUGUGAUGUUUUUUUUACUUGAAAUUUAUAUAUAUAGGAACUUUGGAAGUGUGAAAAGAAGAAAGUGUACUACAUACAUUAGGAUUUGGGAAGUGAAAAUUUAAAAGAGCAAAUGUGAAAAAUAAUAAUUAGUAUUUGGUCAAGAUUUCAGGAAUAUAAGAGUCAUUACUAUAGGCUAUUAUUUAUUACAUUAUACCUUGAAAUUCGGGUAGAUAAGUUCAAAAAAGUAAAACAUUUAAAGUACAUUUGGUUUUUCUGCAAAAGAAUGAAUGUAGUCGUAAUCCUUGUAAUAUACAUAGAUAACUUAAUUAGUUAGGAAUUUAUGUUCGUGUGUACAUACUUGCUAAUUUGUGGAAUAAUAUAUCGAUUCAUUCUCUCGUACCUUUAUUACAUGGUAUCAGAGUCAUUGUCUUUGCCGGAGGUGAGAACAAGGUAAUUAGUGGUAUUAUUAGGGUGCACAUUGAGUUUCGUUAGUUUUGAGGGGUAUUUGAUAAGUGGGCUACUUGAAGAACUACACGAAAUGCCCACCAACUUGGGGACCUGGUCCCGAACUAACGUAUCCAGUAAUCUUGAAUACAGACUCCAUUUUACAGACUCCAUUUUUCAAGGAUUAACGUCUUAACCCUUCUUCAACUUGUAAUAACUCUAUUACAACAAACUCCAAUGCAAUAACUCUAUUGCAUUAACUGACACAACUGACUCUAGCUGACACUUUUGUGACAAGAACACACUGAGCAACAUAAUAUAGCUGACAUUUGUAUUGUUCGAUGUUCCAACAAUAAAAGCAUAACAUGCAUCCAUAUGUUCAAUUGUACUCAACCAUUCUAUAUAUAUAGCAACAUAACCAAAAUACUAGGUUGAAGUCCAAUAGAUGAACGAUAAGUACCUAAUUGUUCCUACUACAGCUAGAUAUUUUCCGAGAACAAAGCAAUUCUAGUACAAGAACUUUUUCCCGAGGGAGCUCGGAGUCUGAUGUAAAAACUCAACCCCUCAUUCGCAGCUAGCUAAUUUACUCGGAAGCAGCAUUGUUCAUGCUUCUUUUCCUCUUUUGCAUCGAGUUAGAGGAGCCUUUCACGUGCACUUCCUUUUUCUGUCCACGGUGUUUUGAAGCACGAGCAAUUUCAUUUAACGUCAUAUCAUCAUCAUUGUCGUUCAUCACACGAACAGACAUAGUUUCUGGUUUGUCCGCGAGAAAAUAUAUGUAACAUAUUAAGUUAGCUCCUUUUAAAUUGACAUAAGAAACUCAUCUGUCCAAUAAAAGUGUGAUAUCCGCCAAUAUAAGUCACACAACAACAACAACUUACCCAAGUAAGACCUGAGAGGGGUAGGAUAUAUGCAAACAUUACCUAUACCAUUACGGGUAGAGAGGCUGUUUAAGAUAGUCCCUCGGCUCAAAAGAAAGAAAAAAGAAUCAUGUUUGCAUGAAAACAUGACAAUAUCCUACUAAAAGGGGAAAAUCAAGACAGACGAGAAAGGAAAAAAAUUAACUACAGCAAAGUGGCUAGAUCGACAAAGCUAAAAAACAUGUAACAGUGGACGAAGUGGAUGUCUAGAGGAUACGAUGCAAGUGUUUGUCGCAGUCGCUUUCUACUUGAGCGUCAAGUGUUUCAUUUUUUUAAUUUUUGUGUGUGUUUGAGUGGUUGUGGCGGUGUUAUUUUUAGUGUAUCAUGAAGAAUCAUCAGAAAACAUCAUACCUAUAACCGUUUAACAGCACAACAGUAACUAUGUUAUACCUCAAUCCAGAGUUGAGGUUGGCUAUAUGAAUCCUAAUGAAAUAUCCACAUAAUAUAGACAGAUCGUAAUAACAACAAAGUUGCCUAAAUCACAAAACCAUUAUACCUUUGAGUCUCGAUUGGCCACUGCUCUUUCUGGUUGAGGUGCCAACACUUUUUGGAUCAUCAAAAAGCACAAUUGCCCGAUCUUCGCCUUGAGAAGAUUCCACGUUGUUACGCUUCAAGUUUACUCCAGUUGCACCAGGAGCUUGACGGGCUGUUUCCACCUCCAAAUCUAUAGCCAAAUAAGGUAUGAGAACAACAAACGUAAUUUAGUGCGACUGAUGAAAAUGUAUUCAUUUGCUUUUCGUAGGAUCAAUCAUCAUUUACCAAACUUUAUCCGACUCCAAAUUAGUUGAUUAAUUGAAUGCCACAAAUAAUUUAAACAGGUUUUGCAAAUACAGUAAAAUCACUCUUAUCAAAACGAUAAGCUAAGUACAUAAAACGAUACGUAACAAGUUCAAAUUACAGCAAUACCUUCGUCAUUUUUUCUCUUCGUUUCCUUCAAACGAGAAAUUCUACCUCUAAACUCGAUGAUUUUCUCCUCGUAGCGAGCCUCUUUAUCACUUUUGCCUUCUUUACCUUUUCAAUUCUAUCAAAUAGCCAGUCAUUUUUCUUUUUAUACUCCUUGUAGUCCUCUUCUAUUAUUUUACUGUACUUUUUGUCGAUACUUCUUUUUUCUUCCUCGAAACCUUUUUCGCAAUCCAUCAGAAUUUUUCGCACAAAAGGGAAGUCUUUUUCUUCAACCAUUUGUUUUUCCUUCAUGAUUGAUAGCAAUUCAGGGAUCGACAUCAUCUUCAAUGGAUAUCAAAGAUGUGAUGAAAGGCUUUACUUGAAACAACAAAAGAACGCGGCGCGGCUAACUGUGAAAAAAAUUGAUCUUUUUUAGUUGAAAUGGUGGUGUGAAGCGGAAAAAGACAAUAAUAUAGGGAAGAUUACGCAGAUAAAUUCAAACGAAUGAAACAUGAAAACACAUGUAAAAACAAUAAUUAGUACUAUUUGUUCAAGAUUUCAAGAAUAUAAGACUAUUUGAUACUUUUACAUUAAAGAUUAGCCAAACACCUCAGCUUUUAAAGUAAAACAUUAAAAGUACAUUUGGUUUCUGCAAAAGAAUGAAUGUAGUCGUAAUCCUUGUAAUAUACAUAGAUAACUUAGUUUAGUAAUUAUAGGAUAUCCUUUUUUGCUCCAUCCAUAAUAAGAUAUCGAUUCAUUCCCUCAUACCUUUGUGGUAUCAGAGCCAUUGUCUGAGUUGGUAUUUUGUAUUUAUCGGAGGUCACUAUGACUUCGCUGAGCACAUCGGAUUAGUUGUAGACUGUAGUUAGCAUUUAAAAGUUCUUUACGCGGACAUUAUUUGGAAAAAUCAUAUGCGCGAUCAAUGGCAACUUGAACUUAGCACUUUAGCAACAGUUGUAUCAUGUUGCUGUAUAUGGAAAAAUCGUGCGUAAGAGUUGUAUCAGUGCAUAUUAUAUCAAUUUUGAUAGCUACUUUUGCUAAAUACAGUAGUUUUCUUUACUCUUUUAAACUAUACUACAACAACAAACCUAGUGUAUUGCCACAAAGUGGGGUUUGAGGAGGGUAAAAUGUGUGCAGACCAUACCACUAACUCAGGUGAAGUAGAGAGGCUAUUUUCGAUAGACCCCCGGCUCAGGACAGAUAAUAGUAUAACAAACCAAAAAACAUAAAAUCACAAAACAAAAAUGGGAUAACACACCACUAGAUAAUAAAGAAAAUAAGGCACCCACAAGGUAAUACUAUAAACUAUCUAUUCGAAAUCAAAGUCAUCAUCGAAACACCACGAACAAGCAACUACUAGUGUAGACACAAACAUGAUGAACUCCUACCCAAUAACCCUCUACCCUAAUCUACGUCCUCCACACCUUCCUAUCAAGGCUCAAGUCCUCCUGUAACAGCUCUAUAUCAUGCCUAAUCACCUACCCCAUAAAAAACCAUCCAUAGCCUCUCACACCUCAGAACUGGAGCAUCCGUGCCCCUCUUUAUUACAUGCUCAAACCAUCACAAACUAUACUACAUUUCAUGAAUAAAGUGUAAAUAUUUUUCACGUCGCAUGGUUUUUCCUAGAAAUAACUUAACUAUAGUAAGGCGACAGAAAGUUGAGAUGACACAUAUUCAAAGUUUUUAUGAGAAUAUUUCCCAUAUCUUUAUUAGUUUGAGGCAGACACAAGAAGCAAACUAAGUGUUUCCAACGAGUAGUGAAGAGUUGCAGUGGGUCGCUUCUCAACUCAGGGACCUGUUCCAAGAUGAACUCACGCAAGAACUAGGAAGAUGAACAGUAAAAGUACGUGGAAAGAUUAAUAGCAGACACAAGAGUUUUACGUGGAAACUCUUUGCUCAAGGGAGAAAAUACUAUGACCUGCCUCCAGGAAUUAACCUCUUAAUCCUUUGUCCCUUGGCAAUAACUCUAUUACAAGGAAACACAAGUAGUAACUCUACUGCUUCAACCUCCAGCUAACUCUAACUGGACAUAACAAGCUAACUCUAAAUGAUUACGAAGAAAAAGGUUUGAACCUCAACACCUACUAAUAAUCAUAAGCAAAUGUAGGCAAACGUUUAAGAACAGUACAUAAGGACUCAACUACAACAAAGAAGUAAAAAUACAACUCGAUGAACCAUCAGUUCCAUGUUGCAGUGUAUAGUCUUUGAUUCAGUUUUUGAAAGAUAUUUAUAUGUGAGAAUAUGGAAGAGUUAGUUUUCUUGUUGAGGAAGAUGAUCAAUAUAUAGUAUGACACAAGAAAACUCAGGAGAGAUCUCAUUGGCUGAGGCAAAAAGGUGGCAACAUCUUUUUCCACCAACUUUUGUACUUUGUGUCAGCUGUGACUGUUAACCGUGUCCGUAGAAGCCUUUUCAUCACAAAAACUCCAGGAAACAGGUUCCAACAUGCAAAUUACAUAUAGUUUGUCAAUCAUCAAAACUACGGACUUAACAAGUAGUUUUCAUUGGUUGUCCCUUUUAUGGCCGGUUGUUUAGUAAAUGAUCCUGCUUUUAUUUCUCUUGCAACUUACGGACCUUUUUCAUCACAAUCAACAAAUAAUCUUUUUAACGAAAUUGAGAAAACAAUAGACCACGGUCUAAAUUAUUGUCAGUAACUACAAACGUCAAGGUUGGACAAUAUAUGAACAACCAUUAGGUAGGCGUUUGGCCGUGAAAACCAAAAAAAUUAACCUUAUUUGGAAUUUUCAAAGUUGGAGUUGUAUUACACCAUACAUUUUGCAAAUAUUUAUAAUUUAAACGUAUUUUUUCUUCUAUCUCAAGGUCGCUACUCAUUCUCUAUGCGUUCAACUCUUUUUUCUGAGUUAUUCAAACACAAAAUCAUUCUUUUGCUUCAGCGACUGUUAUGCCAAUACCAUGACUCAACAAUAUGUGUAUCGAGCAAACAUGGUUUCGAAUAGGUGGACCAAUAAUGCGAUGAAACUUAACAUGCCUCCAUUGUUCAAUCGUACUCAAACCAUUCUAUAAAUAUAGCCAUUCAUAAUCAAAAUACUACAUUCAAGUCCAACAGAUGAAUCAUAAGUACCUAAUUUUUCCUACUAAAGCUAGAUAUCUUCCCAGAACAAAGCACGUCGACCAGACAGCUAGAGAAGAACUUUUUGCUGAGGGAGCUCGUAGUCUGGUGCAACAACUCAACCAGACAGCCUUCGCGUCAACUGGAGCUUCAUUUGCGGAUACCAACACCAGCGCGGAACAACUGGUCUUUCUUGCUAUUGUAUAUCCUAUAUAUUUGGCGAAAGUAUCGAAUAGCCAGUGUCUUGCAUAUGCAAAGAUCUUCCGGUCCAACCUCCGAAAUUGUUCUCUUAAGCUUGUUUUCGGGAUCAUCACGACACAAAAACACCCCUAAAGCAGUAAUCCUGAAAGAGAAAACAAGCAAAAAUAGAUUACAAAGAUUGUCUUUUCACGAACUAAGAAAAAAACUAUCGAGAGAUUGAUAUAUACCCAUUUUUGUCGAUCUUUGAUAUAUACCCAUUUUUGUCGAUCUUACUCAUCGAGGAGAAUUUGUUUCCAGAAAUUUGUUGACGGUAAAAAGCACAUACAGCAUUCAAACAAAGCUCGUCAUCCGUAUAAAAUGCAGAAUAAAAAUCGUCUUCAAACGACCAUUCUAUACCCGACCUAUUCCCAGGAUUAGCCAAUUCUGGAAUAAAUGAUGUCAUUUGACCAUCAUUCAUGCUUCUUUUUCUCUUUCGCGUCGAAUUAGAGGGGCCUUUCAAGUGCACUUCCUUUUUCUGUCCACGACUUUUUGAAACACGUGCUAAUUAUGCAACAACCAAGAGGGUUGUUGUGUCUGUUGUCGCAAGUUAUUUCCUUUCAAACCGGUACAUGAGAGGAUGACUUCUCUUUCUAGGCAAGGACUCACGUGGAGAUAUGGUAAAAAAAUAUAUACCCCUUACGUGAAUUAUGUUUAGAACUAACGAUUUUUGUUUGAGAUGUUGUCAACAGCAUCCGAGAGGAUGAAAAUCUCAAAUCAAACCACAGGUGUGGACUACUCCGAAAAGGACCUUACCUCUAUCUUUUGCAGUAGAGAGGCUGUUGUAGAUAGUCACUCGACUAAAAAGAAAGAAAAAUGAAUCACGUUUGCAUGAAAACAUGACAAUAUGAAAAUAUAUACCUCUUACGUGAAUUAUGUUUAGAACUAACGAUUUUUGUUUGAGAUGUUGUCAACAGCAUCCGAGAGGAUGAAAAUCGCAAAUCAAACCACAGGUGUGGACUACUCCGAAAAGGACCUUACCUCUAUCUUUUGCAGUAGAGAGGCUGUUGUAGAUAGUCACUUGACUCAAAAGAAAGAAAAAUGAAUCACGUUUGCAUGAAAACAUGACAAUAUCGUAGCAAGAUACUAAGCAACUGAAAAGGGAAACCAAGACAAGACGAGAAAGGAAAAAAAAAUUAACCGCAGCAAAGUGGCUAGAUGGACAAAGUAACCAGCUUGUUCGGAUAAACAAUAACCUAAUAGGGCGCCAAUAAGCUAAAAAGGUGCAAUCAAAUACUAGAGCAACCAUAGCUUAGACCUAUACAACCCCUCAUAAAGCCGAUAGAUACAAGCACCAAACUAUUAUACGCGUAUGAAUGAAUAAAUGCACAUAAACCAAUAGUAACACAUAUCCGAUCCUAGUACCAAAUGUACCAAUUGUAUACACCUUCCCUAGCUCAGAAUCUCACAAAGGCAGGACCUAUGGCGAGCAUCCUUCUCAGGUACUGUGGCUCACAACAAAGGGGCGGGCCCAUAGGGGACUUGAGAUAUCCAUACACUACUUGGUCUCGAAACAGGACUUCCCAUAACCAUCAUAAUCAAUCUACUCCGUCCAAUACCGGAGAUCUAUCUAUCUAUAUAUAAGUAUAAUCGGUGCACGGUCUCAAAUUGCGACUAAAAGAGUGUCUAGUGUUUCUUUUUUUAUUUUUGGUGUGUCUGUUUGGUUGUGGUGGUGUUAGUUUUAGUGUAUCAUGAAGAACCAUCAGAAAAUAUGAAUCCUAAUAAGGGCAGCCCGGAGCACUAAAGCUCCUUUAUGCACGGUGUCCAGGGAAGAGCCCCACCACAAGGGUGUAUCGUACGCAGCCUAACCUUGCAUUUCUGCCAGAGGCUGUUUCCAAAGCUUAAACUCGUGACAGCAACUUUAAUACUUACUCCAAGGCUCCCCUUCUAACCGUCAUACCUUUUGAGUCUCGAUUCACCACUGCUAUUUCCGGUUGAGGUGCCAACCGGUUUUGGAUCAACAAAAGGCACGAUUUCCCAAUCUUCGCCUUGAGUAGAUUCCACGUUGUUAACACCAGUCGCACCAGUAGCUUGAAGGCCUGUUUCCACCUCCAAAUCUAUAGCAAAUUUUCAAAAAACACAUCCGACUCCAAAUUAGUUAAAUAAUUGAACGCGACAACUAACUAAAAUAGGUUUCGCAAAUGCAGUAAUAUUAUGAAACGAUACGUAACAAGUUGCAUGAAACAAUAAAAACACAUAAUAACAACAAUACCGUCAUCAUUUUUUCUCUCAUUUUCCACCAUAACAGAAACUUCAUCCUCAACCCUCUCAAUAUCUCCGCGUAGCAAUCCACGCUUUCAAUUGUCUCGUUCUCUAUUUCUUCGUUUCUCUCAGACAACAAAUCGUUGUCCUUCUUUUAGUACCUACGAUGCUCUUCUAUUAUCAUAUUAUACGUUUUUUACAUAUUCCUGUUUCUUUCCUUGAUUUUCUUUCCACAUUUCAUUAGAUAUCUUUGCACAAAAGAGUAGUGUUCUUCUUUAACAAUUCGUUUUUCCUUAAAGAUCUUCUGCGAUCGAUGUCCUCUUCGACGAAAAUGUGAUAAUAAUGAGAUUUUCUUGAUAUAGCGAAAAAGUGCGACGCAGCGAAAAAUCAAACUUUUUAGUUGAAAUGUAUAUAUAGGAACUUUGGAAGUGUGAAAAGAUGAAAGUGUACUACAUACAUUGGGAUUUGGGAAGAUAAAUGUAAAAGUGCAAAAUGUGAAAAAUAAUAAUUAGUAUUUGGUCAAGAUUUUACGAAUACAAAAAUAAUUAGUAUAGAUUAUUAUUUGAUCAGACCACAACAUACCUUGGAAUUGGGUAGAUAAGUUUAAAAAAGUAAAACGAAAAAAAAAAAAAACGCUUAAAAACAAUAAUUAAUAGUUGGUGAAGAUUGUAAGAAUAAUUACUAUAGGCUAUUAUUUAACUAUAUUACACCUUGGAAUUCGGGUAGAUAAGACUAAAAAAGUUAAACAGAAAAAAUACACUUAAAAACAAUAAUUAGUUUUGGUAAAGAUUUGAAGAAUGUAAGAAUAAUUAGCAUAAGUUAUUAUUUGACUACAUCACAAUAUACAUUAGAAUUCGGGUAGAUAAGUUCAAAAAAAGUAAAACAUGAAAGAUACAUUUAAAAAUAAUAAUUAGUAUUUGGUCAAUAUUUUAAGAAUACAAAUAUAAUAAGUAUAGAUUAUUAUUUGACCAGACCACAAUAUACCUUGGAAUUCGGUAGAUAAGUUCAAAAAAGUAAAACGUGAAAACACAUCUAAAAACAAUAAUAAAUAUUUGGUCAAUAUUUUCAGAAUAAUACAAAUAUAAUAAGUAUAGAUUAUUAUUUCAUCGGACCACAAUACACCUUGGAAUUCGGGUAGAUAAGUUCAAAAAAAUAAAACGUGAACAACCUAUUAUUUGUGGCAUAAGUCUAUAUUUUCUCACUAAGCAUAAAUUCGAUUGCUAAAGGACAAAAUCUAAAGAUCAGACUAUUUAAAGGGCACAACUCAUGAAAUUUCUUCCUAUUGCAUGUUCAAUAGCUCGUAAAUUACGAGUGACUAUUGAAUAUGUUUUGGAGAAGAUCUGUCAAUAUAUUUCCACAAAGUUUAACUUACGCCAUAUAUAAUUGAGACACCCAGUAGAUAUAUUGUAACACUCCGACGUCUUCUUAGCUAAAUUUCGUCCAUGGAAAGUCUAAGCAUUAGCUUCUAGAAUGGUUUAAAUUAAUUUUCAUGUAGAAUUUCCUACAUUUCAACCUUUCAUUACGUAGAUGACUAAAUUAGCUUUCCAACGAUAUAAGAUUCGUCCAAAACGGACCCUCAGUGAAGAAGUUAUGAAUAAUUUAUAGUUCAGUCGUAAACAUCAUCAUUUUGGUGUCUAGCGCAUCGCGGAGAGGGUAAAAUUGACAAUCGUCAAAUUCCAGUGGGGCUCAGCGUUGGUGGCGCAUCGCGGAGGCACCCAAUUUCCCACUCAUCAAAUUCCAUUGGACCACCGCGAUUGCGGCGCGUCGCGGUUGUUUUGCAAAAAUUUUUGAUUUUUGAAAGAGUCGCCACUUAAUUUUGAAAAGGAAUUAAGAAACCUUUAUAAAAUAUUUUAAACCAUUCAAAACAGGGAAAUCGUUUUAAGUUAGAGAUUCUAGAUAAGCGGUUCCUAUUAACAUUUUAGGAAGGUGUUAGGCAUGUAAAACGUCCGCUAACUUGCGGUUAUCCGAACUGUUUGAAAAUUGUCUUUUGAUUAACUUCGAAAAGAUUAAUUUGUAGAAAUAGUGAUUUGAUUUUUUUUUUUUAAAAAAAAAGACUUGUGUAAAAUAGAUUUAGGCGACUUAGUAGGGAUUUUAACUAAGUCUAAACAAAACUAAUAAACAAAUAAACGCAUAAAAGGGGAAGGGAGGAGAAAGUAAAGGAUUUAGGCCAUUAGGCCCAAAUCAACGAGACCUGUCCUAGUCUAGUUGGGCUUCCAACCCAUUUCACCUGUCCUAANNNNNNNNNNNNNNNNNNNNNNNNNNNNNNNNNNNNNNNNNNNNNNNNNNNNNNNNNNNNNNNNNNNNNNNNNNNNNNNNNNNNNNNNNNNNNNNNNNNNNNNNNNNNNNNNNNNNNNNNNNNNNNNNNNNNNNNNNNNNNNNNNNNNNNNNNNNNNNNNNNNNNNNNNNNNNNNNNNNNNNNNNNNNNNNNNNNNNNNNNNNNNNNUUUUUUUUGCAUGCAAAGAAAAGAUAAAGAAAUUAAUAUAUGUUCAAGGCAUAAAAGUGACAUAUUUCAAAGUAAAAGAAACUAUCAAGAAUCAAUUUUUGAAUGACAAGAAUAAGCACACUUGCACAAGAAUGAGAGCCAACAAAUAAAAAAUGCAAAGCAAAAGUUUCACAAUCAUACUAUGCAUCAGUCAAAAAUAUCCAAAUUAAAGAUAAGAUGAGGCGGAAGAUAAUGUGGGGGAAAAUAGUACAAUAUAGUACAAUCUUUGAAUUUCAAAUUAGAAAAGGACAAAGUUGGGGGGAGUAGUACAAUUUGAAUUUAUUUUUUGAUGGGAAUUGGGUAAAAGUAUUGAGAGUUCUUGAGAAUUUUGGGGUUAUUUAAAACAUAACCCAAAUUGGAAUUUAAAAUUUAGCCAUAUUUAUUUAUUUUGACCAAAUUAAAAAUUAAUUGAUCAAUUGCAUUGCAAUUAUGACCAAUUUUCAAAUAUGGUCAAAUCUAAUAUAUUGGCUAAAUUAAAUUAAAAUUCGAUACGAAUUAAUACCUUUUUUUUUUAUCCCGAGCUUCUUGAUUUAAUAAAAUGAAUGCAUAUUUAUCCAAAUAAAUUAUUUUUGAGAAUAAAUUAUAUUUAAAUUAAGAUUUUAAUCAUUUGAAUUUAUUUUCAAGAUAAGCCUUAAUUAAAUCCUAUAUUUUGUAAAAUAAAUAUUUAAGUAACAAAUUAUAUAAUUUCGUAUAACUGAACACGAUAGUAUAUAAUCGUUACUUAAAAUGACAAAAUCAAGUACGAAAAAUAUUUUAAGUUUUUUUAUUUGGAUGAAAUAAUUAUUUUGGUUUAUUAAAAACUGAAGAAACUCAGGAUUAAAUUUAGUCGUGGAGGGCAAAAAUUAGGUGUCAACAGUGGUGGCACCCGAAAUCGGGGUUUUUAAGUUCAAAUUUUCAGUUCCUUUUAGGAGUCAUUAAGGGUAAUUUUGACUUUUCCCUAACCUUUAAAACUGCCCAAGCAAAGGAUUUAGGGUAUGUUUGAGCAACUUAACCCUAUUUUCAUCAAUAUCAUCAAGAAUCCUCUCUAGGGUUUCAAAAAUAAAAACUCAAGUAGUUCAAGAUUCAACCGUAGAUUUUCGAAGUUGAUCGCAUAUUUGGAAUCCCCAGGUCGUAGGCUUCAAUAAGCACCUAUUGUCUUCCUAAUUCGAAGUACGCGGGAUUUUCCUAAAAUCUCAUGGGCAUAGAAAUCAUGUUUUAAGAAUGGGGUUUUGAAGUUUAUGAAUAUAAUCAUGUCUUAGAAGUUUUAACAGUAUUUUUUUGAUCUUUAGACCUUUCCCCCAAAUUGAUUUGCAAUUAUGUAUAUAUGUACGUAUGUGUUCAAGAAUAGUUAUUCAAUUGAGAGCAUGAAUUAUAAUGAAUCCCUCUCUUGUUAUGAGUUUUCACAUCUUCGUAUGAUAUAAAUUGUUUUGAAUGCAUUUUGAAAAGCAUGACAUGAAAUACUUUGGCUUUUUGCUAUGUUUUGAAUAUGAUUUUGAAUACAAAAGAGUGGGUUGUGAAUGUUGAAUAUACAUAUAAUGAAAGAGUGCAUGGUUUUGCCCAAAGCACAUGACCACCAUAUGUUCGAUGAAAGUUUUUGCAUGAUUUUGACUUGAGUUUCGGAACAUGAAAUCUUUUAUGCAAAUUACAUGUUUGGGUGGUCUGAACCUACAUUUUUAUGAAAGAUCAUGCUUAUUGCAUUAUGGCUCAGAAAUAGAACUUGCAAGUUUUGGUGUGACAACACCAACUCAGAAAAUGCCAUGAUAAAUUCAGAACAGAAUAGAAUGCAUGUUUGAAAUCAGAUUUACAGAUUUUGUGAUUAGAAUAUUGCAUGAUUAGCAUUGGUUAAAAAUUGGGCGGAAAGAGAUGUUAGGUGGUUCCCCGAAGAAGGCAUGAGUCUAGAUACUCAUUGCCCGAAACCGUGAUUUGCCGACCCGGGUAUAUCUUAUAUUACACUGGCCUAGUGCCGUGUAGCGUAUUAGAAUUAGAGACUCCAACCCUUGCAUCAUACUCGGGUUGGAGGCUUCUCUGCCGAGUCAAUGGCGGAUUCCAUAUAGCCCGUGGAAUAUCAGAAAAUGUAGGGAAGUGCCGCCUAACUCAGAAGUAAUACAAAGGUCAGAACUGUUUUGACAAGAAUGACUUAUGAUUUUUGAAUGAUGCCCAUGUGUUUUCAGAAACUUUUUUAUGCAUGAUAUUUGAUGAAAAAUUGCUCUCAUAUUAUAUAUAUAUAUACCCCUCCUCCCUCCAGGUUCUGAGGCACAGUCUAGAGGACCAGAUAAACAGUAGAUAUUUUAGAUCACAGAUCAGGUUGUACAGUGGUGAGCCUUCUAUGAUCUAGAAGGCCUGGUUAUCUCAGAUAAUUAUCUUUAGUUAUGUUUUGGUAUACUGGGGGCCUUGUCCCAAUUUUCAGACAUUUUGUUUUAGUCCAUAGUAGAGAUUUCGCAGACUGAGUCAGACAUUAUUAUUUAGAUAUAUGUUGGAUUUCAGUUUUCAGUGUUAUGAUCACAUUCAGGUUGACCAUGUUUCCGUAUUAGAUUUCUAUUUCCACAUUAUCUUUUAUUAUAUGAAUAUUGUGCAUCAUUACUAGAUAAAGAAGGGUGUUCCGGGCCUACGUGGUUCGGAAUGCUCGUUACGGCCAGGGCCUCAGUUCGGGUCAUGACAAACUUGGUAUCAAAUCACGGUUCAUGGUCCCAGGGUGUCUGUGAAAUCACGCCGGGUAGAGUCUUUUUAUGGGUGUGUAGCGCACCAUACUUAUAAGCAGGAGUGUACUAGGCGUUUAGGAAAUAUUUUUCUUCUUUGUGAUUUAGUUCGUGCUUCAGAGUCAAGUCUGUUCCUAAUCAGUGAUCUUUCGUCUUACAGAAUUAACAGUCAUGCAUCCUCGUCGCAAUACUAAUCAGAGUACUCAAAUGAUGAAGUUUGUCCCACUCAUGGGAUGAGGGCACGUAACAGAGCUUCCACUCCAUACCCUGUCCCUACUUCGGGAGUCCCUCUAGUCCCAACCAGUCCACCUCGGGCUCGACGGACCAAUGUUAACCGUCCCCCGACUUCUCAGAGGGAUAUUUUGAAUGCCGAAUUCAGACAGUCUAUUCAUAUGCUAGCACAGUUGGUGGCUAAUCAGGCUCAACGAUCGAAAGAUGUUGGGUCUGCGUCAGUGACGUCGGAGGCUACUAGGGUAGGACAGUUCAUAAGAAUGAACCCACCCAAGUUUACCAGCACCAAGGUAGAAGAAGAUCCGCAAGAAUUCAUAGAUAAAAUAGAGAAAAUUUUCAAAGUGAUGCAUGUGGAUCAGAUGAAAGGUGUUGAGUUGGCAGCCUACCAGCUGAAGGAUGUAGCAAACCAAUGGUACAAUGAGUGGGAGAAUGCAAAGGGUGACAAAUCUGAGCCCAUAGUUUGGGAUGAGUUUGUAGAAGCUUUCCUUGAAAGGUUCUUUCCUCUGGAGCUGAGGGAAACUAAAAUAGAGGAGUUCAUGAACCUCAAGCAGGGUAAGAUGAGCGUGCAGGAGUACACUUUAAAAUUUAAUCAGCUGACCCGUUAUGCUCCCUAGAUGACAAGUAGUAUGAGGGUCCAAAUAAGAAAGUUUGCUUUCGGCCUUUCAGAUGAUCUGGUUCUUGAGUGUCAGGGAGCUAUGCUGAACAAGGAGUUGGACUUUGCUAGGCUGACAGUUCACAUGCAAUAGAUAGAGGAGAAGAAAAAGAAGAUUUCUGAAGCUAGGUAGAAAAAAAGACAUGCAAAAAGAUCUAGAUCUGUCGACCAGGGUUACAGUCAGCCUCAAAGUGGUAAGUGGAGAAAUAAAUGGCAGAAGAAGAAGAAUUGGAGUAAUGCACAGUCUUCUGCCAGUGCCCAAGUACCCAGACCACCAGUAGAUAGACGGUCUCAAAGUUUCCAGGCUCAUCAUGGAUCCAGAGCACCGGAUACUCAGUUGCAGGGUAGUGUGGCUCAGCAGCAUUGUACUUUUCCACGGUGUGAGAAUUAUGGUAGAAAUCAUCUAGGGAGAUGUCAGUUGGGCGCAUUUAUAUGUUAUUCAUGUGGUCAAUCGGGUCAUAUUUAGAGGGAUUGUCCAUCUUCUAGGAAGAAUGUUAGUGGUGCAAAGUCUCAGGCAAAUUCUUCGGCACCACCCCCGCCUCAAAAGGGCUCCACAUCAACUGCUGAGAGCGGUUGCAACUGGUUAUAUGCUUUGACCAACUGCCAGGAGGCGGAAGUUUCCCCAGACGUUGUCACCGGUACAUUACAAAUCUUUUCUCGUGAUGUUUAUGUGUUACUUGAACCUGGGUCUACCCUAUCCUAUGUGACCCCUUAGUGGCUGUUGGUUUCGGGUUUGAGCCCGAUAUGAUUUUUGAACCUUUCUCUGUUUCCACUCUGGUGGGUGAUUCUGUUGUGUCUAGGAGGGUGUAUAAAAAUUGUGUGGUAUCUAUUCUUAGCCAUGAUACUGUGGCAGACCUCAUAGAACUCAAUAUAGUUGCUUUUGAUACUAUCUUAGGGAUGGAUUGGCUCCAUUUGUGCUAUGCCACGUUAAAUUGUAGGACUCGAAGAGUCACUGUUUCUUUCCCAAAUGAGCCAGUGAUAGAAUGGGAGAGACAUUUCUUAGCACCUAGAGGGCACUUUAUAUCCUAUCUCAGGGCCCGCAGACUCAUUUCUAAGGGCUGUUUGUAUCACUUUAUCCGGGUUAAGAACUCUAAUGCCGAGAGUCUUCCUCUUCAGUUUGUCCCUGUAGUAAAUAAAUUUCCAGAAGUCUUUCCAGAUGAUCUCCCAAAAAUACCACCUGAUAGGGAGAUAGAGUUUGGUAAUGAUGUGUUUCCAGAUACCUGCCCCAUCUCUAUUUCACCAUAUAGAAUGGCUCCUGCAGAACUAAAAGAGUUGAAAGAACAGCUAGCAGAUCUUCUAGGUAAAGAUUUUAUACGCCCCAGUGUGUCUCUUUGGGGUGCGCCUGUACUUUUUGUGCGAAAGAAAGACGGUUCCCUUCAUAUGUGCAUAGACUACCAUCAACUGAAUAAGGUCACUAUUAAAAAUGAGUAUCCUCUUCCUAGGAUUGAUGAUCUUUUUGACCAGCUUCAGGGUGCUAGAUGUUUUUCAAAGAUAAACCUUCAUUCGGGAUACCAUCAGUUGAAGGUUAGAGAGUGAGAUAUUCCCAAAAUAGCUUUUCGAACCAAGUCAUUAUGAAUUCUUAGUCAUGUCCUUCGGAUUGACUAAUGCCUCUGCAACUUUCAUGGACCUAAUAAAUAGGGUCUUUCGUCAGUUUCUGGAUCUGUUGGUGAGAUUAUUCAUUGAUGACAUUCUUAUAUAUUCAAAAAGUGAGGAGGACCAUGCCAAUCACCUCCGAAUCAUAGCUUGUAUGCAAAAUUCUCCAAGUGUGAAUUCUGGCUUAAUGCCAUUGCGUUCUUGGGUCAUAUUGUGUCUAGUGACGGUAUUCAGGUGGAUCCCAAAAAGGUUGAGGCAGUAAGAAAAUGGCCUUGACCCACGACUCCAACCGACAUUUGAAGCUUCUUAGGGCUGGCAGGUUAUUACAGAAGGUUCGUAGAGAGUUUUUCCUCCAUAGCUGCUCCGCUCACUAAAUUGACUCAGAAAAAGGUGAAGCUUGUGUGGUCUGACUUAUGUGAAAAUAGCUUUGAGAAGUUGAAAGACAAGCUGACUACUGCUCCUGUUUUGACUCUUCCAGAGGGGGUAGAAGGUUUUGUGGAAUACUGUGAUGCAUCCCGUGGGGGACUUGGUUGUGUUCUGAUGCAGCAUGGUAAGGUGGUAGCUUAUGCGUCUAGGCAGUUAUAAAAUCAUGAGCAAAACUACCCCACUCAUGACUUGGAGUUAGCAGCUGUGGUGUUUGCACUUAGAAUUUGGAGGCAUUAUCUCUAUGGAGUGCAUGUUGAUAUUUAUACUGACCACAAAAGUUUGUAGAUAGGCUGACCAAGUCAGCGCACUUUCGUCCUAUCAGGAGUAACUAUUUGGGAGAGGAUUAUGCUAGGUUGUUCAUCGCUGAAAUAGUUCAUUUGCAUGGGGCAUCUGUGUCUAUCAUAUCCGACCGAGGUACACAGUUUUCUUCUCAGUUUUGGAAAUCUUUUCAGAAAGGUUUAGGUACCUAAGUGAACCUAAGUACAACUUUCCACCCUCAGACUGAUGGGCAAGAUGAGCGCACCAUCCAGACCCUUGAGGAUAUGUUGAGGGCCUGCGUAAUUGACUUUAAAGGUAGUUGGGUAGAUCACUUUCCAUUGAUAGAGUUCGCUUAUAAUAACAAUUUCCAUUCCAGUAUUAAGAUGACACCAUUUGAGGCGCUGUAUGGUAGGAGAUGUAGGUCUCCGAUAGGGUGGUAUGAAGCAAGUGAGAUGCAGAUGUUUGGGCCUAAUCUUGUUCACUAGGCAAUGAAAGAUGUGAAGCUUAUUAGAGAACGACUUAAAACAGCUCAGAAUCAUCAGAAAUCCUACGCCGAUGUUAGGAGGAGAGAGUUAGAGUUUAAGGUUGGAGAUUGGGUAUUUCUUAAGGUUUCUCCUAUGAAGGGAGUUAUGCGAUUCGGGAGGAAGGGUAAGCUGAGUCCUCGCUAUUAGGACCAUACCAGAUUGUGAGAAGAAUAGGUGGAGUUGCGUAUGAAUUAGAGUUGCCUGUAAGUUUGGGUUCUGUCCAUCCGGCAUUUCAUAUAUCCAUGCUGAAGAAGUGCAUUGGAGAUCAUUCGUUAGUAGUACCCGUCGAAGAAAUCAAGGUGACAGACUCCUUGUCCUACGAUGAAGAGCCGGUAGCAAUUUUGGAUCGCCAAGUUAGAAAGUUGAGAAGCAAAGAUUGUUUCGAUUAAAGUGUUAUGGAGAAAUCAGAAAGUCAAAGAAGCAACUUGGGAAUCAGAAGAUGAUAUGAGAGAUAGAUACCCAAAUUUAUUUGAUCCGGUGAAUGAAGUGAUGGAAGGUACAAUCUUUGUCCUUUUCUUUCCAUGCCUUUGUCUGCUUGAAAUCGUGCUUGUCUGUUUUCCGCAUCAUCAUUCGGGGACGAAUGAUCCUAAGGGGGAUAUUGUAACACCCCGACGUCUUCUUAGCUAAAUUUCGUCCACGGAAAGUCUAAGCAUUAGCUUCUAGAAUGAUCUAAAUUAAUUUUCAUGUAGAAUUUCCUACAUUUAAACCUUUCAUUACGUAGAUGACUGAAUUAGCUUUCCAACGAUAUAAGAUUCAUCCAAAAUGGAUCCUCGGUGAAGAAGUUAUGAAUAAUUUAUAGUUCCUGUCGUAGACAUCGUCAUUUUGGUGUCUAGCGCGUCGCGGAGAGGGUCAAAUUGACAAUCAUCAAAUUUCAGUGGGGCUCCGCGAUGGUGGCGCGUUGCGGAGGCACCAAAUUUUCCACUCGUCAAAUUCUAGUGGACCACCGCGAUUGCGGCGCGUCGCAGUGGCACCCGAAAUUGGAUUUUUUAAGUUCAAAUUUUCAGUUCCAUUUAGGAGUCAUUAAGGGUAAUUUUGACUUUUCCCUAACCUUUAAAACCGCCCAAACAAAGGAUUUAGGGUAUGUUUGAGCAACUUAACCCUAUUUUCAUCAAAAUCAUCAAGAAUCCUCUCUAGGGUUCCAAAAAUAAAAAACCAAGUAGUUCAAGAUUCAACGGUAGGUUUUCGAAGUUGAUCGCAUAUUUGGAAUCCCCAGGUCGUAGGCUUCAAUAAGCACCUAUUGUCUUCCUAAUUCGAGGUACGCGGGGUUUUCCUAAAAUCUCAUGGGCAUAGAAAUCAUGUUUUAAGAAUGGAGUUUUGAAGUUUAUGAAUAUAAUCAUGUCUUAGAAGUUUUGACGGUAUUGUUUUGGUCUUUUGACUUAUUCUAAUCAACUUUCUGGUCCCAUUCCUAGUGAAUUGGGAAAAUGCAACAAAUUGACUGAUUUGCAAAUAGCGAGAAACAGAAUUGGAGGUAGCAAACCACCACAGAUUGGAAAUGUCAAAGGGCUUCUAGGACUUGAUCUUUCAUCGAAUCAUUUGAUCGGGCAGAUUCCAAAGGAAUUUGGAAAAUUAACCUCUCUGAUUAGGCUUUUGGUGCAAAACAACAGUAUUUCAGGCAAUAUACCUCUCGAAUUUGUAUCACUGGCAAAAUUAGAGUACCUUGAUCUAUCUGAUAACAGAUUGAAUGGAUCGAUCCCGACAUGUAUAGGAGAUUUCGUGCACUUGUUUCGUGCAAUAACAAAUUUGGCCAAAACAUUCCAACUGAGAUAGGGAGGAUGACUCAUUUUAAUGUACUUGAUUUGAGUCAUAAUCUUCUGGUUGGAGGUAUUCCCCCUCAGCUGGCAAAUUUGAAGGUGUUGGUAGACUUAAAUCUUUCCCACAACGGCCUGUCCGGGCACAUUCCUGAAGAACUUGAAAGUAUGACUGGUUUGCAGGAUGUUUUUCUGUCAUACAAUGAGUUGGAAGGUCCAAUCCUUUUUUUCAAACACACUUAAAUGUUCUUAAUCUGAUUUACGCGUUUAAAUCGUGUUGUUUCAGAGCUUGCAUAUACAAUGAAGGUUACACAAAUGUGUGAUGUCUAUAGCUUUGGAGUAUUAGCAUUGGAGAUAAUCAAAAAGCAUCUUGGUGAGUACAUUACUGUGCUAGCAAAUUCAUCUACUAUGGAUCAUCAUGUGCAACUUAGUGAUUUUCUAGAUGAACGCCUUCCGUAUCCUGAAGAUAGAGUAAAUGAACUUUUGGUUUUUAUCAUCAAGCUAGCAAGCUCUUGUUUGGUUGAAACUCCAAAAUCAAGGCCAACAAUGCAAUUCAUCUCUCAUAAGUUAUCAUCAAUGGAUGCUUAUGCCCACCCAUUAUUCCUGUAAGGCGAUCUUUCUAAUUCCGUAAAGUGUCUUUGAAUGAAAAUGUAUGUAUAGCUUUUGACCCACGACGAAAUUAUUACCGGGUCUAGUAUAUUUGUAUUGUUAGGGUGCUUGUGUGGUUUAUUGUAUUAGUGUGUACAAUUUUGAAGGUAAUUGUUCCUUGUGCCAAAAAGUAAACAAAAAAACAAGCUUCAUGUUUUCUAAGUACUGAUGUUAUAUAGAGGAUUUACUAGUCUACAUCGUUUAGUAAUUUGAAGGUGAGCCUUGGAGUAACUGGUAAAGUUGUUGCCAUGUGACCAGGAGGUCACCGGUUCAAGCCUUGGAAAUAGCCUCUGGCAGAAAUGCAAGGUAAGGCUGCGUACGAUACACCCUUAUGGUAGGGCCCUUCCCAGACAUAGCGCAUAGCGGUAGCUUUAGUGCACCAGGCUGGCCCUUUUUUUUUUUUAUAAUCAAAAGAAAGCAUCACAGGGAAUAUAUUACUUUGCUAGCGAAUUCCUCAACUGUAGAUCAACCAUGUGCAGUUCAGUGAUUUGCUGGAUGAACACCUUCCUUAUCCUGUAGACGGAGUAAAACAAGUCUUGGUUUUCAAUUUUCAUCAUCAAGCUAGCAAGCUCUUCCGGGAGUCCAUCGGAAACAUCCUCUCUACUUCUUUGGAGGUAGCGGUAUGGACUGCGUACAUCUUACCCUCUCCAGACCUCACUUUGUGGGAAUACACUGGGUUUGUUGUUGUUGUUUUUGUUAAGCUAGCAAGCUCUUGUUUGAUUGGAACUCCAAAAUCGAGGCCAACAAUGCACUUCAUCUCUCACAGGUCAUCGAACUUCAAUGGAUCCACGUCCAUCUACUCAUGUAAAACGAGCUUUGUAAUCUCUGAGAUGUAAGGUGUCUUUGUAUGAAAUGAAUAACCAUUGAAAGUUUGAAACCAAGUGGUUGUGUAAGUAAUACAAUGAGAAGGUCCAAGAUAAAAAUUAUUACUCAGACUAGGAAUUUAUGUGACUAUGCCUUCCAGGUACUUUAACUACUUAAGAAAAUAAGACAUUUAACUACUAGGUUUGCUCAAGCAAGUUUUUGCCACGACCCGAACCGGGGCCCUAGCCGUGAUGAGCAUCCCGAACCAUGAAGGCCCGGUAUGCACAAUUCUUAUAUAAAAUAAUGCAGAAAUAUAAUCAAUACGGAAUCAUGGUCAUGUUCUGGGUCAAGUAUAUCAAUACGAAAGAAAACCCAUCAACAUGUAAACAACAUCUGUUUCUGUUUCCGAAAUCUCUAAUACAUACAAAAUAAGCAAACUGUCUGAAACUGGGACAAGGCCCCCAGUGGACCUAAACCAAAGUAAAUGACAAAUGUCUGAAAAGAAACAGGCCUUCCGGAAUAAAGAAGGCUCACCAACUGCACACUUCUGUAUGAUAAUUCUACGGCUUAGCAGGACCUCUAGAUUGAGCCUCAGACCCUGAAAUAUAGGGGGGAUCAAUAAAAUUGUACUAGUAUGUGAAGCAACUCAAAAUAACAUGUUUUUAUACAAAAUAGAUGAGAGCAUUUCACAAUAAUAAUAAACAUUAUAUAAGUGGAAAUACAUGGGCAUAUUUAACAAAUUUAAAGUUCAAUUCUUGACAAUCUUAACUCACUUUUUGUCAUUAUUUUGAGCUAAUCGGUACACCCUACAAUUUGUAAUUCCAUGGGCUAUAUGGAAUCAUUUACUCGACGGCCAAGCCUCCAAUCCAAGUGUCCCACAAGAAUUGGAGUUUUAGUAACAUGGAAUACCCCUUACAAGUAUACUGUGGUAUCACCCUUGCAUGAUGUCCGCAUUAUCCCCCUUAUAGGAUAAUACCCGUAUCAGCAACUACGGUUUCCAAUGAUGAGCCCUUACACUCAAAUGCCUUCUUCGGAUAACCAAUUAGCUCUCUUAAGCCCAAAUUUUAAUUAUUCAAAAUCUGGUAUCACCCUUGGAUGCUUCGUGUUUUCAAACGUUCAAUACUUUUUCUAUUAAGGGCAUGUCAUCAUCGGGUAUCGUCAUACCCUGACUUGCAAGUCAAUAUCAUAUCAAAUUCACAGCCCAUAUUAUAUUCAAAACAUGCACAUGACCACCAAUGAAAUUCAUAACAUUACAAUAGAGUCAUCACUUGGAAACCUCAAGAACAUUUAAGCAUUUAUCCUCUCUUGGCAAGAUUUCAAAACAUGUGGUGGUCAUGUAAAAUUGAUCAAUCUCAUGUGAUUCUCCCCCCUUUAAAACAAGAAUAUAGUUAUAGCAAGAAACUCCCUCUCAUCACAUAUAAACCAUGUCAAACACCAUAAUAUUGAGAAGAUCACUUUCAAAUCUUAAAACAUGUGUUUCAAUUCCUUCACAAUGAACAUAUAAACUUUAGUUAGCAACGAGAGGGGAUUCAUGCUCAUGCUCUCAAUCAAUUUUACAAAAUACACAAAAUCCCAUACAUAUAUAGUUAUAAUUCAAUUUCCAUGAAAAGUGAUUCAAGACAAUAUAUAUUUUCAUCAAAACAAUCCCAUGAUGCAUACCUUCCAAAAACCAUGUAGAAUACUUCAUUAUAAAACAUAAUUGGGGAUCUUUAAUCUUGAUAAAAAUAUUUAAACUUAUGCCCAAGGUUUUUAGAGUAGUCCCACACACCUUAGAUUAUCAGAUCUGAAAGAUUGAACCCGAAUGUUGAUAUAUUUCCUUCAAAACUUGGCUUAAGAGUCAGGGAUUUUUUUCUUGUUCUUGGGGAAAUGGAGGAUGAUUUUUGAUUUGGGGAGAAUAUGAAUUUGGGGAAAGUGCAGAUUUAGGGAUAAAAUUUGGUGUUAUAGCUGAGGUAAGAUGAGGAAAAAUACUAAAAUACCCCUAAGGAAACAAAAAAAGUUCACAGCUUGCUAAUUUACUCGGAAGCAACAUUAUUUUGACCCUCAUUCAUGCUUCUUUUUCUCUUUUGCGUCGAAUUAGAGGAGCCUUUCACAUGCACUUCCUUUUCCUGUCCACGGCAUUUUGAAGCACGAGCAAUUUCAUUUGACGUCAUAUCAUCAUCACUGUCAUUCAUCAUACGAAGAGACAUAGUUUCUGGUUUGUCUGCGAGAAAAUAUAUGUAACAUAUUAAGUUAGCUCCUUUUAAAUUGACGUACGAAACUCAUCUUCCCAAUAAAAGUGUGAUAUCCUCCAAUAUAAGUCACACAACAACAACAACGUACCAAGUAUAAUCCCACAAGCGAGACCUGAGACGGGCAGGGUAGGAUGUAUGCAAACUUUACCUAUACCAUUACGGGGUAGAGAGGCUGUUUAAGAUAGUCCCUCGGCUCAAAAGAAAGAAAAAUGAAUCAUGUUUGCAUGAAAACAUGACAACAUCCUACUAAAAGGGGAAAACCAAGACAGACGAGAAAGGGAAAAAAUUAACUACAGCAAAGUGGCUAGAUCGACACAGCUAAAAAAGUGUAACAGUGGACGAAGUGGAAGUCUUGAGGAUACGAUGCAACUGUUUUUCGCAGUCGCUUUCUACUUGAGCGUCUAGUGUUUCAUUUUUUAUUUUUUCUGUGUGUGUUUGUGUGAUUGUGGUGGUGGUGUUUUUAGUAUAUAACGAAGAAUCGUCAGAAAACAUCAUACCUAUAACCGUUCAACAGAACAACAGUAACUACGCUAUACCUCAAUCCAAAGAGUUGAGGUCGGCUAUAUGAAUCCUAAUGAUAUAUGCACAUAAUAUAGACAGAUCAUAAUAACAACAAAGUCGUCUAAAUCACAAAACCGUUAUACCUUUGUGUAUUGAUUGACCACUGCUAUUUCCGGUUGAUGUGCCAACCAGUUUUGGAUCAUCAUAAAGCACAAUUGCCCGAUCUUCACCUUGAGAAGAUUCCACGCUGUUAACGCCAGUCACACCAGUAGCUUGAAGGCCUGUUUCCACCUCCAAAUCUAUAUCCAAUUUUCACGAAACAAACACAUCACGAUAAAGAAUUUUCCUCGUUCAGAACGAGAAAAUCUAACAUCUAACUCUUUGAACAACAAAAAAGGUAUGAGAAUAGAAAAUAUAAGUCACACAACUGAUCAAAAUGUAUUCAUUUGCUUUUCGUAGCAUCAAUCAUCAUUUACCAAACUAUAUCCGACUCCAAAUUAGUUGAUUAAUUGAAUACCACAAAUAAUUAAAAAAGGUUUUACAAAUACAGUAAAAUCAAGAUCUACCAUUAACAUAACAAGUUGUAAGGAGGAAAAACUAAACAAAAAUAAUCGACGUAUAUUCACAUAAUGUCAAGAAUGAACCUUAGGCCUAACUCAACCACAAAAGCUAGCUCAAGAGAUGAGGAUUACCCAAGUCCAUAUAAGCAAACCACUAGUCCAUUCCCCAACCAAUGGGGGAAUUUUACCCACUCUAACACCCCCCUCAUGCCCAGGCCCAAUUGGCACUGGCGCGUGGAUCGGGAGCCCAAAACGGGAAUGGACCUGGCUCUGAUACCAUGUCAAGAAUGAACCUUGGGUAAUACUCACCUCAUGAGAUAGCUUUUGAGGUUGAGUUAGGCCCAAGGUCCAUUCUUGACAUGGUAUCAGAGCCUUCUCUUGGCUGUCUUGUUUCAUAGAGUUCAUUUGUGGUUUCUUUCAGUCUUUUUGGAAAAUUUUGGUUUUUGUUGAUUGUUCCUUGACAAUUAACACCUUGUAUUUCGAUCUUGGUCAUUUUGGUUAUUCUUUUUAAGUCAGUGUUUCUAGUUUUCAUAAAUAUGACUUCAUAUCAGUUUGAAUCAUUCGGUUUUCAUUUCACUGGAAAGAAUUUCUUGUCAUGUGAGUUUCAGUUUCAGUUAUUUGUCACUGGAAAAGAACUAUCGGGCCAUAUAGAUGGAGCCGAUCCUGCUCCUAUUGAUCCUACAAAGUUAGGUGAAUGGAAGAUUAAAGAUGCUCGGGUAAUGACAUGGCUUUUAAGGUCAAUUAACCCUCUUAUUGUUCUUAAUCUCAGGCCUUACAAGAUAGCUAAAGCCAUGUGGGAUUAUUUACAAAGGGUUUACAAACAAGAUAAUAGUUCCCGACGCUGUCACUUAAGAGUAUGAAAUUGCUAAUUACUCUCAAGAAGAUCUUUCUAUUCAGGAUUAUUUUUCUGGAUUUUAGAACUUAUGGGCUGAAUUUAUAGAUAUUGUUUAUGCCAAAAUACCGGAUGAAUCUCUCUCUGUAGUUUAACAAGUUCAUGAGAAAAGCAAGCGAGAUCAAUUUUUGAUGAAGUUACACUCUGAGUUUGAGACUGUUCACUCCCACUUGAUGAAUCGUGACCUGUCUCUCUCCUUGGAUGUCUGUUUAAGGGAAUUACUCCGGGAAGAGCAGUGUUUUGUCACACAAAAUGCUUUCAAGCAAGUUGAUGAUAUAGUUGUUACAUUUGCUUCCCAAGGUAAAGGAAAGGGUAGGGAUAUGACUAGAACUCAAUGCUACAGUUGCAAGGGAUAUGGUCAUAUUGCUAGCAAUUGUGGCAGGAAGUUUUGUAAUUAUUGCAAACAAUAAGGACACAUUAUCAUAGAGUGUCUCACACGCCCUCAAAACCAUAAGGUUAAUGCUUUUCAAGCUGGGACAAAUGGUUUCACUACUGAGAACUCAUCUUUGGGACAAGUUCUUACUCCUGAAAUGGUAAGACAAAUGAUCAUGUCAGCUUUUUCAGCUUUAGGGCUACAAAGUAAUGAUCUUGCAUCUAAUAUUUAGCUUGUUGAUUCAGGAGCUUCCAAUCAUAUGACCAACUCAUCUAGUAUGCUAAAAAAUAAUCAUAAGUAUCAUGGUCCAUCGCAAAUUGAAGUUGCCAAUGGUAGUAGUUUACCCAUUACCAAGGUUGGGGAUAUUACUAAAACUUUCAAUAAUGUUUUUGUGUUACCAAAGCUCUCCACUAGUCUUAUUUCAGUUGGACAAUUGAUAGAUAACAAUUGUGAUGUGAAUUUGUCUCGUAAUGGUUGUCUUGUGCAGGAUCAGAUCUCAUAAAGUUGGACGCUUUCAAUAAUGUUUUUGUGUCACCAAAGCUCUCCACUAGUCUUAUUUCAGUUGGACAAUUGAUAGAUAACAAUUGUGAUGUGAAUUUGUCUCGUAAUGGUUGUCUUGUGCAGGAUCAGAUCUCGUAAAGUUGGACGACUGUUUCCCAUACACUUUUCCAUUCCUCGUGUUCCAUCAUUUGCUUGUACUUCUACACCUAGUAAGACUGAGGUAUGGCAUAACCUCUUAGGACAUCCAAAUUCUAUUGUGUUAUCUCAUGUAUCAAAUUUGGGUUUAUUGGGGAACAAAAAUCAAUUUUUCACUGCUUCCUUUGAUUGUUCCACUUGUAAAUUAGGCAAGAGUAAAAUUCUUCCUUUUCCUAAUUUUGGUAGUUGUGCUACAAAGUGCUUUGAUGUCCUUCAUAGUGAUGUUUGGGGUAUUUCACCAAUUGUUUCUCAUGCCCAUUUCAAGUACUUUGUGACAUUUAUAGAUGAUUAUAGUCGAUUUACGUGGGUAUAUUUUCUUCGUUCCAAAUCUGAGGUAUUUUCCAUAUUCAAGACAUUUUUGGCCUAUAUUGAGACUCAAUUUUCUACUUGCAUCAAAUUAUUGAGAUCUGAUUCUAGUGGAGAAUAUAUGUCUUAUGAGUUCAAAAAUUUUUUGCUUGAAAAAGGAAUUGUCUCACAACGCUCUUGUCCAUAUACACCACAACAAAAUGGGCUUGUUAAACGUAAAAAUCGUCAUCUUUUAGAUGUCACUCGUACUUUAUUAAUUGAGUCCUCUGUUCCAUCUAAGUAUUGGGUGGAAGCUUUGUCUACUGCUGUUUACUCAAUUAAUAGACUACCAUCUUAAGUCUUAAAUCUUGAAUCUCCAUAUUUUCGUCUUUAUCACAAAAAUCCAAGCUAUGAUAAUUUUCAUACAUUUGGUUGUAUUUGUUUUGUGCAUCUUCCUCCUUCUCAGCGUAAUAAACUUUCCGCUCAGUCUACUAAAUGUGUUUUUAUAGGUUAUAGUACUUCACAGAAAGGUUUUCUCUGUUAUGAUCCAUGUUCUAAUAAAUUUCAUGUUUCUAGAAAUGUUGUUUUCUUUGAGAAUCAAUAUUUUUUUUGUACUCAUGUUGAGUCAUCUCCUGCUUCUCUUCUUCUUCCUACUUUUGAGAAUUUGUCAUCUUCUUCUAAGAGGUUGAAACUUGGAUUUGUGUACGAACGUCGUCGGCCAACAUUACCCCCUCCUGAUAUUGAUCUGCCACCUGAAACUGCUACACAACUAGAAUUGAGAAUUCUUUAAGGCCUGCUCCUCUUGAGCCCAGUCGGCGAUCUACGAGAGUAUCUCGUCCUCCUAAUUGGUAUGGAUUUUCAUUAACUUUAUCUACCAUUUCUAUUCUAACUUGUUACUCACAAGCUUCCAAGCAUGAUUGUUGGCAGAAAACAAUGGAGGAAGAACUUUUGGCUCUUAAAGAAAAUGACACAUGGGAUAUUGUUUCAUGUCCUUCAAAUGUCCAUCCAAUUGGAUGUAAAUGGGUUUAUUCAAUUAAAAUUCAUUCUGAUGGAAUUCUUGAUUGGUACAAAGCUCGGUUGGUUGUUCUUGGUAACAAAUAGGAGUAUGGUGUGAACUAUGAAGAGACUUUUGCACCGGUAGCAAAAAUGACGACGGUGCAAACUAUUAUUGCCAUUGCUGCUUCACAAAACUGGACGCUUCAUCAAAUGGAUGUCAAGAAUUCUUUUCUUCAUGGUGAUCUCAAAGAGGAUAUUUAUAUGAAACCUCCACCAGGUUUGUUCUCAUUACCUACAUCAGAUGUAUGCAAGUUGAGGCGGUCUCUGUUUGGAUUAAAACAAGCUCCCAGAGCUUGGUUUGACAAAUUUCGGUCUACUUUGCUACAAUUCUCUUUUGAGCAAAGCAACUAUGACUCAUCUUUCUUUCUUCAGAAAAAAUCCACAGGUUGUGUCCUUCUUUUGGUAUAUGUCGAUGACAUUAUUAUUACAGGAACUGAUUCUUCACUAAUUACUAGCGUGCAACAAAAACUUAAGGAUUCUUUUCAUAUGAAAGAUCUUGGUACUCUUACAUAUUUCUUGGGUUUGGAAGUUCAUCGUGAUUCAUCCGGUGUGUUUCUAAAUCAACACAAAUAUACCCAAGAUUUGAUUUCUUUGGUAGGUCUUUAGGAUUCAUUCUCUGUGGAUACUCCAUUAGAAUUGAAUGUAAAGUAUCGCCGGGAGGAAGACGAUCUUCUUCCUGAUCCAACUAUAUAUCGGCAAUUAGUUGGGAGGUUAAAUUACCUUACUAUUAUCAGGCCUGAUAUCUCUUUUACAGUUCAACAAGUUAGUCAGGUCAUGCAAGCUCCCCGUCAUCUUCAUUUGGUGGCUGUCCGUCGCAUCAUUCGAUACCUCCGAGGAACAUCUAAUCGUGGAUUAUUCUUUCCUAGUGGUUCGCCUAUUCGUCUUAAUGCUUUUAGUGAUUCUAGUUGGGCGGGAUGUUUUGACACUCAUCGUUCGGUUACUGGUUGGUGCAUGUUUCUUGGAGAGUCUUUGAUAUCUUGGAAGAGUAAGAAGCAAGAUCGCAUGUCAAAAGAGAGUCUUUGAUAUCUUGGAAGAGUAAGAAGCAAGACCGCAUGUCAAAAUCUUCAACAGAGGCUGAAUAUCGAGCAAUGUCUACUGCUUGCUCCGAGAUUGUGUGGCUUCGUGGACUACUUGCUGAGAUUGGAUUACCUCAAUCUAAUCAUACUCAUCUCCAUGCUGACAAUACAAGUGCUAUGUAGAUUGCUACUAAUCCGGUUUAUCAUGAGCGGACCAAACACAUCGAAGUAGACUGUCAUUAUAUACAAGAAGCUGUAGAUAAAGGUGUCAUUACUCUUCCGUACGUGUCCGGUGAUCUUCAAAUAGCUGAUGCAUUUACAAAAUCAAUGGCACGACAACGACAUCAGUUUCUCAUCGGCAAAUUAAUGCUUCUUGAUCUACCAACAUCAAUUUGAGGGGGGAUGUUAGCAUGAUGUAAAUAUUGUAUAUUAAUGUAAUCAUAUAUUGUUGUAUAUUGGUGUAAUUACAUAGAUUUGAUUUAGUAGUUAAAGAGAAUAAUAGUGACUUUAGUAAGAGCAGAUUUGGUGGGAUAAAAAAGCGAAUUUAGAGGGAUAGAAAAGCUGAUCUUUAGGGAUAGGAAGACGGAUCUUUAGAGAAGUAAUCAUUGAAUAUUUUCUGUUUAAUGACAAGACUCUCAAAAUUGAGAGGUAUUCAGCAGAAAAUUGACACAUAACAGCAAUACCUUCAUCAUUUUUUCUCUCCGUUUCCUUCAAAUCAGAAAUUCUACCUCUAAACUCGAUGAUUUUCUCCUCGUAGCGAGCCUCUUUAUCACUUUUUGCCUUCUUUAGCUUUUGAAUUCUGUCAAACAACAACUCAUUUGUCUUUUUGUACUGCUUGUAGUCCUCUUCUAUUAUUUUACUGUACUUUUCGUCGAUACUUCUUUUUUCUUCCUCGAAACCUUUUUCGCAAUCCAUCAGAAUUUCUUGUGCAAAAGGGAAGUCUUUUUCUUCAACCAUUUGUUUUUCCUUCAUAAUUGCAAGUAAUUCUGGGAUCGAUGUCAUCUUCAAUGGAUAUCAAAGAUGUGAUGAAAGUGGUGUGAAGUGGAAAAAGACAAUAAUACAGGGAGGAUUAUGCAGAUAAAUUCAAAAGAGCGAAACAUGAAAAUACAUCUAAGAACAAUAAUUAGUACUAUUUGAUCAAGAUUUCAAGAAUUUUUGAUACUUUUACAUUAAAGAUUAGUCAAACACCUCAUCUUUUAAAGUAAAACAUUAAAUGUACCUUUGAUUUCUGCAAAAGAAUGAAUGUAGUCGUAAUCCUUAAAAUGUACUUAGAUAACUUAAAUAGUAAUUAUAGGAUAUCCUUUUUUGCUCUUUCCAUAAUAAGAUAUCGAUUCAUUCCCUCAUACCUUUAUUACAUGGCAUCAGAGUUAUUGUCUGAGUUGGUAUUUUGUAUUAGCCGGAGGUCACUAUGACUUCACUGAGCACAUUUGAUUAGUUGUAGACUGCAGUUAGCAUUUAUAUGUUCUUUACGCGGACAUUAUAUGGUAAAAUCAUACUCGCGAUCAAUGGCAACUUGAACUUAGCACUUUAGCAGCAGUUGUAUCAUGUUGCUGUUUAUGGAAAAGUCCUGCGUAAGAGUUGUAUCACUGCAUAUUAUAUCAAUGUUGAUAGCUACUCUUCUUAAGUACAGUAGUUAUGUUUCAUUUCUUUUUGUAACUAUAUUACAUUUCAUAAUAAAGUGUAAAUAUUUGUCGCGUCGCAUGGUUUUUCCUACAAAUAACUUAACUAUAGUAAAGCGACAGAAAGUUGAGAUGACAAAUAUUCAAAGUUUAUAUGAAAAUAUUUCCUAUAUAUUGAUUAGUUUGAGGCAGACACAAGAUGCAAACUAAGUGUUUUCAACGAGUAGUUUUCCCUGGUUGUUCCUUUUAUGGACUGUUGUUUAGUAAAUAAUAUAUUAUGGUCCAUUGAAAAAUGUUCCACAUUAGUACUACAAAGUAUUUGUGUGGGUGUUUAUAGCCUUGCGCUAUCCCACCUUAAUAGCUAUCUUUUGAAAUGUGGUUCUCCUAAGGUUGUAAUAGUGGUAUCAGAGCCAUCCAUUACCCUCCUUGCCCACCGUUCCUGGGAUGGUGACACAGGUAUGACAGUAUUUGUUUGGGGCUAGUAAUGUCUAGCGCACAACCAUCGUGGCAUCUGACUCAAAUAGAGAAAUCGAGGAAAGAGCUACCUACAAAAGUAGAGAGUGGAGCCAUCGAGGACGAAGGAUGCGAAGCGUGAUGGUUUGUUAUGAUCGUAGCAAAAAGUCCCACAUUUGUACUACAAAGUAUUUGUGUGGGGGUUUUAUAGUCUUGGGUUCUCCCACCUUAAUAGCUAGCUUUUGGAGGUGUAGUUUUCCUAAGGUUGUAAUAUUGGUAUUAGAGCCACCCAUCACACUCCGUCGCGGGAGCUGUGCACCUGACUUGGAAAGGGCUACUUGGGAAAGAACUAUCUAGAAAAGUAAGUGAAAGCUACGCACUUGAAAAGGGCUUUCCAUGCCCACCGUGCCUGGGAUGGUGACGUUGAUAUGACAGUGUUCGGCCGGGGAAAGUAAUGUAUAGUGCACAAUCAUCGCAACAUCUAUGCACCUGACUCGAAACCUGACUCGAAAAGGGCUACCUGAGAAGAGCUACCUACAAAAGUAGGGUGAAAUCUACCAGGAGUGGAGUCGUCGAGGACGAAGAAUGCAGAGCGUGGUAGUUUGUUAUUAUUCUUUGGAAAAAGUCCCACAUUGGUACUACACAGUAUUUGUGUCGGGUAUUCAUAGCCUUUGGUCUCUCCCACCUUAAUUUUUACACACAUAUGUAUGUAUAUACGUAAUUUUUAGGACAUCAGGAAGCAUUGAUAAAAUUAAUUUCAGUAGAAAAAGAGUAUUCGGGCUAGCAACAAUCCAAUUUUAUUUUUUUUGAAUCCAACUCUUAUUUUAUUUCAAGCAAGAGCCCAAAAAUUAGCCCAAACUCAGUCCAUUAAAACUACUCCAUCCAACUCUAAAUCCAAGUCAUCAAUCUUUGCCACAUCCUUCUAACCAAUUACAUCUUGCCACGUCACUCAGCCAACAAAUACAAAGUCGUCUCGGCCACUUAAAUCUUCUUGAUCCAAAGGCCACAAGAUUUUCAACUUUAAAUAUAUAUAUAUAUAUANNNNNNNNNNNNNNNNNNNNNNNNNNNNNNNNNNNNNNNNNNNNNNNNNNNNNNNNNNNNNNNNNNNNNNNNNNNNNNNNNNNNNNNNNNNNNNNNNNNNNNNNNNNNNNNNNNNNNNNNNNNNNNNNNNNNNNNNNNNNNNNNNNNNNNNNNNNNNNNNNNNNNNNNNNNNNNNNNNNNNNNNNNNNNNNNNNNNNNNNNNNNNNNNNNNNNNNNNNNNNNNNNNNNNNNNNNNNNNNNNNNNNNNNNNNNNNNNNNNNNNNNNNNNNNNNNNNNNNNNNNNNNNNNNNNNNNNNNNNNNNNNNNNNNNNNNNNNNNNNNNNNNNNNNNNNNNNNNNNNNNNNNNNNNNNNNNNNNNNNNNNNNNNNNNNNNNNNNNNNNNNNNNNNNNNNNNNNNNNNNNNNNNNNNNNNNNNNNNNNNNNNNNNNNNNNNNNNNNNNNNNNNNNNNNNNNNNNNNNNNNNNNNNNNNNNNNNNNNNNNNNNNNNNNNNNNNNACAUAGGUGUGGGUUUCUCUGGUUGGGGGGGGGGGGGGGGGGGGGGGGGGAGAGAAGUUUUUUAGAAGGAGAGACAGAGGGGGAACACUCGAAAAUUGGGGAAUAUUCACACAAAUUCACAAACAAAGUCACAAAAUCAGAAGUUUUGUUUCUUCUUUUCGGUCUAGGUUCGGGCUCCCGGAGUUUGCGUUGGAUAGCUGGAAAAUCUUGGCAUCGAAGCCCCAUCUUGCUGCCCCAUAAAAGUUUCAACGGAAACUCGGUUUUGACCCAAAGAUUGGGUCGAUGGGUAUAGGAUCACAGAGUUCGGGGUCUAAAUUGCUAGGAGUCAAUUUGCUUCCAUAGGAAUUGAUAGUAUCCCAUCCUUUACCUUUCUCAUGACUUUCUUAUUCACAUUUGUUUCAUUAACUUUGUGUCAUUUUGAUAAUUUAUUUUAUAUGUCUUUGAUUGAAACCGAUAUCACUUUACUUUGUUUAGUUUUGUUCGAACUUUAAACCACCUAGAAUUGAUUUUAUUCGGUCAUUUUUUAUUUAUUCGUCAUUCAUAAAUAUAAUAACGGUAUAUAGUUCAACCACUUAUUUUUAUAAUUUUGCACCUACGAAUCUACCUUUAUAAUAAAUGGCAAACUCUGCUUUUUAUAAUUACAAUAUGGAAUACAUCUCUGAUUGAACAAAACAACUGGUUAUUAUUUUCGAUAUGCAAAAUAUUAAUUAACGGUUUUGUCACCUUAUCCAGAGUAUUGUUUUCCAAAUGAAUCAACAUAAGUAUUAAAUAGGUUUCAUUUAUUCCAUCCGCCAUGUUUGCAAGUAAAUAAUCCACCAACAUCGAUUUUUUCAUUCAACGCUGUAUAAUUUAAACACCUACUACAGGUCAUAUCUGCUUCUCAACUCUAUUUCAAAUUUUCAGAUUUUAAAGGCUUUCUGAACACAAGAUAUAUAUAUAUGUUAUACACUACCACAUACAAGGUAUAUUUUACUACUAUCAUUAUAAUUGCUAUUACUAUAAUAUUACCACUUACAUUAUUAUUAUCAUUGUUAUUAUUUUCACUUUAUUAUACCUAUGUAGGCUACUAUCACAUUUAUGUUUACCUUAGUUCAAUUUAAAUCUAUUCGGGUUGCACAAGCGAAAAGAAUUUUAUACCUUUUCAUACAUUUCUAAAUCCUCAUGCAUUUAUAUUUAUUUUAAAUAAAUUUUUUCACACUUCAAAAGUAUACUUUAUUUACCUUGUAAUGAAUUUUAUUCACGUAUUUAACUUUGCAAAGUCAUAAGAUCUUAUACUCGCUACUUUACAUAUUAUAACAACAGAAGCUACUACUCUCUCUCAUAAUUUUUCAAAAUAUUCAUUUAUUUAUAACUAUAUUAUUUCGUUGUAUGUGAUAGUGUUACAUCUUUAUGUGCCUUGACUACUAUUUUUUANNNNNNNNNNNNNNNNNNNNNNNNNNNNNNNNNNNNNNNNNNNNNNNNNNNNNNNNNNNNNNNNNNNNNNNNNNNNNNNNNNNNNNNNNNNNNNNNNNNNNNNNNNNNNNNNNNNNNNNNNNNNNNNNNNNNNNNNNNNNNNNNNNNNNNNNNNNNNNNNNNNNNNNNNNNNNNNNNNNNNNNNNNNNNNNNNNNNNNNNNNNNNNNNNNNNNNNNNNNNNNNNNNNNNNNNNNNNNNNNNNNNNNNNNNNNNNNNNNNNNNNNNNNNNNNNNNNNNNNNNNNNNNNNNNNNNNNNNNNNNNNNNNNNNNNNNNNNNNNNNNNNNNNNNNNNNNNNNNNNNNNNNNNNNNNNNNNNNNNNNNNNNNNNNNNNNNNNNNNNNNNNNNNNNNNNNNNNNNNNNNNNNNNNNNNNNNNNNNNNNNNNNNNNNNNNNNNNNNNNNNNNNNNNNNNNNNNNNNNNNNNNNNNNNNNNNNNNNNNNNNNNNNNNNNNNNNNNNNNNNNNNNNNNNNNNNNNNNNNNNNNNNNNNNNNNNNNNNNNNNNNNNNNNNNNNNNNNNNNNNNNNNNNNNNNNNNNNNNNNNNNNNNNNNNNNNNNNNNNNNNNNNNNNNNNNNNNNNNNNNNNNNNNNNNNNNNNNNNNNNNNNNNNNNNNNNNNNNNNNNNNNNNNNNNNNNNNNNNGCGCCUGGGCACUUGACUCAAAAGAGCUUCUGGAAACAGCUAUCUACAAAAGUGGAGUGAGGACGAAGGAUGUGGUUUGUUAUGACCCAUUGCAAGAAGUCCCACAUAGUUACUUGUCAGUAGUAACUGCAAACGUCUAGGUUGAACAAUAUAUGAACAAACAUUAGGUAGGCGUUUGGCCGUGAAAACAAAAAAUAAUUAACCUUAUUUGGAAUUUUCAGAGUUAGAGUUGUAUUACACAUUUACAAUUUAAGCAUAUUUUUUUCUUCUUUCUCGCGGUCGCUACUCAUUCGCUAUUUGUUCAACUCUUUUUUGCUGAGUUAUUCAAACACAAAAUCAUUCUUUUGCUUCAGCGACUGUUAUGCCAAUACCAUGACUCAACAAUAUGUGUAUCGAGCAAACUUGGUUUUGAAUAGGUGGACCAAUAAUGCGAUGAAACUUAACAUGCCUCCAUUGUUCAAUCGUACUCACAUCAUUCUAUAAAUAUAGCCAUUCAUAAUCAAAAUACUACAUUGAAGUCCACCAGAUGAACGAUAAGAACCUAAUUGUUCCUACUAACAAAGCAAGUCUAGUAUAAAACCUUUUUGCCGAGGGAGCUUGGAGUCUAGUGCAACAACUCGACCCCUCGUUUUGAGCAUCUGUGUACAUAGAGACGAGCAGACAACCUUCGCAUCAACUGGAGCUUCAUUUGCGGAUACCAACACCAGCGCAGAGCAGACGGUCUUUCUUGCUAUUGUCUAUCCUAUAUAUUUUGUGAGAGUAUCGAAUUGCCAGUGUCUUGCAUAUGCAAAGAUCUUCCGGUCCAACCUCCGAAAUUGUUCUCUUGAGCUUGUUUUCGGGAUCAUCACGACACAGAAACACCCCUAAAGAAGUAAUCCUGAAAGAAAAAGCAGGCAAAAACGGAUUACAAAGUGAGUAAUCGAAUAAACAUACUAGACCUCACCCCUACCGUAGAGGUAGAAGGCUAUUUCUGAUAGACCGUCACAAAUUUUCUUCUCACAGACUAAAGGAAAAACCUAUCGAGAGAUUGAUAUAUAACUUUUUUUGUCGAUCUUACUCAUCGAGGAGAAUUUGUUUCCAGAAAUUUGUUGACGGUACAAAACACAUACAGCAUUCAGACAAAGCUCGUCAUCCGUAUAAAAUGCAGAACGAAAAUCGUCUUCAGAUGACCAUUCUAUACCCGACCUAUCCCCGGGAUUAACCAAUUCUGGAAUAAAUGAUGUCAUUUGACCAUCAUUCGCGCUUCUUUUUCUCUUUCGCGUCGAAUUAGAGGAGCCUUUCACGUGCACUUCCUUUUUCUGUCCGCGACUUUUUGAAGCAUGAGCAAUUUCAGUUAACGUCAGUUCAUCAUCACUAUCGUUCAUUGUAUGAACCAGCAUAGUUUCUGGUUCAUCUGACGCUUCACUCAAGACUACUGCUUUACAUGCUGAUGGAUCUGCAAGAAGAUUAUAUGCAAUAACAUCUUAAAUUUUCCUCUUUUAAUAUGAUGCACGAAACUUAUCUGUCCAAUAAAAGUACGAUAGCCGCCAAUCUAAGUCACACAAAAACAACAACUUACCAAGUAUAAUCCUCAUGUACACUGACCUUACCUCUAUCUUUUGCGAUAGAGAGGCUGUUUAAGAUAGUUCCUUGGUUCAAAAGAAAGAAAAAUGAAUCACGUUUGCAUGAAAACACGACAAUAUCCUAGUAGGAUACAAAGCAACUAAAAGGGGAAACCAAGAGAGACGAGAAAGGAAAAAACUAACUGCAGCAAAGUGGCUAAAUGGACACAACGUGUAACAGUGGAUGAAGUGGAUGUAGCAAGUGUUUGUCGGAAUUGCUUUCUACUCGAGAAUCUACUGUUUCUUUUUUCAUUUUUCGUGUGUGUCUGUGUGGUUGUGGUGUGUUAUUUUCAGUAUAUCAUGAAGAAUCAUCAGAAAAUAUCAUACCUAUAACCGUUUAACAGAACAACAAUAACUACUAUACCACAAUCCAACGAGUUGACGUCGGCUAUAUGAAUCCUAAUGAAAUAUCCACAUAAUACAAACAGAUCGUAACAACAAGAAGUUGCCUAUAUCAGAAAACCGUUAUACCUUUCUGUCUCGAUUGGCCAUUGCUAUUUCCGGUUGAGGUGCCAACAAGUUUCAGAUCAUCCAAAAUCACGAUUGCCCGAUCUUCUCCCUGAGUAGAUUCCACGUUAUUAGCACCAUUCGCACCAGUAGCUUGAAUGCCUAUUUCCACCUCCAAAUCUAUAGCAAAUUUUCAGAAAACACACACAUCAAGAUAAAGAAUUUUCCAAAUUAGUUAAAUAAUUGAAUGCAACAAAUAACUAAAACAGGUUUUGCAAAUGUAGUAAAAUCAAGAUAUACUAUCAACACACAUUAUGAAAUGAUACGUAAAAAGACAUAAAAGGGCAUCCCGGUGCACUAAAGCUACCGCUAUGUGCGGUGUCCGGGGAAGGACCCCACCACAAGGGUGUAUUGUACGCAGCCUUACCUUGCAUUUCUGCCAGAGACUGUUUCCAAGGCUUGAACCUGUGACCUCCUGAUCACAUGACAACAACUUUACCAGUUACGCCAAGACAUAAUAACAACAAUACCUUCAUCAUUUUUUCUCUCAUUUUCCACCAUAAGAGAAACUUCAUCCCUCAACUCUCUCAGUUUCUCCGCGUAGCAAGCCACGCUUUCAUUUUUCGUGUUCUGAUAAAGAAAUAGACCUUGGGCCUAACUCAACCUCAAAAGCUAGCUCAUACAGAGAGGAUUGCCCAAGACCAUAUAAGGAGACCAAGGACGGUUUAACCCACUGAUGUGGGACUCCAACACCCCCCGUACGCCCAUGGCUGGACAUCUGGAGCGUGGAAAAAUAUAAGAUAGGGGGCCAACAUCGGAAACAAUAAACUAGGUGGGCCUGGAUCUGAUACCAUGAUAAAAAAAUGGACCUUGGGCCUAACUCAACCUCAAAAGCUAGCUCAUGAGGAGGAGGAUUGCCCAAGCCUUAUAAAGAGACCACCCAUCUCAUUAACCAUCAAUGUGGGACUUUCUCUAUUUCUUUUAACACCCCACUGCACGCCCAGACCUCAACUGGGCCCAGACCUAAACUGGGCGUGGACACAAUCUCCCUGAUAUCUCAAUUUGAGGGCCAAACAUUGGGUGAGAAUGGGCACUGCUUUGAUACCAUGUUAAAAUUGGUCUUGGGCCUAACUCACACCUCAAAAGCUAGCUCAUGAGGGGAGGAUUGCCCAAGACCAUUGUAACACCUCGUAAAAUUCAUGCAUGUGUUAGCCUCUAGUAGUAUGCUCAAAGAGUUGAAAGGACUUGAAAAUUUUUCUAAGUGUUAAAGAGACUUAGUCUUAUUUUUUUUAGCUUCUAAACUUUGAGAAAUUUAUUUUUGACCUUUCCGACCUUCAAUUUUAAAUUUUCUUGUUGAUUCAUGAUUGGGAAAGUUGAUGGUGCAUAUUGAGUGAGUUUCGGCAUUUUUGGAUGUUGUUUAGGGCAUGUUUGGAUUCCCAAAAUAGUGGCAUCAUGCGAUAUGCAUGCGUCACAUGGUCCAACGCACGGUGGAAGCAUGCGAUAUAGCAUGCGUCACAUGCUCCAGUGCGGUGGGAAAUAGCCUGCGACGCAUGGUCUGCUGCACGCCUGAAAUUUUCAGCAUUUAAGCUCCGUCACAUUAAGGGCAUAUUGGGUGUUUUCCCACACCCUUAUCAGCUCAAGCACAAAAUUUCAACCCCAAUUGAGCAUAAUAUUCAUACAUUCACCAAAAUUACUCAAGAAAUCUCUCAAGGGUUUCAAAAUAAAAACCCAAAUUACUUGAGAUUCAACCGUGAGUUUUAGAAGACAAUUAGAGAUUCGGAAUCCCUACUCCGCAAGCUUCAAGAAUCACCCAUUACUUUCUGAAAUAGAGGUACGCGUGUUUUUUUCUAAAAUCUCAUGGGUAUUGAAAUCAUGGUUUUAAGAAAGAGGUUUUUAGAUUUAUGAAUAUAUUCAUGUUUUAGAAACAUUAAUGAUAUUGUUUUGGUCUUUAGGCCUUCCCCAAAUUGAUUUGAAUUGAUAUAUGUAUAUAUGUACAUGUUUUAAUGUUGAUGAUUGAAUUAAGAGCAUGAUUCAUGUGAAAAUCCCUCUCUUGUUAUGAUUUUCCUUACUUAUCAUAUGAUAUGGGUUGUUUUUGAAAGGCAUCUUGAAAAACAUGUUACGAAGUAUCUUAAUUUAUGAAUGAUUUGGUUAUGAAUCUUGAAUUCCAAAGAGAGGGUUGUUUAUAUUGAAAAAUUUUGAAAAUACAUAUAAUGAAGGAGUGCAUGGAUUUUUCCUAAAGCACAUGACCACCUUAUGUUUGAAGAGUUCUUGCAUAGUUUUGACUUAUGCUUUCGGAACAUGAAACCUCUUAUAACAUUUGCAUGUUUGGGUGGUCUGAACUAUGUUUUAAUGAAAAAAUUAUGCAUGGUGCAUUAUGACUCAGAAAUAGGACUUGCAAGUCUUGGUGUGUCGACACCAAUUCGGAUUAUGUCAUGGUAAUUCAGAAUAGAAUACAAAGCAUGUUUAAAGUUAGAAUUUUCAGAUGUUGAAACUAGAAUAAUGCAUGAUUAAGAACAUGAUAAAAAUUAGGCAUAAAGAGAGCGUAGGUGGUUCCCCGAAGAAGACAUGAGUUCAGACAACUCGUUGCCCAAAGUCGUGAUUUUUCGAUUCGGGUAUAUUUAUUACGCUGGCCUUGUUCUGUGUGGCGUAUCAGAAUCAGAAACUCCAAUCCUUGCGGCACACUCGGGUUGAGGACUUCCCCGCCGAGUCAAUGGCGGAUUCCAUACCGCCCAUGGAAUAUUAGAAUUGUAGGGGAGUGCCACCUAAUUCAAAAUUAAUACGAAGAUCAGAACUACAUUGUCAAGAAUGAUUUAUGACUUUUCAGAAAAGUGCCCAUAUAAUUUGAAAACUAUUUUAUGUAUGAUGUUUUGACAAAUUGCUCUCUAUUAUUUUAUUUAUAUAAAAGCUUUAUUUUGGAUUACUUUGUGUACCAUUACAUCUCUAUUAACCCUUCCCUCCUCCUUCCAGGUUCUGAGGCUCAGUCUAGGGUCCAAAAAAGUAGUAGCAUUUAUCAGACAGAUUUGCAGUGUCCAGUUGGUGAGCCUUCUCUAUUUCGGAAGGCCUGUCUUAUCAAAUUAUGUCAUUUAUUUCUGUUUUGGUCUACUGGGGGCCUUAUCCCAGUUUCAGAUAGUUAUCAGAUUUUCUUGUAGUAGAAAUUUCGCAGACCGAUGUUCGAUGUUAUUUAGACGUAGUUGAUCUACAAUCUCCAUACUUAUGUUGAUUUCAGAAUUGACAAUGUUUCCGUAGUAAAUUAUGUUUUCCGCAUUUUCUUUAUUUAUAUGACUAUUGUGCAUGAUUACCAGAUAGAGAAGGGCAUUCCAUUCCUUCAUGAUUCUGGAUGUCUGUCACAGCCAUGUAACGCCUCGCAUUUCGGGCUACAAUAUAGACCAUGAUUUUGAUGUGUUGAUAAUCCCGAAGCCAUAAAAUCCUAUGCCAAUACGGAAUGUUAAUUAUUUAUGUAGCAUGUGAAUCCAUUAAAGCUUAAAUUUAGACCAUAGAGGUCCUUCAACUCAUGGAUGAGUUGAAACUAUUUCGAUCGACUAAGUUUUAGUGGACGUUGUAAAGUGUGUCAGCUUCGAGUUAGCUUUCCAACGAUACCAAUUUUUUUAAAAUCCGACACCCGAGCAAGAAGUUAUGGCCAUUCAAAGUGAUAUGAGUUGCCUAACCAAUCGCCCAUGGCCACUAGAAAGCAUCGACGCUAGCCUAUGUAAACAUAGACGAUAGCCUAGGAGGCGCCUAUGGGAUGGGCGGCUCCUAUGUAAAGAAUUCAAGUGACUUAAACACUCCGUUUUGGGGACAAAGUGGUCUAUUCCACCCUUACUUAGCCCUAAAACAUGAAAUUCAGUUCCAAGGACCCCAAAAUACACCUUCAUUCAUCAAAAGUGCUCAAAUAUUCUCCUUAGGGUUUCAAAAUAAAAACCCAAGCAACUCGAGAUUCAACCGGAGGUUUUAGGAACAAAUUGCAUAUUUGUAAUCCUCUCAGUGUAGGCUUCGAGAAGCAUCUAAUAUUCAUAGUAAUCAAGAUACGUGGGGUUAUCCUAAAAUCUCAUGGGUGUAGUUUUUAUGAACAUGCAUGCUUUUAAAUGGGGGUUUUCAAUUAAAUGCUAAUAACUUGCUUUCAAUAUGAUUUCUAAGUCAUUUUUCUUUAUGUCAUGGGAAUUGUUUGCCUAUAUACUUCAAUGGUUGAAACCAUGCAUAUGUGAUUUGAGAUUUUCCAUGGAAGUUUGGUAAAUAUGAAUGAUAAACUGCUUUCAAAUUCCCAUGAUAAUGUCUUGAUACCCCAUAUCAUAUUGUGAUCAACAAAAGAGAGCAUGAAUUUGAAAUAAAUAUUGUUCACCACUUGUAAAUAAUGAAGCACCUUGAUUUUUACAUGAUUAUGCGUAUGUGGAAGUGAUAUUGAGGACUUGCAAGUUGGGUAUGACGAUACCCUACAGAACAUGAUAUGUGAUUGAAUCUAAGAAAAUUUGAAUGCAUUGAUUUUACAUGAGAAAGGUGGAUGCUCAAAGAAGGCAUUUAAGUGUAAGGUCUCAUCACUGGAAAACAUGUUUGCUGACACGAAAUUUCAGUACCAGGCUAAGUGAUCUUGUGUACUUGACUUUAUGUCAUUCCCAAAUUGGGACUAUAGGUAGGAUCCCGGGCUAAGUGAUCUUGGGAACUACCAGUGGGUCGAGACACCAUGCUUUGUGGUCUUGAGUGUCUCUCCCUCACUUAUACUCUAAUCGCAGCGGCAACCGAGGUUAGACAGUUGGUGUAAAUUAUGCAGGGUAUUCCACCUAGCUCAGUUGCAUUUCAUUGUUGUUGAGAAACUAUUGCAUUACACCCAUGUGUUUUCAAAUGAUUUGAUACGAAAUUGCUUUAUAAUGUCUCUCAACUAUAUUUUGUAAAAAUAUUAUAUUUUGUUUUGAUAUCUCUGCGUGCCAGUACUUUUGUGCUGACCCCCUUCCCUCUCCAAUCUCUCAGGUUCAGAGGCCCAGUCUAGGGGUCAAGAGAAUUAGUAGAUCAUUCAGACAGAGUUGCAGAGACAAGUGGUAAGCCUUCUAUGUUUCAGAAGGUCUAAUGUCCAGUAGUCCUUUUAUCUUAAAUUUAGUUUUGGGGUCUACUGGGGGCCUUGUCCCAGUUUAUAUACAGUUGCUUGACUCAGUCAUUUGUUAGAGAUUUUCGUAGACAGUUGUUUAGAGGUUGACUGAUAUUGGGGGAACCUUAUCUCCCCGUUAUUGUUUCUUUUCAUAGUUAUGACCAUGUUUCCGAAUUACUGUUUUUCUUCUGCAUUACUUUGAUCAUAUGAAUUAGGUGCAUGAUUACCAAAUAGAUAGGGAUGUUUCGGGCCUCUAUGGUUCAAAAAGGUCGUCACGGCCAGGCCCUGGUUCAGGUUGUGACAAAAUUGGUAUCAAAGCAUGGUUCAUGGUCCCAGGGUGUUUGCAAAAUUACGUCGGGUAGAGUCUUGUUUAUGGGUGUGUAGCGCGCCAUACUUAUAAGCAUGAUGGUACUAGGCGUUUAGGAAAUUUUUCCCUUCUUUGUGAUUUAGUUCGUGCUUUAGAGUCUGAAUGUCCCCUAAUCAAUGAUCACUUGUGUUUCAGAAACACAGUUAUGCCUCCACGUCGUAUCAUCUAUCAGAAUGCUCAGGCAGAUGAGGUCUGUCCCACCCAUGGGAUGCGGACCCAUAACAGGGCUCACACUCCAGAAUUUGUCCCUACUCUAGGAGUCCCUUCAGUCCCGACCAGUCUACCUCGGGCUCUGCAGACUAAUGCCAACCGUCUCCCAACUGCUUAGGGAGAUAUUUCAAAUGCAGAAUUUAGACGGUCCAUUCAUAUUCUGACACAAUUGGUAGCUAACCAGGCUUAACAAUCGAAAGAUAUUGGGUCUGCAUCUAUUAUGUCUGAGGCUACUAUAGUCGGAUAUUUCAUGAAGAUGAACCCACCUAAGUUCACUAGCACCAAGGUGGAGGAAGAUCCACAGGUGUUCGUGGAUGAGAUAGAAAAGAUCUUUAAGGUGAUGCAUGUGGAUGAGGUUGAAGGGGUGGAGCUAGCAACCUAUCAGCUCAAGGAUUUUGCGAAUCAGUGGUAUACCGAUUGGGAAGAUGCAAAAGGUGAAAGUGCUGAGCCCACAGUUUGGGGCGAAUUUGUGGAAGCUUUUCUUGAUCGAUUCUUUCCUCUGGAUUUGAGAGAGACCAAAGCAGAAGAGUUUAUGAAUCUGAAGCAGGGCAGUAUGAGUGUCCCGGAGAACACUUUGAAGUUUAAUAAACUAGCCGGCUAUGCACCAGAGUUGACUAGUAAUAUGAGAUCCCGAAUGAGGAAAUUUGCCUCUGGCCUUGCUGAUAACCUAGUACUUGAGUGCUAGGGGGCUAUGUUGAAUAAGGAGUUAGACUUUUCUCGGCUAACCGUUCAUAAGCAGCAGGUGGAAGAGAAGAAGAAAAAGAUUACUGAAUCUAGAGAGAAAGACAGACAGAGUAAGAGAGCUAGAUCUGCGGACCAGCGCCAGAGUCAGCUGCAGAGUGGUAACUGGGGUAAUAAGUGGUCGAAGAAGAAAAAGUUUUGGAAUAAUGCACAGUCAGCAGCCAGCGCCCCAACACCUAGACCACCGACAGAUAGACAAACCCAAAUUUUUCAGACUCCUUAUGGAUCCAAAGCUCUAGGUACACAGUCUCAGGGCAGUGUGACCCAGCAGCAUCGUACUUAUCCACGGUGUGAGGUUUGCGGAAGGAAUCAUCUAUGGAAGUGCUAGUUUGAGGGGAGAAACUGCUAUACUUGUGGCAAAGUGGCUCAUCUUCAGAGAGAUUAUCCUUCUGCUGGAGAAAAUAUGGGGGGGGUAAGUCCCAAGCCAUCUCCACAGCUCCUUUUCCUAAGGGUGCCCCUUCAGCUGCCGGGAGCGGUCGCAACUGGUUAUAUUCUUUGACUAACCGCCAGGAGGCGAAAGCUUCACCAGAUGUUGUCACCGAUAUGUUAUAAAUCUUUUCUCGUGAUGUUUAUGUGUUGCUUGAUCUCGGGUCUACUUUAUCUUAUGUGACCCCUUAUGUGGCUGUUGGUUUUGGGUUUGAGCCCAAAGUUAUUGUAGAACCCUUCUCUGUUUUUACUCCUGUAGGUGAUUCUAUUAUUGCUAAAAGGGUGUAUGGAAAUUGUGUCGUGUCUAUUCAUAGUAAGGAAACUGUGGCAGACCUUAUAGAACUGGAUAUGAUAGAUUUUGAUGCCAUCCUUGGGAUGUACUGGCUCUAUUCGUAUUAUGCCACCCAUGAUUGUAGAACCCGAAAGAUCACUUUUUCUUUCCCGAAAGCGACACCAAUUGUAUGGGCAGGGAGUUCUGUGGAACCUAGAGGUCACUUUAUCUCUUAUCUUAGAGCCUGAAAGCUUAUCUCCAAAGGUUGUAUGUAUCAUCUAAUCUGAGUAAAAGAUUCAAAAGUUGAAAACCUUCCUCUGCAGUCAGUCCCUGCAGUGAAUGAAUUCCCAGAAGUCUUUCCCGAAGAUCUCCCAGGAAUACCCCCUGAUAGGGACAUAGAUUUUGGCAUUGAUGUGUUACCAGACACUCGUCCUAUUUUUAUUCUGCCAUAUAGAAUGGCUCCCAUGGAACUAAAGGAGUUAAAGGAACAACUUGCAGACCUCCUAGACAAAGGUUUUAUUCGUCCUAGUGUUUCCCCAUGGGGUGCACUCGUGCUCUUCGUGCAAAAGAAGGAUGGGUCCCUUCGGAUGUGCAUAGACUACCGCCAGUUGCCUAGGAUUGACGACCUUUUUGACCAGCUUCAGGGUGCCAAGUGUUUUUCAAAAAUAGACCUUCGUUCGGGUUAUCAUCAGUUGAAAGUUAGGGAGUCAGACAUACCAAGACAGCCUUCCAAACCCGAUAUGGUCACUACGAAUUUCUAGUCAUGUCCUUUGGGUUGACUAACGGCCCUACAACCUUCAUGGAUGUUAUGAAUAGAGUGUUCCAUCAGUUUUUUGACAUGUUCAUCAUUGUAUUUAUUGAUGAUAUUCUAAUCUAUUUUAAGAGUAAAGAGAAUCACGAUAAUCAACUCCAAAUUAUUCUUCAGACCCUUAAGGAUCAUCAACUGUAUGCCAAAUUUUCUAAGUAUGAAUUCUGGUUAGAUACAAUUGCCUUCCUGGGGCAUAUUGUGUCCAAUGACUGAAUAAGAGUGGAUCCCCAGAAAGUUGAAGCAGUGAGAAAAUAGCUUAGAUCCAUGAUUCCAAUCGAUAGUCGGAGCGUCUUGGGUUUGGCGGGGUAUUACAGAAGGUUCGUAGAGAGUUUUUCUUCCAUAGCUGCUCUGCUUACUAAACUGACUCAGAAAAAGAUGAAGUUUGCGUGGUCUGACUUGUGUGAAAAUAGUUUUGAGAAGUUGAAGGACAAGCUGACUACUGCUCCUGUUUUGACCCUUCUCGAGGGUGUAGAUAAUUUUGUGGUUUAUUAUGAUGCGUCCCGUGUGGGACUUGGUUGUGUAUUGAUGCAGCGUGGUAAGGUAAUAGCUUAUGCAUCUAGGCAGUUAAAGGUGCAUGAGCGCAAUUACCCCACUCAUGACUUGAAGUUAGCAGCCGUGGUGUUUACACUUAGAAUCUAGAGGCACUAUCUCUAUGGAGUGCAUAUUGAUAUUUAUACUGACCAUAAGAGUUUGCAGUAUGUUUUCUCACAGAAAGAAUUGAACCUCAGUUAGAGGCGUUGGAUGGAGCUUUUGAAAGACUAUGAUAUGAGUCUGCAUUACCAUCUGGGCAAGGCAAAUGUUAUAGCCGACGCCCUCAGCAGGUUGUCUAUGGGCAACUUUGUCAUGUAGAAGAAGGAAAGAAAGAGAUGGUGAAGGAUAUUCACCGCCUUGCAAAUCUUGGAGUGCGACUCUUAGAUUCCAAAGAUGGAGGGGUGAUUGUUCAUGAGUUAGCUAAGUCAUCCCUUUGUGCUGAAGUUAAGGAGAAGCAGGUUGAAGAUCCCAUCUUGAUGCAAAUCAAGAAAGAUGUGGGUCAACAAAAGGUUAUGUCAUUUGAAAUUGGUGGUGAUGGUAUUCUGAGAUUUCUAGAGGUAUGCCAUUCACCCAGGCUCUACUAAGAUGUACCAUGAUCUGAAAACCUUGUAUUGGUGGAAUAACAUAAAAUGUGAUGUAGCUGAUUUUGUGUCCAAGGGUUUGAACUGUCAACAAGUGAAGGUAGAACACAUGAGGCCAGGUGGUACUUCCCAAGAGAUAGCCCUUCCUUUAUGGAAGUGGGAGAUGACAAACAUGGACUUCAUUACAGGACUUCUGAGAUCCCGAAACUAGUAUGAUUCUAUAUGAGUGAUUGUUGAUCGGUUGACAAAGUCAGUUCACUUUUUGCCUGUGAGGACUAAUUAUUCGUGAGAGGUUUAUGCUAAUAUUUACAUUGAGGAGAUAGUUUUAUUGCAUGGGGCACCAGUGUCCAUUAUAUCCAAUAGAGGUACACAGUUUUCAUCUCAGUUCUAGAGAUCUUUUCAGAAGGGUUUAGGUACACAAGUAAAUUUGAGCACAGCUUUCCACCCUCAGACGGAUGGGCAAGCUGAGCAUACCAUUCAGAACCUCGAAGAUAUGUUGAGGGCAUGCGUCAUUGAUUUCAAAGGUAGUUGGGUAGAUCAUCUGCCACUGGUUGAAUUCUCUUACAAUAAUAGUUACCAUGCCAGCAUCAAGAUGGCUUUUUUUUGAGGCUUUGUAUGGAGGAGAUGUAGGUCUCCGACAGGAUGGUAUGAAGUGGGUGAGACUCAGUUGUAUAGGCCUGAUCUUGUUCAUCAGGCGAUGGAGAAAGUGAAGAUCUUUAGAGAAUGACUCAAGACUGCUCAGAGUCGUCAGAAGUCCUAUGCCGAUGUUCGGAGAAGACAACUAGAGUUUGAAAUUAGUGAUUGGGUGUUUCUAAAAGUUUCUCCUAUGAAAGGAGUUAUGCAGUUUGGAAAAGGGCUAAAUUGAGCCCUCGCUAUGUAGGGCCAUAUUAGAUUAUGAGAAAGAUUGGUACAGUUGCUUAUGAGCUAGAAUUGCCUGCAAGUUUGGGUUCCGUUCAUCCCGUAUUCCAUGUAUCCAUAUUGAAGAAAUGCAUUGGAGAUCAUUCUGUGGUAUUGCCAGUAGAGGGUAUCAAAGUAACAGACUUUUUGUCUUACGAAGAAUAGCCCGUUGAAAUUUUAGAUCACCAAGUUCAAAAGCUGAGGAGCAAAGAGAUAGCCUCAGUAAAGGUACUGUGGAGGAAUCAGAAAGUCGAAGAAGCAACUUGGGAGUUAGAAGAUAACAUGAGAAUUAGAUAUCCCAUUUUGUUUGCUUUGAUGGAGGAUGAGAUAGAAGGUACUAUUCCUAUCUUAUCUUUCCUAGUCCUUUAUUAUGCUUGAAAUCGUGUCCGCCUGUGUCCCACAUCAUCAUUCGGGGACGAAUGAUCCUAAGGGGGAUAAUGUAAUGCCCUGCAUUUUGGGCUAUAAGAUAGACCAUGAUUUCGAUGCGUUGAUAAUCCCGAAGCCAUAAAAUCCUAUGCCAACAUGACAUGUUAAUUAUUUGUGUAGUAUGUGAAUCCAUUCAAGCUUGAAUUUAGACCAUAGAGGUCCUUUAACUCAUGGAUGAGUUGAAACUAUUUCGAUCGACUAAGUUUUGGUGGACGUUGUAAAGUGUGUCAGCUUCCAUCGACCAUAACUCUCUGUAUAUGUAGAAUUAGGAAUCCUACUAUGUGUCAAAUGAUAGGUAUUCAAGUUAGCUUUCCAACGAUACCAAUUUUCCUAAAAUCUGACACCCGAGCAAGAAGUUCUAUAUUUCGGAAGGCCUGAUGUCUGUCAGUUCAUUUAUCAUUUAGUAGUUUUGGGUCUACUGGGGGCCUCUCCCCAGUUUUCAAACAGUAAUUUAUUUCUGUCAUGUAUUAGAGAUUUCGCAGACGGUUCUUCAUAUGUCGAUAGAUGUUGUGGGACAUUAUUUCCCGUUUGUUGAUUUUAUUUGAUUUAUGACCAUGUUUUCCAUAAUAUUAUGUAUCUUCCACAUAUCUUAUUAUCAUAUCAAUUAUGUGCAUGAUUACCAGAUAGAUAGGGGUGUUUUGGGCCUUCAUGGUUAGGAAUGCUCGUCACGGUCAGGGCCUCGGUUCGGGUCAUGACAAACUUAUCAAAGCACGGUUCAUGGUCCCUGGGUGUCUGCGAAAUCGUGUUGGGUAGAGUCUUGUUUAUGGGUAUGUAGCACGCCACACUUAUAAGUAGGAGGCUACGAGGCGUUUAGGAAUGUCUCUCUUUCUACAUGUUCUAGUUCGUGCAAUAGAGUCAGAAUAUUCCUCUUUCAUAUUCUAAUUCGUGCUAUGGUGUCGCCCAUAUGAUAGUAAAAAAAAAGUCAUCCCAAAUUUUUUCCUUACUCUAAUGUCCUCAGAUAUGUCUCAUUAUUGAGGUGAUUCAAGUGCAGAAUUUUAGAAUUAAAAUGGUAUGGUCCUUUCUGAUUGAACUAUUUAAGAGUUAAAAUUUGUGCAAGGACUUGAGAAAAGUCUGUUAGUGCUUCAAUGUGUAUUGAUUCCGAUGUAAACAUUGAUCCUGAUGGAAUCGUGCUUUUCAGCUUGAGGUAUUAAUUGCAUUUAGUCCCCUUCAAAUUUAUGUUACAAAUGUCUUGCUUAAGAGGGGAUGAUGUGUAGUAGAAUGUUGGAACUGUAUUUUCACCCGAAUAGUAGUAUGCAUUAAAGUGUUGUUGUCAUGACCUAUUGAUAGUGAAAUUAGACCAAGAAGUUGGUGAUGUGAAGUCACAAAGUUAGAAGUCAGAGCAAGGGUAACUUUUGCGUAAAUGAGUUUUCAGUUGAAUAACCGAUGUUCGAGAGUGAUUUACCCCUUAUGAUGAUAGACUAAUGUGGUAACUAGUAGCAUGUGUGGAUGGUGUGGUAGCCCGUGGAGGAAGUGUUUGACUCCGAUUUUAUUUAUACAGAGUAAGAUGUAUAUUCUUAGUUCGUUGGAUAUUGCAUAUUAAAUUUCUCUCUCAUGUAAUCUUGUCAAUCAGGGUGUUGUUGAAAAAAAUAAAGUCUAGUGAAGCCGUGUGGGGCUCUUUUGAUUCACUAGCAUAGUUGACUUGUCAUUCAUCUCAUUUUCUUGUUCAAAAUACAAAAUCAGAGUCUAGUGAAGCCGUGUGAGGCCUGUUUCGAUUCACUAGCAACUUGUUGUCCAACUUGUUGUUCUUGUGUUGGCUUAAUAUAUGUAUAGCUAAAUCUGUUUGCAUGAGAUUGAGUUGGUAAAGAGGUGAUUCAUCCUUGCAUGAUAGUUUAGUAGAAGGUAGAGAAGAAUUUGUUAGUCAAGGUGAUUUUUCGGUUACUUGAAGUGUGAAAAUGAUUAUAUUAGCCAGUAAGUUAUAAUUAUAGACUCAUGGUUGUAGUUGAAAUUGAAGGUAGUCUAAAGGUAUGAUUGAGUAAGUAAGUUUGGAUUGAGAAAUUCGUAUAAGUAGAUAAUAUUGUAUGGGGUUAUAAUAUCAGAUUAAGGUUGAUCAUGUCUAGCAUGAGAUUAAUGAUGUAUGUUUCGUGGGAAAAAAAUUAGUAGGAUUGAUGUGUUAAAAUAGCACGUGCUAAUGAGUUAUGAUAAGGAAAACCGUAAGGUCAAGAUCAAUUAUUUGUUGUUUGGAAGUUCUAGUGUACUAGUGUUUCUUGAUGUCUAUUUCAUGGUAUCCAAGUGAGAAUCAUGCGUAAGGUUGGGUUGUAAAAUCAUGCUUAGCAUGAGAAAUUAAGUUUUGAACAAUUGAUGUCCAUGAAGGUGGAUGUGAUGAUUUCUUGGUUAAUGAUACUAGUUUUAUGAAAGUAAUCUAAUAGUCUUGAACGGUAUAUGCAAGAGCUUAAGUUUAUUUGAUUCGUAGUGAAGUAUGAUGUUGCAUAUAUAAUGUAGAAGUAUGCCCAAGGUGAUCUAAGGUUGCGGUAUUUACUAAGACUAUUACACGUUAUGUGUGACGAGUGGUACCGUUGAUUUGCUUGGUGGAGAAAGACUAGUUAGAUGGUAUAUAGUGUUCUAAAUAGCCAAGUUAAGGAGUUUUGAUUGAUAGUGUUGAGCCUUUUUAUAUGAUCUUGAUUCUCAUAGUAGAGAGAUGUAAGUUUGGAGUCGUGAUAUUGGUAGGUUAUGUCGGAAGUAGUAUGAUUCAUUGAAGGCUUGGUGAUAUCCAUGUUGAGUGCUAGAUUCUAAGUUUGAGUUUUUGAAGGUUGAACUAAUAGAAAUAAGAGUUAAAGCACUAGAGGAUGUGCACUUCGACUAUGGGGGUACCCAUGAAUACCUUAAGUUAGUAAGUAUGCAAGUAUUAUAUGAUGACUACUGGGUCUAUAGAAUGAUAAAGUGUAUCUCAGAAGGUAGUAUUAAUAGUGGGUUUUCCAUUUUUAGGUGUAGUUAGUCGGGUUAAGUGCCAUGAUAUGCGUGUAUAGUAGUUUUCCAGACCCCAGAGUGCAGUGAGUGUACUUCAGUUUAGAGUCUAGUAAGGGAUCUCCCAAACUUAAUAUGAUGGCUUGAAGCUAAGGGGGAGAUGAUAGAGCGAAUAACCAAGUGAUGUCAGUAUGACAUAGAACAUCAGAAGGGAAGAGUGAGGCUCAACCCAUUCCGGUCUCAGUAUUUUUCAGUUAUCCUAAUACCUACUCAUACCUCACGUUUUAGUUUCAUGAUCAUAGUUCAUGUUCAUGUAUACGAUAGAAAAUCACGUGCUCUUCCAGAUUCCUAAAUGAGGAACUUUAGUUCAUUCAGCUGUAGUAAUCACAUUCCAUAUGUUAUGAACUCUAAAUUGAGGUCAUGCAGCUUAUGACUCAUGUAUUCACGCUUCAUAGUGUGCUCAGUUCCCAUAAUUCAUGCUAUACUCUUUACGAUUGGUGGAAUAUAGUUCAUAGCCAUGUAUGCCCCAAUUCAGAUUUUUUUUCUUUGAUAAAUCCCGAAUGUUGAUUUGCUAUUCCCCAGGCCUCAGUUAAGUGUCACUUUUCAUAUAACAUCCUUCCAUGCUUCAAGAUCUUAUGUUCUAAUCUUUAGUGACUCCUCUUUAUGUGAUGGUAGUGGUGAUGAGUAAAUGUUUCUAGUUGGUGGAAGAUCAUAGUAUGCUUCUUUUAGAUAAGGCCAUAAGUGCGAAGUAAGGUUGGGGCCAAGUCUUUGAUGCAUUUGAUGGUUAGCUGAAAGGUGUGUAUGUAUGUUCUUGGGGUAGAGUGUGGGAGCUAUAUCGAUAGAUGGUUAGUAGAAUAUGUGAAGUGUGUCUUUAUGAGUGUUUACUUUGAAGUUUAUAUGUGGUUAUAGAGAUAGGCUUGAAUGACAUGUUGGAAUUUUUGGUAAGGAACGCUAUAUGCACUAGCGACUUCGUAGUAAUAGUUCAUAGUUAGACAUUGAAGUGGUAAGGCAUAAUAGGCUUAGGGUGUGAUCUUAUAGAAGGUGGAAUCUUAUGGUUUAGACUUGUAUAAUGGAGUGGCAUGUAGUAUUUUGCGAGUUGGAGUUAGGCUUGAUCACGGUGAAGAGGAUUUAAGUUACUAUAGACAUUAGUAGAAAGAUUUAUAAAUGCAAAUACAAGAACAAAUAAGUUGGAUCGAAUGAAUGUGGUAUCUACGGGUAAUAGUACAGUUAAGGGAGUAUUCGAGGAGUGUGCUAAUCUUUAAAGUAAGAAGUCGCAUUGACUAAGGCCUGGAAAUUCUAUCCUAAUUUAUGAGUUAUAUGUCUAUAUUUCAGACUGCAGAGUAGUGUAAAUGUUGUGAUUUCCAUCAGUUGGACGUCUUAUGUAAUCCAUACCCAAGAUUCGUGGCUUCCUAUUACUGCUAGAACUUCUUUAGAGAGAGUGUUGAAGAGAUAUAUAAGUGUCUGGUAUAAUUCAGUCUGUAAUUCAGUUUAACAGUCGAACAAACAAGUUACUAUGGUUUUUCCACCUUUUCACCCAAUCCUACUAUCUGAAGUCUGAUGCGUAUGGCCAUUCCCAAGAGAUAAUCUAUUCCAUCCAUAUCAAUUGUGAGUUUAGUUCAUUCCAAGCAUCAUGUUUCAGAUUCAGCUAUCUAUUCAUGACUCGGUGCAUAAGAGUUCAGCGUAUAAUCUCAAAAUUUAUCAAGUAUUUCAGCUCAGAUAGUGUAAUACCCUUGCACGAUCUAAGUUUUGAUGUCUUAUGAUCGUACUUGCAUAAGUUAUCACUUCCUAAUUUCAAUAUGUAUGAUUGGAUCAUGAAUAUUUCAAGGGAAUCCUAAAUUUUCAUCAUGAAUCAGCUUUUUGAAGCAAGAAAAGUCAAGUCAACUCAGAAUUCAGUUUCAUUAUAGAAGUUUAAAUAUUAUAUAUUAGUUAUGUCCUUUCUUAGCAGGCACAUCAUGUCCGUGUUAUUCCAUACCUUUAAGCUUCAACAAAUUCCUACCCAUCAUUCGGGGACGAAUAAUCCCAAGGGGAGAUAAUGUAACACCCCACAUUUCGGACGAGAACGAAAAUCGUCAUUUCCUGCACGUAAAGGUUCCAAAAUCCAUAAAUCCAAUGCAAGUUUAGUGUGUUAAUAAAUUAUGUAGUGUGGAAACCUAUUUGAGCAUGAAUUAAUAUCAUAGAGGUCCCCAAGCUCAAGGACAAGUUGAAAGUUUUCCUAUCGUUUGAAUUUUAGUGAGCGUUGAAACUUAGGUCAACUUCAAUCGACCUUUACUCUUUGUAUAUAUUGAAUUAGAGUGCCUACUAUAUACCAAAUAAAAGGUAUUCGAAUUAUCUUUCCAACGAUACCAAUUUCGCGAAAAUCCGACACCUGAGAAAGAAGUUAUGGCUUUACAAAGUACAAUGUGUCGUGCAGCAAAAGGUGUGUGACGCACACCCUAACUUAUGCCAUAAGGUGUGCGACGCACAACCUAAUGCUACGAUAAAGAGUGCGGCGCACAACCUAUAUUAUGCCAUAAGGUGUACGCCGCAUAUAUUUGUAAGACCCCGCAAAAUCGUUGCAUCCGAAUUCAGCUCUCUUGGUUACAAGCGUCAAGACUUACCAAAUUUUCAUAAUUGUUCAACACUUAGUCUCAUUUCAAGCCUUCGAACUUAGGGGAUUUAUUUGAUGACCUUCCCGACCUCCGUUUUUGGAUUUUCAAGUUGCGUUACGAUCGGGCAAGCUUGUAGUGCACCCCGGGUGAGUUUCGGAAUUUUUGGAGUAGCGUAAGGUCAUGUUUGAUAUCCCAAACCAGUAGAAAAAGGUUACGGGGCCGUGCAGCCUCGCUUAGACCCCCGGUCUAAGUAGGGCGCCGCCCUAGCUGGAGACUUUUUGCCCAGUUUUCAGCAUUUCAGGGUCAACUUCAAACAAUCAUAACUCCCGCUUUAUAAUGAUCUGUGAGAGAUAUAAUAUAUCAAAUGAAAUCUCUUUGAGUCCUAUUUCAAAUGCAAUUGGUUUCAUCUAAUUUCAGUAUAUAAGCAAAAAGUUACAACCGAUUUACUUCAGCCUAUCAAACUGUCAACUGAGGGACAGAUUUGACCUUAAUUGUUCCUUAGGGGUAUUUUCGUCAUCCUCCACCCCCAUAUAUACCCCCAACGCGGGAUUAAGCCUUCAUUACACCAAAAUAUAGCCUAUUUUCUGAAAAACUAUCAAGAACAAGGCUAGGGUUUCAAUUGGGGCUUCCAAGAUUCAUGCCGAUUUAAUCACGAACUUCACAAAUUCUUAAUCUAAGGUAUGCGUAGUGUUCAUCUAUGGAUUCAAUUCAUUCAUAGAGCUCAAGAAUCAUGCUUUUAAAUGUUGUUUUGUAAACUUUUUGUGGUGAUAUGAAUAUGUACAUGUUGAUGAUGGAUGUUUAAUUUUCAAGAUGAUAUCUAAGGAUGUUUUCAUGAAAUAUAUGUGGUUGUUGGUUNNNNNNNNNNNNNNNNNNNNNNNNNNNNNNNNNNNNNNNNNNNNNNNNNNNNNNNNNNNNNNNNNNNNNNNNNNNNNNNNNNNNNNNNNNNNNNNNNNNNNNNNNNNNNNNNNNNNNNNNNNNNNNNNNNNNNNNNNNNNNNNNNNNNNNNNNNNNNNNNNNNNNNNNNNNNNNNNNNNNNNNNNNNNNNNNNNNNNNNNNNNNNNNNNNNNNNNNNNNNNNNNNNNNNNNNNNNNNNNNNNNNNNNNNNNNNNNNNNNNNNNNNNNNNNNNNNNNNNNNNNNNNNNNNNNNNNNNNNNNUUCCCUUAUGCUUGAAUGGUUUCCAUGCCAUUGUUAUGAAUAGUAUAUGUUGUCGAAAUGUCCAUGAUAUUAGAAUAUGAGAUUUAUGACUUGAUUAUAAGCAUUCCUAUUCAUGAUAGAUAUUAUGAUGACCAUGUACUUCAUGAAAUCCCCCACUCAUGUAUUAUGGAUUGUUAUUGAUGGUCGUGUACUCAAGAAAUUCAAGUUGUGUCAGUUUCCUUUCAUCGAGUCCUGGGGGUACUUGUUCCCAAAAAAUAUAGCUGUGUUCCUAGAGCCAUGUCAUGUUUUCAUGAUACUCUCAGUCAAGUCAUGAUCUAUAGAAUUCAGUCAGUCAUGUGACUCAGGAAAACUCAUAAAUCUCAGUAGUCCAGUAAUCUCAGUAAUCUCAGUGCUCAGUAACCUCAGCAACCUCAGUAUUCACAGUCAAUAUCAGUAACUUCAGUACUCUCAACCAGUCCUCAGAACUCAGUACAUUCCAUCAGUCAUCGAAAUCCAGUAAACUUAGUUUAGCUCCGCUAAACAAUACCACUAGUAUCAGUCCAGUUAAUCAGUAUCAAUUAAGCUAAUCAUUCCAGUUCAGUUAUUCAGUUCAGCUUAGUUAUUUAGUUCAAUGUCCUUCAGAUGGGAGUAGAAGUUAGCACCAAGUGAACCCAAGGAUGGGAACUCACUUGCCAGUUCAGGGUGUGAUUCUUAGUAGUCAUCCUUGUGUUCCAGAACUAUGUAGCCAGCAUAGGUUGAGACAUCUUAAACUGUUAAAUUAGGGUUGAUAAGGUGGAUUAACCUGUCAGUUUAGGGUUCCCACCAUUCUCAUUUGAGUACCUGCCAGUAUAGGGUUCUCACAGCUAUCCUUACUAGUGGCAUGGUAUUGACACCCCUCUAGUCGGGGCAGAGAUUUGACCCCAACUUUGCUGUAUACGUUAUAGGGGAAUGUCAGUUAGAUGACUACUUCCCACAGUUUCAGUUAUAGAUUUUAGGACUGUCAGCUACAGUUACCCAGUCUUAGUAAAGAACUUAGAUAGUUCUUCAGAUUUCAGUAUAUCAGGACUAUCAGAUACAAUCAACUCAGAAAUAGAAUGGAACUUUGAUAGUUUCCUUAAGGUUUAUGGACUGUCAGAUACAAUCACUUAUGAUAUCAAUCACAACAGUUAUCAGAACUCAUGCUAUCAGUACUCAGCUUCAGGAUUGUCAGAUACAGUCAAUCAGACCAGUUCUUCAUAGUUUGAACUGUCAGAGACAAUCAUUCAUUUAUCAGUAAUGCAAUAUCAGUCUCUUAGUAUUCAGUAAUACAGUAUUAGAUUCAUCACUUAUUAGUGAUUUACAUAUCAAUAUCAGUAAACUCAAUCUUUCAGAAUCUCAUCAUCAGUACACUCAUGUUGUUAGUGUUCAAACUCAGUAUCAGUAUCUCCAUGAGUUCAAUUACAGUUACGUAUGCAUAUAUGUACUCUCACGUUCAUAUCAGUCAGUAUUGUUCAUGCAUAUAACCCUUUGCAUUUAGCCUACCUCACUCGUAUACUCAGUACAUUCAGACGUACUGAUGCAUUUGUGCUAUGGUGCUUUCUCUUAUGUUAUACAAUAGGUUCAGAGUAAUGAGCUCCAAAUCAGCAGUAGAUUCUAGGAUCAGCAGUCAGAGUUAGAUGUGAGUCCUUAUCCUUUGAGGACAUGAUGAUUUCAUUUCUAUUUCAGUUUUUAGUUUAUUUCAGUAGUUGGAGUUAGUUAGGGACAUGUCCCAUCAACUCCUUAUUCAGACAGUUAGAGGCUUUCUAGACUACUUCAUGUCAGAUAGUUAUUUUAGUUUUUUUUUUGCUAUUGUUAUACCAUAUUUUUCAGAUAUGUAUCAGUAUUGAACCUUAUGGCCUUUCAAUUUAUGUUUUUGCAUAUUUUAUAAGAUAUUAUGCAGUUUACAGGUACAGAUAUCAGUCAUGAUUUAGCUUGUGGUCCUUCAAGGUCAUGAGCAUCAUGUAGCAUCUUGGUUUAGAAAAUCGGGGUGUUACAAACUUGGUAUGAGAGACUAAGGUUCAAUAAAGUCCUAGGAAGUUUGAAAGUCGCAUCUAGUAGAGUUUUGUACAUACGUGUGUUGUGCACCACACUUAUGUGCAGGAGGCUAUGAGAUAUUUUAGGAACAGUUUCCCUUCUUUCAUGUAUCAGAUCGUGCUAUAGCAAGGUUCUUUAAGAAAAAAACUCAUGUAGAUACACAUCAUGCUCCUCUCAUGUCAUCUUUACCUUACUUCUAAGGUAAGAAAUAGUGAAGUUCAAGUCCUAAAGAUAGGGCUUUCUCAGACAGCAUCCCAUCAGUUCCCUUAUGUUCCAAAGUUAUACGGAUCUCAUUCAUGAUCAUGAGAACUCAUUCUCGAACCCAGGUUUAGAUAUGCCAUCAGAUCCUUUCUGAAAAUCCUAUGAUAGCAUGUGACCCAGAGUUAGAAGCAUGAACCCAGGAGUUUUGCAGUAGUAGAGUUGGGAUAAUGAUAUCUAGACUAAAAAGACUAUGUAUUCAUGGGAUAGUUGUGCCAGAAUGAAUCAUUAGGCUUGAACAGUAUGAGUUAGAAAUUUAAUUUUAUUGACCUAAAAUUAAGCAUGAUGGUGUGAAUAUGAUAUUAGUAGUAUGUGAGAAAAUAGAGGCAGAUGAUGUGUUUAGUAAGGCAAGCAUGUGUUUGAUAGAGUGUAAGUAUGUGAUAAUGAUUUCAGUGCAGCUCAGAGAUUAGUUUAGUGUUCACAGACUUAUGAUGAUGGCUUUAAGCUAAGGGGAAGAUGAUAGAUAAAGUAACCAACUCAGCUCUCAGAUUCCAGUAGUAGUGCCAGUAUGUACAGAAAAGUAGUUAGGGAAGGCGAUUCCCAACCCAUCCUUAUCUCAGCGUAUAGCUUCCUACUUCAGUCAGAAUAAUGCCUAUGCAUGCUUUAUUUCUCAGAUUUUAUGAAUGCAGCUUAUGUUCACACGUAUUCCAUAGAAUCGUGUUUGCUUUUAGUUCAUAGGGAGUUCAGUUCUAGAUCACUCAGUGUUACGAAUCAUGUUUCAUAAACUCAGAAAUUCUAGACUCAGGUCAUGAGCUCAUGACUCAUGUACACGUAUAUGCUCCCCAGUAUACUCAGUUUCCAUGACUCAUACUACACCUUCAAUGAUCAGAUAAAUUCAGACUAUAUCAUGUAUAUACUCAGUUCAAACCUUUUUGGUAAAUCCAUGUUGUUGAUAUUCUAUUCCUCAGGUUUCAGUCAUGUUCCAAGUUCAGUAAGUAUCUAUUCAUGUUUCAGGUUCUCCUGAUUUAACACUUCAUAAGAUCUCCUUGCAGAACAGUGUAGUGGUGAGCAGUCACUUAGAUGGGAGAGAGUUAAUAUUUCAUGUUAAGAGCAGACUGUUACAUGUAUGUUUUACAUAAGGGUGUAGAUACGAAGAUAGGCUUGAAUGUCAUGUUAGUAUGCAAUUAAAUGGCUAGCAAGGGAUAGUACUUAGAAAUUGGGAAAGUUUAGAAUAUGAAUAUAUAUUCAGAUCCCUGACUAGUGUCAGCCUUCAUGUUUCGGCUAUUGUAACUUAGUAACCAAUUUCAGUCCCAAAGCUCAGCUUCAGUAGUCCAGUAUCAGUAAUUAGCAUUUGAGAUAAAUAUGGACUUCGUGAUUGGUUUACCUCCUUCCCGAUGCCAUCAUGAUUCCAUUUGGGUUGUGGUUGAUAGGUUUACUAAGUCUACUCAUUUCUUACCUGUUCAUACUUCAUAUACUGCUGAGGAUUAUGCUAGAUUGUAUAUCCGAGAGCUAGUCAGACUACAUGGAGUUCCCUUGUCUAUCAUUUCAGAUAGGGGUACUCAGUUCACUUCGCAAUUUUAGAAAGUACCCAAGUGCUUUUGAGUUUUUCUUUUCAUCCACAGAUCGAUGGUUAGGCUGCGCGGACCAUCCAGACCUUAGAGGAUAUGUUGAGAGCUUGUGCACUUGACUUUAAAGGAAGUUGGGAUGAUCACUUAUCGUUAAUACAGUUUGCUUACAAUAACAGUUUCCACUCUAGUAUUGGUAUGACUCCAUUUGAAGUCUUAUAUGGGAGGAAGUGUAGAUCACCCAUAGGUUGGUUCGAGGUGGGUGAAGCGGCUGUGAGUAGUCCUGAUUCGGUAUUUGAGGCUAUGGAAAAAGUUAAGUUGAUUAGGGAAAGGUUGAAAACUGUGAAGAGUCGUCAAAAGUCAUAUGCGNNNNNNNNNNNNNNNNNNNNNNNNNNNNNNNNNNNNNNNNNNNNNNNNNNNNNNNNNNNNNNNNNNNNNNNNNNNNNNNNNNNNNNNNNNNNNNNNNNNNNNNNNNNNNNNNNNNNNNNNNNNNNNNNNNNNNNNNNNNNNNNNNNNNNNNNNNNNNNNNNNNNNNNNNNNNNNNNNNNNNNNNNNNNNNNNNNNNNNNNNNNNNNNNNNNNNNNNNNNNNNNNNNNNNNNNNNNNNNNNNNNNNNNNNNNNNNNNNNNNNNNNNNNNNNNNNNNNNNNNNNNNNNNNNNNNNNNNNNNNNNNNNNNNNNNNNNNNNNNNNNNNNNNNNNNNNNNNNNNNNNNNNNNNNNNNNNNNNNNNNNNNNNNNNNNNNNNNNNNNNNNNNNNNNNNNNNNNNNNNNNNNNNNNNNNNNNNNNNNNNNNNNNNNNNNNNNNNNNNNNNNNNNNNNNNNNNNNNNNNNNNNNNNNNNNNNNNNNNNNNNNNNNNNNNNNNNNNNNNNNNNNNNNNNNNNNNNNNNNNNNNNNNNNNNNNNNNNNNNNNNNNNNNNNNNNNNNNNNNNNNNNNNNNNNNNNNNNNNNNNNNNNNNNNNNNNNNNNNNNNNNNNNNNNNNNNNNNNNNNNNNNNNNNNNNNNNNNNNNNNNNNNNNNNNNNNNNNNNNNNNNNNNNNNNNNNNNNNNNNNNNNNNNNNNNNNNNNNNNNNNNNNNNNNNNNNNNNNNNNNNNNNNNNNNNNNNNNNNNNNNNNNNNNNNNNNNNNNNNNNNNNNNNNNNNNNNNNNNNNNNNNNNNNNNNNNNNNNNNNNNNNNNNNNNNNNNNNNNNNNNNNNNNNNNNNNNNNNNNNNNNNNNNNNNNNNNNNNNNNNNNNNNNNNNNNNNNNNNNNNNNNNNNNNNNNNNNNNNNNNNNNNNNNNNNNNNNNNNNNNNNNNNNNNNNNNNNNNNNNNNNNNNNNNNNNNNNNNNNNNNNNNNNNNNNNNNNNNNNNNNNNNNNNNNNNNNNNNNNNNNNNNNNNNNNNNNNNNNNNNNNNNNNNNNNNNNNNNNNNNNNNNNNNNNNNNNNNNNNNNNNNNNNNNNNNNNNNNNNNNNNNNNNNNNNNNNNNNNNNNNNNNNNNNNNNNNNNNNNNNNNNNNNNNNNNNNNNNNNNNNNNNNNNNNNNNNNNNNNNNNNNNNNNNNNNNNNNNNNNNNNNNNNNNNNNNNNNNNNNNNNNNNNNNNNNNNNNNNNNNNNNNNNNNNNNNNNNNNNNNNNNNNNNNNNNNNNNNNNNNNNNNNNNNNNNNNNNNNNNNNNNNNNNNNNNNNNNNNNNNNNNNNNNNNNNNNNNNNNNNNNNNNNNNNNNNNNNNNNNNNNNNNNNNNNNNNNNNNNNNNNNNNNNNNNNNNNNNNNNNNNNNNNNNNNNNNNNNNNNNNNNNNNNNNNNNNNNNNNNNNNNNNNNNNNNNNNNNNNNNNNNNNNNNNNNNNNNNNNNNNNNNNNNNNNNNNNNNNNNNNNNNNNNNNNNNNNNNNNNNNNNNNNNNNNNNNNNNNNNNNNNNNNNNNNNNNNNNNNNNNNNNNNNNNNNNNNNNNNNNNNNNNNNNNNNNNNNNNNNNNNNNNNNNNNNNNNNNNNNNNNNNNNNNNNNNNNNNNNNNNNNNNNNNNNNNNNNNNNNNNNNNNNNNNNNNNNNNNNNNNNNNNNNNNNNNNNNNNNNNNNNNNNNNNNNNNNNNNNNNNNNNNNNNNNNNNNNNNNNNNNNNNNNNNNNNNNNNNNNNNNNNNNNNNNNNNNNNNNNNNNNNNNNNNNNNNNNNNNNNNNNNNNNNNNNNNNNNNNNNNNNNNNNNNNNNNNNNNNNNNNNNNNNNNNNNNNNNNNNNNNNNNNNNNNNNNNNNNNNNNNNNNNNNNNNNNNNNNNNNNNNNNNNNNNNNNNNNNNNNNNNNNNNNNNNNNNNNNNNNNNNNNNNNNNNNNNNNNNNNNNNNNNNNNNNNNNNNNNNNNNNNNNNNNNNNNNNNNNNNNNNNNNNNNNNNNNNNNNNNNNNNNNNNNNNNNNNNNNNNNNNNNNNNNNNNNNNNNNNNNNNNNNNNNNNNNNNNNNNNNNNNNNNNNNNNNNNNNNNNNNNNNNNNNNNNNNNNNNNNNNNNNNNNNNNNNNNNNNNNNNNNNNNNNNNNNNNNNNNNNNNNNNNNNNNNNNNNNNNNNNNNNNNNNNNNNNNNNNNNNNNNNNNNNNNNNNNNNNNNNNNNNNNNNNNNNNNNNNNNNNNNNNNNNNNNNNNNNNNNNNNNNNNNNNNNNNNNNNNNNNNNNNNNNNNNNNNNNNNNNNNNNNNNNNNNNNNNNNNNNNNNNNNNNNNNNNNNNNNNNNNNNNNNNNNNNNNNNNNNNNNNNNNNNNNNNNNNNNNNNNNNNNNNNNNNNNNNNNNNNNNNNNNNNNNNNNNNNNNNNNNNNNNNNNNNNNNNNNNNNNNNNNNNNNNNNNNNNNNNNNNNNNNNNNNNNNNNNNNNNNNNNNNNNNNNNNNNNNNNNNNNNNNNNNNNNNNNNNNNNNNNNNNNNNNNNNNNNNNNNNNNNNNNNNNNNNNNNNNNNNNNNNNNNNNNNNNNNNUAUGAUGACGCACAUGUGUUAUUGUACUUAUUUCAUCCUCUCAUGAUUAUGAUGAUUUUGUUCGGGCUAUGUGAGUCUUUCAUACAUCCUGCAUAUUUCUUAUAAAUAUUUAUGAUGAUGAUGUUUAUACAACUUCAUACACCCAUAUAUACUCAGUUCCUUUCCAUAGUACUGACCCACAUCUUCGAAUGUGGGCUGCAUUUUCUCGAAAUGUAGGUUCAGGUGCUUAGUUCUAGGUUUGACAGUGAUUCUUUAGGAACGCUAUUCUACAUCCUCUGUUGUGGCGAGUCCUCAUGUUCCGAGGACGUGAUGUCUGAUGUUGGUUUCACGGAAUUUUUUACAUUUGAUAACUGAGUAUGAGUCAGUUGGGGCAUGUCUCAAUGGCUCGCUGGUUUUAUUGAUUUUCUUAGAGGUUUGUCAGACUAGUAUAGAUGUUGGGAGUUGACUAAUAAUUUAUACUUUGUUAUCUUUCUGAAAUUCUUUUAUUCUUGGAUGAUAAUUACUCUGUUGAUAUUUGAGGGUUAUUUAUGGAAACCCCAUUGAUUUGUGUUGAACUGAAUGAAAAUGGAUCAAAGGGUUAGCUUGGGGCUACUCGUAGCCUCAAGCACCGUGUGACGCUCCGAGACCCAUUUUUCGGGGCGUUACAGUAUCCCAAGGGGGAGAUAUGUCAUAACCCCCAAACUUUCAUGACAUUAACAUGCUACCUUCUUUUUCUUUUAAUGAAUCUAGUUUGGACUAAGGGGUACUCAUAAGUUUACCCUUAAGCUCCAACCUUAGUUGUAUGCCAUGUAUUACAGACUCAGUUCAGCUCAUGUAUCACGUUCCAGACUCAGUUAUGUUCUCAUGUUUCCUCUCAAGCAUAUUGAGUAAUUAAUCUCAGAUCAUCAGUAUUUUUAGUUCAAGGUAACAGUCUUCCUUGAACUUACUUAUUCCCAUAUUUGGAUUUCAGUACCAAGCUUUGUAUGCAGUUUCAUGCUCAGUUUUCAGUUCAAACUUGGUACCAUUACCAUUGUAUGUUCAGUCGCAUGUUCAUGAGUUAGUUCAGUUAUGUAUCCACACAUCAGAUAUGCGUGGUCAGCUUAUCAGUACAUUCAGUCAUGCAUUCACAUAUCACGUCAGUCAUACAAUCAUGCAUCAGAUAUGCAUUCUUAUUUGAGAAAACUCAGUUCAUCAAAACACUCAGUCCUACAUUCAUAAAUCAAUUACGCAUGCAUCCGAUAUGUAUGUACAGUAUAAUAUACUCAUCUUAUCAGUUAUGUCCUUCAAAAAAAUCAUAUUUUGGUAGUGUACGUCUUGUAAAUACUUCAGUUUAUCAUUUCUCUCCUCUUAGUCAGUUUUCAUUCAAGGACGAAUGUUCUCAAGGGAGAUAUUGUAAGACCCCGUAAAAUCGUUGCAUCCGAAUUCAUCUCUCUUGGAUUUACAAGCUUCAAGACUUAGCAAAUUUUCAUAAGUGUUCAACACUUAGUCUCAUUUCAAGCCUUCGAACUUCGGGGGGGAUUUAUUUGAUGACCUUUUCGACCUCUAUUUUUGGAUUUUCAAGUUGCGUUACGAUCAGACAAGCUUGUAGUGCACCUCGGGUGAGUUUUGGAAUUUCCACAGUAUCUUAAGGUCAUGUUUGAUAUCCCAAACCAGUAUAAAAAGUAUACGAGGCCGCGCAGCCUCACUUAGACCCUCGGUCUAAGCAGGGCGCCGCCCUGGCUGGAGCCUUUUUGUCCAGUUUUCAGCAUUUCAGGGUCAACUUCAAAUGAUCAUAGCUCCCUGUAUAUAAUGAACUGUGAGAGAUAUAAUAUAUCAAAUGAAAUCUCUUUGAGUCCUAUUUCAAAUGCAAUUGGUUUCAUCUAAUUUCAGUAUAUGAGUAAAAAGUUAUAACCGAUUUACUUCAGCCUAUCAAACUGUCAACUGAGGGACAAAUUUGACCUAAAUUGUUCCUUAGGGGUAUUUUGGUCAUCCUCCACCCCCAUAUUUACCACCAACACGGGAUUAAGACUUCAUUACACCAAAGUAUAGCCUAUUUUCUGAAAAACUCUCAAGAACAAGGCUAGGGUUUCAAUUGGGGCUUCCAAGAUUCAUGCCGAUUUCACCGCGAACUUCACAAAUUCUUAAUCUAGUAUGCAUAGUGUUCAUCUAUGGAUUCAAUUCGUUCAUAGAGCUCAAGAAUCAUGCUUUUAAAUGUUGUUUUGUAAACUUUUUGUGGUGAUAUGAAUAUGUACAUGUUGAUGAUGGAUGUUUAAGUUUCAAGAUGAUAUCUAAGGAUGUUUUCAUGAAAUAUAUGUGGUUGUUGGUUGAAAAUCAUGAACUUUGGGUGGUUUAAUAUAAUGCAAGUACAAAAUUCACCUAUGCCUUGAAGAAUGCAUGCAAGGUGUUUGAUAAAAUGCCUAGGAUGCUAGAAAUUCCUAUUUACAUGAUUCUAUGAUAUUCACAUGACAAGUCCGUGUUAGCUAUACACUUCAAUAUGAAUUUCCAUGCUAAUUAUGUAUUCUUAUGGUAGUGGCAUGAAGUAUGUAUGAUGAUGAAGAUAUGAAUUAUGUAUGCGAAUUAUAUCCAUGCUUUUCCUACCAUGUUUGAGAUGUUGAAUAAAUACAUGAAGUGAAAUAUACCCAAAUCAUUAAUAUAUGAACUAAAUGUUACAUGUUGACAUUCGCUUAUGCUUGAAUGGUUUCCAUGCCAUUGCUAUGAAUAGUAUAUGUUGUCGGAAUGCCCAUGAUAUUAGAAUAUGAGAUUUAUGACUUGAUUAUAAGCAUUCCUAUUCAUGAUAGAUAUUAUGAUGACCAUGUACUUCAUGAAAUCCCCCACUCAUGUAUUAUGGAUUGUUAUUGAUGGUCGUGUACUCAAGAAAUUCAAGUUGUGUCAGUUUGCUUCCAUUGAGUCCUGGGGAUACUUGUACCCAAAAAAUAUAGCUUUGUACCUAGAGACAUGUAAUACUUUCACGAUACUCUGAUUCAAUCCAUGAUCUAUAGAAUUCAGUCAGUCAUGUGACUCAUGUAAACUCAGAAAUCUCAGUAAUCUCAGUAGUCCAGUAAUCUCAGUAAUCUCAGUACUCAGUAACCUUAGCAACCUCAGUAUUCACAGUCAAUCUCAGUAACUUCAGUACUCUCAACCAGUCCUCAGUACUCAGUACAUUCCAUCAGUCAUCGGAAUCUAGUUAACUUAGUUUAGCUCCGCUAAACAAUACCACUAGUAUCAGUCCAGUUAAUCAGUAUUAGUUCAGCUAAUCAGUUCAGUUUAGUUAUUCAGUUUAGCUUAGUUAUUCAGUUCAGUGUCCUUCAGAUGAGAGUAGAAGUUAUCACCGAGUGUACCCAAGGAUAGGAACUCACCUGCCAGUUCAGGGUAUGAUUCAUAGCAGUCAUCCUUGUGUUUCAGAACUACAUAGCCAGCAUAGGUUGAGAUAGCUUAACCUAUCAGAUUAGGGUUGAUGAGGUGGCUUAACCAUUCAGUUUAGGGUUCCCACCAUUCUCAUUUGAGUACCUGUUAGUAUAGGGUUCUCACAGCUGUCAUUACCAGUGGCACGGUAUUGACACCCCUCCAGUCGGGGCAGAGAUUGGACCCUAACUUUGCUAUAUGAGUUAUAGGGGCAUGGCGAUUAGAUGAAUACUUCCUACAGUUUUAGUUACAGAUUUCAGGACUAUCAGCUACAGUUACCCAGUCUCAGUAAAGAACUCAGAUAGUUCUUCAGAUUUCAGUAUAUCAGGACUAUCAGAUACAAUCAACUCAGAAAUAGAAUGGAACUCUAAUAGUUUCCUUAAGAUUUAUGGACUGUCAUAUACAAUCACUUAUGAUAUCAAUCAAAAUAGUUAUCAGAACUCAUGCUAUCAGUACUCAGCUUCAGGACUAUCAGAUACAGUCAAUCAGACCAGUUCUUCAUAGUUCGAACUGUCAGAGACAAUCAUUUAUUUAUCAGUAAUGCUAUAUUAGUCUCUUAGUAUUCAGUAAUACAGUAUCAGAUUCAUCACUUAUUAGUGAUUUACAUAUCACUAUCAGUAAACUCAGUCUUUCAGAAUCUCAUCAUCAGUACACUCAUGUUGUUAGUGUUCAAACUCAGUAGUCAGUAUCUCCACGAGUUCAGUUACAGUUACGUAAGCAUAUAUGUACUCUCACGUUCAUAUCAGUCAGUAUUAUUCAUGCAUAUAACCCUUUGCAUUUAGCCUACCUCACUCAUAUACUCAGUACAUUCAGACGUACUGACACAUUUGCGUGAUGGUGCUUUCUCUUAUGUUAUACCAUAGGUUCAGAGGCAUGAGCUCCAAAUCAGCAGUAGAUUCCAGGAUCAACAGUCAAAUUUAGACGUGAGUCCUCAUCCUUUGAGGACAUGAUGAUUUCAUUUCUAUUUUAGUUUUCAGUUUAUUUUAGUAGCUGGAGUUAUUGGGGACAUGUCCCAUCAACUCCUUAUUCAGACAGUUAGAGGCUUUCUAGACUACUUCAUGUCAGAUAGUUAUUUUAGUUUUGUUUUUGUAUUGUUAUACCAUAUUUUUCAGAUAUGUAUCAGUAUUGAACCUUAUGGCCUUUCAGUUUAUGUUUCCACAUAUUUUAUGAGAUAUUAUGCAGUUUACAGGUACAGAUAGUAGUCAUGGGUUAGCUUGUGGUCCUUCGGGGUCAUGAGCACUGUGUAGCGUCUCGGUUCAGAAAAUUGGGGCGUUACAAUAUUAUUACUCAAGUGACUUAAACACUCUAUUUUUGGGGCAAAAUGGUCCUUUUCCCACCCUUACUUAGCCAUAAACAUGAAAUUCAGUUCCCAAAUACCCCAAAAUACAACUUCAUUCAUCAAAAUUGCUCAAGAACUCUCCUUAGGGUUUCAAAAUAAAAACCCAAGAAACUCAAGAUUCAACCGUGGGUUUUUGAAACUAAUUGCAUAUUUGGAAUCCAUAGAACGUAGGCUUCAAGAAGCACCUAUCAUCUUUGCAUAUAGAGGUACGUAGGGUUAUCUUAAAAAUCUCAUGGGCUUAAAAAUUCAUGUUUUAAAAAUGGAGGUUUAGAAAUUAUGAAUAUAAUCCCAUUUUAAAUGUUUUGUGAUAUUGAUUUUGUCUUUAGGCCUAUUCCCAAAGUGGUUUGAUAUAUGAUAUAUAUAUAUAUAUAUAUGCAUGUAUUUCGAAAAGAUGUUAACUUGAGAGUAUAAAUUAUAUGAAAUCCCUCUCUUUAUUUGAUCUCAUUUUAAAUUCUCAUAUGAUGUGAAAUGUUUGAAAUCAUCUUGACAAGUGUGAAAUGAAAUAUUUUGAAAAUGGUCAUGGUUUUGACUUGCAAUGAGGGUUGUUAUGUUGAAAUAUAAUGAAUAUAAAGGUUGCAUGAAAGAAUGAUAUGAUAUUGAUGGCUUGCAAGUCGGGUAUGACGAUACCCUAUAGAAUAAGAUAUGUGAUUGAAUUAAAUAGAGUUUGAUGUAUUGAUUUUACAUGAGAUAGGUGGAUGCCCGAAGAAGGCAUUUGAGUGUAAGGGCUCAUCGCUAGAAACUGUGUUUGCCGACAAGGGGAUUUGGUACCAGGCUAAGUGAUCUUGUGUACUUGACUUUAUGUUAUUCCCAAAUUGGGACUAUGGUUAGGAGCCCAGGCUAAGUGAUCUUGGGCACUACUAUACUUUAUUGGGUCGAGACACCCUGCUGUGUGAUCUUGUGUGUCUCCCCCUAACUUAUACUCUAAUCUCGGCGGUGACCGUGAUUUGACAGUUGUUGUAAAUGUUAUAUGUAGGGUUUUCCACCUAGCUCAGCUGCAUUACAUUGUUGUUGAAAACUAUUACAUUAUGCCCAUGUGUUUUCAAAACUAUUACAUUUGAUAUUCUCAAACAUGUCUCAUUAUUGGGCCGAUUCAAGUACAGAAGUUUAGAGUUUAAAUGGUAUGGUUCUUUCUGAUAGAAUCAUAUAAUAUUUCUGUAAGGACUUGAGAAGAGUCCAUUAGUACUUCAAAAUGUAUUUGGUUCUCGUGUGAACCUUGAUUUUAAUGAAAUCGUGCUUUUCAGCCUGCAGUAUUAAGAGUAUUCCAUCUCUUUUCAAAAAUUUAUAUUGCAGGUGUAUGCUUCAGGGGGAAUGAUGUGUAGUAGAAUGUUGGAACUGUAUUUCCACCCGAUUAGUAGUAUAAGUUAAAGUGUCAGUGUCAUGACCUACUGGUAGUGAGAUUAGACCAAGAAGUGUAUGAUAUGAAGUCACAAAGUUAGAAGUCAGAGUGAAGGUGACUUUUGUGUAUAUAGAUAUUUUAGUUGAAUAACCGAUGUUUGAGAAUGAUUUACCACUUUAUAGUGAUAGACUAAUAUGAUAGCUAGUAACAUAUAUGGAUUGUAUGGUAGUCUGUGGGGAAGUGUUUGGCUUAGAUUUUUAUUUAUACAGAGUAAGAUGUGUAUUCUUAGAUCAUUGCAUAUUGUGUGUCAAUUUUCUAUCUCUUGUAAUAUUUAAUCUGGUUAUCAUGGUAUUUUUGAAAAAUCAAAGUCUAGUGAAGCCUUGUGGGGCUCUUUCGAUUCACUAUCAUAGUUGCUUUGUUAUUCAUUUCAUUUUCUUGUUCAAAGCACAAAAAUCAAAGUCUAGUGAGGCCGUGUGAGGCCAAUUUCUAUUCACUAGCAACUUGUUGUUCAUGUGUUGGUUGAAUAUAUGUAUAGUCGAAUCUUUUCGCAUGAGGUUGAGUUGGUACUGAAGUGAUACGUCUUGAUGUGUUAGUUUAGCAGAAGGUAGAGAAAGAGUUAUUAGUUAAGGAGAAUUGUUGUCUGCUUGAAGUAUGAAAAUGGCUAGAUGACCCUGUAAGUUAUAAUUUGUCACGACCCAAAUCGGGGCCCAGGCCGUGACGAGUAUCCCGUACCAUGAAGGCCCGAAUCACCCCUGUCUAUCUGGUAAUCAUGCACAUAAUUCAUAUGAUAAAAGGAAUGCAGAAGAUACACAAUAUUACAGAAACAUGGUCAUAAGUCUAAUACAAUCAAUAAUGGGAAAUAAAGUCCCACAACAUCUAUCAACAUCUGAAAUCCGUCAGCGAAAUCUCUACUACAUGACUAAUAACAACAGUCUGAAAUCUGGGAUAAGGCCCCCAGUAGACCAAAACAUGACUAAAGAUAAAUAUCUGAAAGUAAACAGGCCUUCUGGAAUAUAGAAUGCUUACCACUGCACAAUCUGACCUGUGAUAAAAAAUAUCUACUAUUCAUCUGGACCCCUAGACUAAGUCUCAAAACCUGGAAGGGGGGGGGGUCAGCACAAAAGUACUGGCACACGAAGCAAUCCAAAAUAGAGUGAUUGAAUAUAUAUAUAUAUAUAUAUAAUAUAAUACAUGAGAGCAAUUUUCAUCAAAACAUCAUGGAUAAAACAGUUUCUGAAAAAUACAUGGGCACCUUAUGAAAACAUGUAACCUGUCUGUAAAUUUCAAAUUCUGAUUUGUGUAUUACUUCUAAGUUAGGUGGUAUCCCCUACAAACCUAAUAUUUCACGAGCGAUAUGGAAUCCGCCAUUGACUCGGCGGGGAAGCCUCCAACCCGAGUGUGCCACAAGGGUUAGAGUUCCUGAAUAUGAUACGCCACACGACACUUAAGUCAGCGUAUAAUAAUAUGCCCGGGCCGGCAAACCAUGGUUUUGGGCAAAGAGUUGUAUGAACUCACACCUUCUUUGGGGAACCACCUAAGCUCUCUUUAUUCCCUAUUUUAGCCUUUUCUGAACAUGCAUCAUUCUGAAGUUCUAAAAUAUGCAAAUUUGAUAAAUUCUGAUUUCUGUAUUCGUCUGUGUCUGUUAUGGCAUUUUCUGAGUUUGGUAUUGUCAUACCAAGACUUGAAAGUCCUAUUUCUGAGCCAUAAUGCAUUAAGCAUGAUCUUUUAUAAAAUAUAGUUUCAGACCACCCAAACAUGUGAUUUGCAUAUAAGAUUUCAUGUUCCAAAACUCAAGUCAAAACCAUGCAAAAACUUCAUCAAACAUAUGGUGGUCUAAUGCCUUUAGCAAAUCCAUGCACUCUUUCAUUACAUGCAUUAUGAACAUUAAACAUUCAUGCUAAAUUCCCUCUUUAGUGAUUUAAAACCACAUUUAAAUCAUAAUAAGAGUUCAACCAUUUCAUAUAGUGCUUUUCAAGAAUGCAUUGCAAAACAAUUCAUAUGCUGUGAAAAAUCUAAAAAUUCAUAAUAAGAGGGAAUUCACCAAAUGUCAUGCUCUCAACAAGAAUUCAUUCUUAAAUUCAUGUUUUCAUACAUACACUCAAAUCACUUUUGGGAAGGUCAAAAGACCAAAACAAUGAUGUUAAAACAUCUAAUACGUGAAUAUCUACAUAGUUUCAAAAAACCCAUUCUAAAACAUGAUUUUUCUAUGCCCAUGAGUAUUUAGGAAAACCCCGCGUACCUCUAUAUGUGAAGAUGAUAGGUGCUUCUUGAAGCCUAGGUUCUGGGGAUUCCAACUAUGCCACUAGUUUCAAAACCCACGGUUGAAUCUUGAGUUGCUUGGGUUUUUAUUUUGAAACCUUAAGGAGAGUUCUUAAGCAAUUUUGUUGAAUGAAGGUGUAUUUUGGGGUCUUUGGGAACUGAAUUUCGUGUUUAUGGCUAAAUAAGGGUGGGAAAAGGACCAUUUUGCCCCAAAAAUGGAGUGUUUAAGUCACUUGAAAUGUUUACAUAAGCGCCGCCUAUGCUAUCGCCUAUGUUUACAUAGGCGCUGCCUAGGCUAUCGCCUAUGUUUUCCAGUGGCCAUGUACGAUUGGUUAGGCGGUGCAUACUACUUUGAAAGGCCAUAAAUUCUUCCUCGGAUGUAAGAUUUUAGCAAAAUUGGUAUCCUUGGAAAGCUAACUCGAAAACCUAUCAUUUUACACAUGUAGGCUCUCUAAUUUGACAUAUACAAAGAGUCAUGGUCGAUAGAAGUUGACAUAAAUUUUAAUAUCCACUUAAACUUAAUUGAUCGAAGUAGUUUUCAACUCGUCCUUGAGUUGAAGGACCUCUAUGGUCUAAAUUCAUGCUCAAAUGGAUUCACAUACUAUAUAAACAUGCCAAAUUGGCAUAGGAUUUAUGGCUUUGGGAUUAUCGAUGCAUCGGAAUCAUGGUCUAUAUUCUAGCCCGAAAUAUGGGGUGUUACAUUAUCUCCCCCUUAGGAUCAUUUGUCCCCAAAUGAUGGAUAGAAUGUCAAAGUUUUAAGGCUAUGGGAUAGUGCGAACAUGAUAUGUUCCCUAAGAAAGAAUACACUGAUCGGAAACAUGACUAUAAGAUUGGAACUACUGAUGUUUUAAAUGCUUAUGCCGGAUAUGCAUAUCCGAGGCAUGGAAUACACAACUGAAGCGACUCAUAGGCUGAAUUCUCAUAAUGAAUCAUGCAUAUCUUAUGCAUGGAUCUGUGACCGAGUUGUUCUCAUGAAUACAGGACUGAAUACACUGAUAAGCUGAAGUUUUCUAUUGGACAUACAUUUCAAUGCAUGCAUAUCUGACUAAACUUUUGAAAGAAUGUAUGACUGAAUAUGCAAUGAUAACUGGUGUGAAGCUUGUAAUAAGAAUCUAUACAUGCAACGGAAUGGGGUAUCUCCCCCUUGGGACACUACGUGCCUCUAUGAAUGCUCAAUUUACUAGGAUUCUCAGAAAAUUGAGACAAUGCACAAGGCACCUACGAAUUGAUUCAUAACUGAACAUCCAAAAUUUGAACCUAAUGCAUGAUGCAUGAACUGAGCUAUACUCUUAAUUACUAGUAUACUCUAUCUUGGAAUAGUAUCAUGUCUGAGAUUUUAGAUAGCAUGAAUAAAUGAAAAGAUGAGAAAACAAGUCAUGCGAAUCUGACUGCUAAACUGACUUACUGACUUACUGGCUAUACAGACUGAAUUAGGCUGGACCCUCAUACUUAACUGGAGCAUCUCAUCAAUUCUCUCUCCAAGGGAUUUCUAAUAAUAAUAGGGAGCUACAAAACUUAUGUAUGGAUUACACAAGACAUCCAACUGAGGAAAUCACAACAUUGACACUACUCUGCAGUCUGGAAUAUGGACAUAUAACUCCAAAAUUAGGAUAGAAUUACCAAGCCUUUGGCAUUACAACUCUUUAAUUUCAAGCUUAGCACACUUCUCGAAUAUCACUUAACUAUACUAUUCUCCUUAAAUAUUAUAUUCAUUCAACUCAGCUUAAAAUUCUCAUAUGAGCAUUGACAAAUUUUUCUAGUAAUGUCUAAAAUAGCUUAAUCCUUACACCGCGAUCAAGCCUAACUCUAAGUCACUAAAAUACAACAUGCUACUCGCCGCUAUGGUUCUAAACCAUAAGAUGCCACCUUCUAAACCUCUUUUAAAGAUCACAUCCUAAGCGUAACAUGCCUUACCACUUCAAUGACUACUUUGAACUCUUAAUAUGAAGUUGCUAAUGCAUAUUGCGACCUUCCACUACAAUCCCAAAACGUCAUUCAAGCCUAACUUAUAACCACAUGUUAACUCCAAGGCAAUCAUAUAUAAAUAUAUACUGCACAUAGUUUCUAAACUAUUAUCAAUAUAACUCCCAUGCGCUAUCCUAAAAACAUACAAACACAAACUUUUCCACUAACCAUCACAUGUAUCAAAGACUUGGCCCCAAAUCUUACUUCAUACUUAUGGCCUUAUCUAAACAAGCAUACUAUAAAGAGUAAGUACAUGCGUCAUGAGUUGCAUGACCUCAACUAGAGUUCAUAACAUAAGGAAUGUGAUUCCGAUUACUUGAAUGAAAUAGAACUCAUUAUCUUGGAACUGGAAGAGUACGUGACUCUCUAUCAUAUACAGGAAUCAUGAACUAUGAUCACAGAACUGAAUCGUAAGGCAUGAGUAAGCAUUAGGAUCACUGAGAAAUACUGAGAUAGGAAUGGGUUGAGAUUCACCCUUACUUUUUGAUGUUCUAUAUCAUCAUGACAUCACUACAAGAAUCUGAGAGUCUUACUUGGUUAUUCGUUUAGUCAUCUCCCCUUUAGCUUCAAGCCAUCAUCUUAAGUUUUUGGGAGAUACCUUACUAACUUUAAAAAGUCACCAUCUUAUGUUUUUGGGAGAUACCUUACUAGACUUUAAACUUAACUGUACUCACUGCACUUUGGGUUCUGAAAUAUGACAAUACACAAAAUUUUCACUUGGAAACUAUAAAUAAACAUCAGGAAACACUAGUGCACUAGAACUUCAUAGCCACACACACACAAAAAAUUGAUCAUGACCUUACGAUCUUCCUCAUCAUAACUCAUUAGCACAUACUAUUUCAACACAUCAAGCCUACUAAUUUAAUUCCACAAAACGUGCAUCAUCGAUCUCAUGCCACUAUUUUUUUUUCCACCACAUCCUUCACUUAAAUUCAAACCUAUAGUUUAGCAUCAAUAAUCUACCACCAAUGAUGAGUGCAAAAUAAGAUGCUAGUCCAUAAAAUUGACAUGUUCUAUUCAAACAACUUUAAAUCCACUACCUACCCUCUCACAAGUUGUACUAGUUUACAACUACCAAUGAAAAGAAGGUCAAGGGGUAAAGUCAUAUAAUAGACAUGAUCAACCUUAAUCUGAUAUUAUUACCCCAUACAAUCUUCUCUACUUAUGCGAUUUUCUCACCUCAUACUUACUUACUUAAGCAUACAUUUAGACUGCCUUCAAAUUUCUCAAACAACCAUGAGUCUAUAAUCAUAACUUACUCACUAAUAUAGCCAUUUUCACAUUCAAGCAACCAAAAAAUCACCCUGACUAACAAUUCCUUCUCUACCUUCUACUAAUAACACACAAGGACGAAUCAUCUCUUUACCGGCUCAAUCUCAUGCAAUCAUAUUCAGCUAUACCUACAUUAAACCUACACAAGAACAACAAGUUGGACAACAAGUUGCUAGUGAAUCGAAAUAGGACUCACACGGCUUCACUAGACUUUGGUUUUGUAUUUUGAACAAGAAAAUGAGGAGGAUGACAAGGCAACUAUGCUAGUGAAUCGAAAGAGCCCCACAUGGCUUCACUAGACUUAGAUUUUUUUUUUUUUGAAAAAUACCGUGAUAACAAGAUUAAAUAUUACCAGGGAUAGAAAAUUGACACAUAAUAUUUAAUGGUCUAAUAAUAUACAUAUAUUUUGUAUAAAUAAAAAUCUGAGUAAAACACUUCCUCCAUGGACUACCAUACCGUCCACACACGCUGUUAGCAACGUGUAAUGCCCCGCAUUUUGGGCUAUAAUAUAAACCAUGAUUUUGAUGUGUUGAUAAUCCUGAAGCCAUAAAUCUUAUUCCAAUAUGACAUGUUAAUUAUUUACAUAGUAUGUGAAUCCAUUAAAACUUGAAUUUAGACCAUAGAGGUCCUUCAACUCAAGGACGAGUUGAAAUUAUUUUUAUCGAUUAAGUUUUAGUGGAUGUUGUAAUUUGAGUUAGUUUCCAUAGACCAUAACUCUUUGUAUAUGUCAAAUUAGAGAGACUACGAUGUGUCAAAUGAUAGGUCUUUGAGUUAUCUUUCCAACGAUACCAAUUUUGCUAAAAUUUGACACCCAACCUUUCAAAGUAGUAGGCAGCACCUAUGUAAACAUUGGCGAUAGCAUAGGCAGCGCCUAUGUAAACAUAGGUGAGGUUUCAAGUGACUUAAACACUCCAUUUUUGGGGCAAAAUGAUCCUUUUCCACCCUUACUUAGCCCUAAACACGAAAUUCAGUUCCCAAAGACCCCAAAAUUGUAACGACUCGUAUUUCGGCUACAAUAUAGACCAUGAUUUUGAUGCAUUGAUAAUCCUGAAGCGAUAAAAUCCUAUUCCAAUACGGCAUGUUAAUUAUUUGUGUAGCAUGUGAAUCCAUUAAAUCUUGAAUUUAGACCAUAGAGGUCGUUAACCUCAUGGACGAGUUGAAACUAUUUCGAUCAACUAAGUUUUAGUGGAUGCUGUAAAGUGUGUCAGCUUCUAUCGACCAUAACUCUCUGUAUAUGUCGAAUUAGAAAUCCUACUAUGUGUCAAAUGAUAGGUAUUCGAGUGAGCUUUCCAACGAUACCAAUUUUGCUAAAAUCCGACACCCGAGCAAGAAGUUAUGGCCUUUCAAAGUGAUAUGCGUCGCCUAACCAAUCGCCCAUGGCCACUGGAAAGCAUAGGCGAUAGCCUAGGCGGCGCCUAUGUAAACAUAGGCAAUGGGAUGGGCGGCGCUUAUGUAAAGAAUUCAAGUAACUUAAACACUCCAUUUUGGGGACAAAGUGGUCCCUUUCCACCCUUACUUAGCCCCAAAAAACGAAAUUCAGUUCCAAGGACCCCAAAAUAUACCUUCUUUCAUCAAAAGUGCUCAAAGAUUCUCCUUAGGGUUUCAAAAUAAAAACCCAAAUAGUUCAAGAUUCGACCGUGAGUUUUCAAAAAUAAUUACAUAUUUGGAAUCACCAAUCCGCAAGCUUCAAGAAACAUUUAUUAUCUUUGGAAAUAGAGGUACGUGGGGUUAUCCUAAAAUCUCAUGGGUGUAGUUUUUAUGAACAUGCAUGUUUUUAAAUGGGGGUUUUCAAUAAAAUGCUAAUAUCUUGCUUUCAAUAUUAUUUCUAAGUCAUUUUUUUUAAUGUCAAGGGAAUUGUUUGUCUAUAUACUUUAAUGGUUGAAACAAUGCAUAUGUGAUUUGAGAUUUUCCAUAUAAGUUUGAUAAAUAUGAAAGAUAAAUUGCUUUCAAAUUCCCAUGAUAAUGUCUUGAUACCAUAUAUCACAUUGUGAUCAACAAAAGAGAGCAUGAAUUUAAAAUAAAUAUUGUUCACCACUUGUAAAUGAUGAAGCACUUUGGUUUUAACAUGAUUUUGCAUAUGUGGAAGUGAUAUUGAGGACUUACAAGUCGGGUAUGACUAUACCCUACAGAAUAUGAUAUGUGAUUGAAUCAGAUGAAAUUUAAAUAUAUUGAUUUUACAUGAGAUAGGUGGAUACCGGAAGAAGGUGUUUAAGUGUAAGGGCUCAUCGCUGGAAAAACGUGUUUGCCGAUACAGAAAUUUGGUACCAGGUUAAGUGAUCUUGUGUACUUGACUUUAUGUCAUUCCCAAAUUAGGACUAUAGGUAGGAGCCCGGGCUAAGUGAUCUUGGGUACUACCAUUAGGUCGAGACACCAUGCUUCGUGGUCUUGAGUGUCUCUCCCUCACUUAUACUCUAAUCUCGGCGGCAACCGAGGUUAGACAGUUGGUUUAAAUUAUGUAGGGUAUUCCACCUAGCUCAGUUUCAUUUCAAUGUUGUUGAGAAACUAUUUCUUUACACCCAUGUGUUUUCAAAUGAUUUGAUAUGAAAUUGUUUUAUAAUUGCUCUCAACUAUAUUUUAUAAAAAUAUUAUGUUUUGUUUCGAUAUCUCUGCAGCCAGUACUUUUGUGCUGACCCCCUCCCCUCUCUUACCUUUUAGGUUCAGAGGCCCAGUCUAGGGGUCAAGACAAUUAGUAGAUCAUUCAGACAGAGUUGCAGAGACAAGUGGUGAGCCUUCUAUGUUUCAGAGGGUCUUAUGUCGUGCAGUCCUUUUAUCUGAUAUUCAGUUUUGGGGUCUACUGGGGGCCUUGUCCCAGUUUAUAUGCGGUUACUUCACUCAGUCAUUUGUUAGAGAUUUUCGUAGACAGUUGUUUAGAGGUUGAUUGAUGUUGGGGGAACCUUAUCUCUCUGUUAUUGUUUCUUUUCUUAUUUAUGACCAUGUUUCUAAAUUAUUGUAUUUCUUCCGCAUUAAUUUGAUCAUAUGAAUUAGGUGCAUGAUUACUAAAUAGAUAGGGGUGUUUCGGGCCUCCAUGGUUUAAAAUGAUCAUCACGGCCAGGCCCUGGUUUGGGUUGUGACAAACUUAGUAUCGGAGCACGGUUCAUGGUCCUAGGGUGUCUGCGAAAUCGCAUAAGGUAGAGUCCUAUUUAUUGGUGUGUAGCGCACCACACUUAUACACAGAGGGCUACUAGGUGUUUAGGAAAUGUUUCCCUUAUUUGUGAUUUAGUUCGUGCUUUAGAGUCUGAACUGUCCCCUAAUCUAUGAUCACUUGUGUUUCAGAAAUAUAGUUAUGCCUCUAUGUCGUAUCAUCGAUUAGAAUGCUCAGGCAAAUGAGGUCCGUCCUACCUAUGGGAUGCGGACCCAUAACAGGGCUCACACUCUAGAAUUUAUCCCUACUUCGGGAGUCCCUCCAGUCACGACCAGUCUACCUCAAGCUCCGCAGACUAAUGCCAAUUGUCCCCCAACUGCUCAGGGAGAUAUUUCAAAUGCAGAAUUCAGAUGGUCUAUUCAUAUGCUGACCCAGUUUGUAGCUAACCAGGCUCAACGAUAGAAAGAUGUUGGGUCUGCAUCUAUUAUGCUUGAGGCUACUAGAGUCAAAAAUUUCAUGAAGAUGAACCCACCUAAGUUCACUGGCACCAAGGUGGAUGAAGAUCCACAGGUGUUCGUGGAUGAGAUGGAAAAAAUCUUUAAGGUGAUGCAUGUGGAUGAGGUUGAAUGGGUGGAACUAGCAACCUAUCAGCUCAAGGACAUUGGGAAUCAGUAGUAUGCCGACUGGGAAGAUGCAAAAGAUGAAAGUGCUGAGCCCAUAGUUUGGGGAAAAUUUAUGGAAGCUUUCCUUGAUCGAUUCUUUCCUCUGGAGUUGAGGUAGACCAAAGCAGAAGAGUUUAUGAAUCUGAAGUAGGGCAGUAUAAGUGUCCAGGAGUACACUUUGAAGUUUAAUAAACUAGCCUGCAAUGCACCAGAGUUGACUAGUAAUAUGAUAGUCUGGAUGAGGAAAUUUGCAUAUGGCCUUACUGAUAACCUGGUACUUGAGUGCCAGGGGGCUAUGUUGAAUAAGGAGUUAUACUUUGCUCGACUGACCGUUCAUAUGCAGUAGGUGGAAGAGAAGAAGAAAAAGAUUACUGAAUCUAGAGAGAAAUAUAAAUAGGCUAAGAGAGCUAGAUCUGCAGACCAGCACCAGAGUCAGCUGCAGAGUGGUAACUGGGGUAAUAAGUGGUCGAAGAAGAAGAAGUUUUGGCAUAAUGCACAGUCAGCAGCCAGCGCCCCAGCACCCAGACCACUGACAGACAGACAAACUUAUAGUUUUUAGACUCCUCAUGGAUCCAAAGCUCUAGGUACACAGUCUCAGGGCAGUGUGGCCCAAUAGCAUCGUACUUAUUCGUGGUGCGAGGUUUGUGGAAGAAAUCAUCUAGAAAAGUACUAGUUUGAGGGGAGAAACUGCUAUACUUGUGGUAAAUGGGUUACCUUCAGAGAGAUUAUCCUUCUGCUAGAGGAAAUANNNNNNNNNNNNNNNNNNNNNNNNNNNNNNNNNNNNNNNNNNNNNNNNNNNNNNNGGGGGAAGGGGGGAGGGGGGAGGUCUAGGUCCCAAGCCGCCUCCAUAGCUCCUUUUCCUAAGGGUACCCCUUUAGCUGCCGGGAGCGGUCGUAACUGGUUAUAUUCUUUUACUUACCGCUAGGAGGCAGAAGCUUUACCAAAUGUUGUCAUCGGUAUGUUACGAAUCUUUUCUCGUGAUGUUUAUGUAUUGCUUGAUCCCGGGUCUACUUUAUCUUAUGUGACCCCUUAUAUGGCUGUUGGUUUCGGGUUUGAGCUCGAAGUUAUUGUACAACCCUUCUCUGUUUCUACUCCUGUAGGUGAUUCUGUUAUUGCUAGAAGGGUGUAUAGAAAUUGUGUCGUGUCUAUUCAUAGUAGGGAAACUGUGGAAGACCUUAUAGAACUGGAUAUGAUAGAUUUUGAUGCCAUCCUUGGGAUGGACUGGCUCCAUUCGUGCUAUGCCACACUCGAUUUCAGGAAUUACAGAACCUGAAAGGUCACUUUUUCUUUCCCGAAUGAGACACCAAUUGUAUGGGCAGAGAGUUCUAUGGAAUCUAGAGGUCACUUUAUCUCUUAUCUUAGAGCCCAAAAGCUUAUCUCCAAAGGUUAUAUGUAUCAUCUAAUUCGAGUAAAAGAAUCAAAAGUUGAAAACCUUCCUCUGUAAUCAGUCCCUAUAGUGAAUGAAUUCCCAGAAGUCUUUCCCGAAGAUCUCCCAGGGAUACCCCCCGAUAGGGAGAUAGAUUUUGCCAUUGAGUUGUUGCCAGACACUCAUCCUAUUUCUAUUCCGCCAUAUAGAAUGGCUCCCGCGGAACUAAAAGAGUUAAAGGAACAACUUGCAGACCUCCUAGACAAAGGUUUUAUUCGUCCUAGUGUUUCCACAUGGGGUGCACCUGUGCUCUUCAUGUGAAAGAAGGAUGGGUCCCUUCGGAUGUGCAUAGACUAUCGUCAGUGAUAAAGUCAGCCCACUUUUUGCCUAUGAGGACUAAUUAUUCGAGAGAGGUUUAUUCUAAGAUUUACAUUUAGGAUAUAGUUCGAUUGCAUGGGGCACCAGUGUCCAUUAUAUCCGAUUAAAUAAGGUCUCGAUUUAAAAUAACUAUCCUCUUCCUAGGAUUGACGACCUUUUUGACCAGCUUUAGGGUGCCAAGUAUUUUUCAAAAAUAGACCUUCGUUUGGGUUAUCAUUAGUGUAAAGUUAAGGAGUCAGAUAUACCCAAGACAACCUUCCAAACCCGAUAUGGUCAUUAUAAAUUUCUAGUCAUGUCCUUCGAGUUGACUAACGCCCCUGCAACCUUCAUGAAUCUUAUGAAUAGAGUGUUCCAUCAGUUUCUUGACUUUUUUAGACGGAUGGGAAAAAUGAGCGUACUAUUCAGACCCUCGAAGAUAUGUUGAGGGCAUGUGUCAUUGAUUUCAAAGGUAGUUGGGUAAAUUACCUGCCACUGGUUGAAUUUGCUUACAAUAAUAGUUACCAUGCCAGCAUCAAGAUGGCUCCUUUUGAGGCUUUGUAUGAAAGGAUCUGUAGGUCUCCGAUAGGAUGGUAUGAAGUGGGUGAGACUCAAUUAUAUGGGCCUAGAUCAUCAGCUGUAUGCCAAAUUUUAUAAGUGUGAAUUCCGGUUAGAUGCUAUUGCCUUCCUAGGGCAUAUUUAGUUGAUGAAGAAAGUGAAGAUCAUUAGAGAAUGACUAAAGACUGCUCAAAGUCGUCAGAAGUCCUAUGCCGAUGUUCAGAGAAGAGAACUAGAGGAGAAAAUGGCCCAGACCCAUGACUCCAACUGAUAUUCGGAGCUUCUUGGGUUCGGCGGGGUAUUACAGAAGGUUUGUAAGAGUUUUUCUUCCAUUGCUGCUCUGCUUACUAAACUGACUCAAAAAAAGAUGAAUUUUGUAUGGUCUGACUUGUGUGAAAAUAGUUUUGAGAAGUUGAAGGAUUUGGAAAAAGAGGUAAAUUGAGCCCUUGCUACGUAGGGCCAUAUCAGAUUCUAAAAAAGAUUGGUACAGUUGCAUAUGAGCUAGAAUUGCUUGCAAUUUUGGGUUUCGUUCAUCCGGUAUUCUAUGUAUCCAUGUCGAAGAAAUGCAUUGGAGAUCAUUCUAUGGUAUUUCCAGUAGAGGGUAUCAAAGUGACAGCCUCUGUAAAAGUGCUGUGGAGGAUCAGAAAGUCGAAGAAGCAACUUAGGAGUCAGAAGAUGACAUGAGAAUUAGAUAUCCCAAUUUGUUUGCUUAGAUGGAGGAUGAGACAGAAGGUACUAUUCCUAUCUUAUCUUUCCUAGUCCUUUAUUUUUCUCACAGAAAGAAUUGAACCUCAGACAGAGACGUUGGAUGGAGCUUUUGAAAGACUAUGAUAUGAGUCUGCAUUACCAUCUGGGCAAGGCAAAUAUUGUAGCCAACGCCAUCAACAGGUUUUCUAUGGGCAGCCUUUCUCAUGUAAAAGAAGGAAAGAAAGAAUGUGUUGAUAAUCUCGAAGCCAUAAAAUCCUAUGUCAAUAAGGCAUGUUAAUUACUUGUGUAGCAUGUGAAUCUAUUCAAGCUUGAAUUUAGACCAUAGAGGUCCUUCAACUCAUGGACAAGUUGAAACUAUUUCGAUCGACUAAGUUUUAGUGAGUUAAGGAGAAGCAGGUUGAAGAUCCCAUCUUGAUGCAAAUCAAGAAAGAUGUGGGUCAACAAAAGGUUAUGUCAUUUGACAUUGGUGGUGAUAGUAUUCUGAGAUGAGGCGCACACUUCGAUGUAUGUCAUUCACCCUGGCGCUACUAGAUGUACCAUACUCUGAAAACCUUGUAUUGGUGGAAUAACAUGAAACGUGAUGUAGCACAUAGGUGAUAGCCUAGGCGGCUUCUAUGUAAACAUAGGCGAUAGCAUAGGCGGCGCCUAUGUAAACAUCCACAAGAUAGCCCUGCCUUUAUGAAAGUGGGAUAUGAUAAACAUAGACUUCAUUACAGGUCUUUCGAGAUCCCAAAACCAGAAUGAUUCUAUAUGGGUGAUUGUAGAUCGAUAAAGUCAGCCCACUUUUUGCCUAUGAGGACUAAUUAUUCGAGAGAGGUUUAUUCUAAGAUUUACAUUUAGGAUAUAGUUCGAUUGCAUGGGGCACCAGUGUCCAUUAUAUCCGAUAGAGGUACACAGUUUUCAUCUCAGUUCUGGAGAUCGAAUUGUUUACCUAUAUACUUUAAUGGUUGAAACAAUGCAUACGUGAUUUGAGAUUUUCCAUGGAAGUUUGAUAAAUAUGAAUGAUAAUUUGCUUUCAAAUUCCCAUGAUAAUGUCUUGAUACCCCAUAUCAUAUUGUGAUUAACAAAACAGAGCAUAUAUUUGAAAUAAAUAUUGUUCACCACUUAUAAAUGAUGAAGCACCUUAGUUUUUACAUGAUUAUGAAUAUGUGGAAGUGAUAUUGAGGAAUUGCAAGUCGGAUAUGAUGAUACCCUAUAGAAUAUGAUAUGUGAUUGAAUUAGAUGAAAUUUGAAUGCAUUGAUUUUACAUGAGAUAGGUGGAUGCCCGAAGAAGGUGUUUGAGUGUAAGGGCUCAUCGCUGCAAAAACGUGUUUGCCGACACGAAAAUUUGGUACCAGGCUAAGUGAUCUUGUGUACUUGACUUUAUGUAAUUCCCAAAUUGGGACUAAAGGUAGUAGCCCGGGCUAAGUGAUCUUGGGAACUACCAUUGGGUUGAGACACCAUGCUUCGUGGUCUUGAGUGUCUCUCCCUUACUUAUACUCUAAUCUCGGCGGCAACCGAGGUUAGACAGUUGGUUUAAAUUAUGUAGGGUAUUCCACCUUGUUCAGUUGUAUUUCAUUGUUGUUGAGAAACUAUUACAUUACACCCAUGUGUUUUCAAAUGAUUUGAUAUGAAAUUGUUUUAUAAUGGCUCUCAACUAUAUUUUGUAAAAAUAUUAUAUUUUGUUUUGAUAUCUCUGUGUGCCAGUACUUUGUGCUGACCCCCUCCUCUCUCCAACCUCUCAGGUUUAGAGGCCCAGUCUAGGGGUCAAGAGAAUCAGUAGAUCAUUCAGACAGAGUUGCAGAGAUAAGUAGUGAGCCUUCUAUAUUUCGAAAGGUCUUAUGUCCUGCAGUCCUUUUAUCUUAUAUUCAGUUUUGGGGUCUACUGGGGGCCUUGUCCCAGUUUAUAUACGGUUACUUGACUCAGUCAUUUGUUAGAGAUUUUCGCAGACAGUUGUUUAGAGGUUGAUUGAUGUUGGGGGAACCUUAUCUCCCCAUUAUUGUUUCUUUUCAUAUUUAUGACCAUGUUUCCAAAUUAUUGUGUUUCUUCCGCAUUACUUUGAUCAUAUGAAUUAUGUGCAUGAUUACCAGAUAGUUAGGGGUGUUUCGGGUCUCCAUGGUUUGAAAUGCUUGUCAAGGCCAGGCCCUGGUUCGGGUCAUAAGAAAAAUACACCUUCAUUCAUCAAAAUUGUUCAAGAACUCUCUCUAGGAUUUUAAAAUAAAAACCCAAGUAGUUCAAGAUUCAACCAUGGGUUUUCAAAACAAAUUGAAGAUUUGGAAUCUCCGCAACGUAGACUUCAAGAAGCACCUAACAUAUUCGCAUAUAGAGGUACGUAGGGUUAUCUAAAAAAUCUCGUGGGCUUAAAAAUUCAUAUUUUAAAAAUGGGGGUUUUGAAAUUAUGAAUAUAAACAUGUUUCAAGCAUCUUUAUGAUAUUGAUUUGGUCUUUAGGCCUAAUUCCAAAGUGAUUUGAUAUAUGAUAUAUGUAUAUGCAUGUAUUCCAAAAAGAUGUUAACUUGAGAGCAUGAAUGAUAUGGAAUCCCUCUCUUGAUGUGAAUCUGUUUUAAAUGUUCAUAUGAUGUAAAUUGUUUGAAAACAUCAUGAAUAGCAUGACAUGAACUAUUUUGAGAAUUGAUAUUAUUUUGACUUGAAAAUGAGAGGGCUAUUUGUAUUGAGACAUGUUGAAUACAAUGGUUGAAUGAGAAGAAUGAUGUGAUAUUGAUGGUUUGCAAGUCGGGUAUAACGAUACCCUACAGAAUAUGAUAUGUGAUUGAUUCAGAUAAAAUUUGAAUGCAUUGAUUUUUCAUGAGAUAGGUGGAUGCCCAAAGAAGGCGUUUGAGUAUAAGGGCUCAUCGCUUGAAAUCGUGUUUGCCAACAUGGGAAUUUGGUACCCUGUUUUGUGAUCCUGCGUACCUGACUUUAUGUCAUUCCCAAAUUGGGACAAUGGUCAGGAGCCCUACUUUGUGAUCUUGUGCACUAUCAUUGGGUCGAGACACCCUGCUACGUGAUCUUGUGUGUCUUUCCCUCACUUAUACUCUAAUAUCGGUGGCAACCGAGGUUUGACAGUUGAUGUAAAUGUGAUAUGUAGGGUAUUCCACCUAGCUCAGCUGGAUUGCAUUGUUGUUGAAAACAAUUACAUUACGACCAUGUGUUUUUAAGUGAUUUGAUAUGAAAUUGAUUUAUAAUGGCUCUCAACUAUAUUUUAUAAAAAUAUUAUGUUUUGUUUUGAUAUCUCUACGUACUGGUACUUUUGUAUUGACCCCCUUCCCUCCUAGGUUUGGAGGCACAGUAUAGGGGUCUAGAAAAUCAGUAGAUUUCCUCAGACAGAUUUGCAGAGUCACUUGGUGAGUCUUUUAUAUUUCGGAAGGCCUGAUAUCUGAUAGUUUCAUUUAUCAUUUAUUAGUUUUGGGUCUACUGGGGGCUUUGUCCCAGUUUUCAGAUAGAUAUUUAUUUCAGUCAUGUAGUAGAGAUUUCACAGACAGUAUAGAGAUGUUGUGUUGAGAUUAUGGGACAUUAUUCCCCAUUAUUAUUUUCAUAUGAUUCUUGACCAUGUUUCCUUUAUAUAGUGUAUCUUCCGCAUUUUUUUUAUAUAAGUCAUGUGCAUGAUUACCAGAUAGAUAAGGGGUGUUUCAGGCCUUGAUGGUUCAGAAUACUUGUCACGGCCAAGGCCUCGAUUUGGGUCAUGACAAACUUAGUAUCAAAGCACGGUUCAUGCUCCCAGGGUGUCUGAGAAAUCAUGUUGGAUAGAGUCUUAUUUAUGGGUGUGUAGUGCGCCAUACUUAUAAGCAGGAGGCUACUAGGCAUUUAGGAAUGUCUCUCUUUCUUCAUGUUCUAGUUCGUGCAAUAGAGUCAAAAUAUUCCUCUUUCAUACUCAAAUUCAUGUUAUGGUGUCGCCCAUACGAAAGUAACAGUUAUCCCAAUUCUUUCCUUACUUAGAAAUUCUUAGACAUGUCUCAUCAUUGGGCCGAUUCAAUUAUAGAAUUUUAGAGUCUAAAUGGUAUGGUUCGUUCUAAUCGAAUCAUAUAAGAUUUUUGCAAGGACUUGAGAAGAGUCUGUUAGUGCUUCAGAGUGCGUUGGUUCUAGUGUGAACCUUGAUUUUGAUGAAAUUGUGCUUUUUAGCCUGCAGUAUUAAGUGUAUUUAGUUUUUUUCAGAACUUAUGUUGCCAGUGUCACACUUCAGAGGUAAUAAGGUGUAGAAGAUUAUUGGAACUGUAUUUCCACCCGAAUAGUAGUGUGUGUUAAAGAGUUGUUGUCAUGACCUAUUGGUAAUGAAAUUAGACCAAGAAGAUGUGAAGUCACAAAGUUAGAAGUCAAGAGUGAGGAUGAUUUACACCUUUAUAGUGAUAAACUAAUUUGGUAGCUAACAGCAUGUGUGGACAGUAUGGUAGUCCAUGGAGGAAGUGUUUGACUCCGAUUUUAUUUCUAUAGAGUAAGAUGUGUAUUCUUAGUUCAUUGAAUAUUGCGUAUUAAAUCUCUAUCUCAUGAAAUAUUGUCAUCAAAGUGUUGUUGAAANNNNNNNNNNNNNNNNNNNNNNNNNGAUUCACUAGCAUAGUUGACUUGUCAUUCAUCCCAUUUUCUUGUUCAAAAUACAAAAUCAAAGUCUAGUGAAGCCGUGUGAGGCCUAUUUUGAUUCACUAGCAACUUGUUGUCCAACUUGUUGUUCUUGUGUAGGUUUAAUGUAUGUAUAGCUGAAUCUGGUUGCAUGAGAUUGGGCCGGUAAAGAGAUGAUUCGUCCUUGUGUGUUAGUUUAUUAGUAAAAGAUAGAGGAGUUAUUAGCCAAGGUGAAUUGUCCUUGCUUGAAGUAUGAAAAUGGCCAGAUUAGCUAGUAGGUUAUAAGUAUAGACUCAUGGUUGUUGUGGACUUUGAAGGUAGUGUAAAUGUACGUUUGGGUAAGUAAUUGUGAUGUGAGAAAGCAGUAUAAGUAGAUACGAUUGUACGGGGUUAUAAUAUAAGGAUAAGGUUGAUCAUGUCUAUUAUGAGGCUUUAACCCCCUUGACCCUCUUUUCAUUGGUAGUUGUAAACUAGUGCUACUUGUGAGAAGGUAUGUAGUAUAUUUUUGAGAUAUUUGGGUAGAAUGUCCUAAUUUGAUGGAUUAGUAUAUUUAUGUUAUGUUGCAUUCUUCAUUGGUGGUAGAUGAUUGAUACUAAACAUUAGGCUUGAAUUUAAAUGGUGCGAUGGUAAAUAGUGGCAAAAGUUUGAUGAUGCAUGUUUUGUGGGAUUAAGUUAGUAGGCUUGAGGUGCUGCAAUAGUACAUGCUAAUGGAUUAUGAUAAGGGAAAACUGUUAGGUCAUGAUCGAUUAUUGUGGUUAUGAAGUUCUAGUGUACUAGUGUUUUGUGAUGUUUAUUUAUAGUUUCCAAGUGAUAAUUUUGUGUAAGGUUGGGUUGUAAAUCAUGCAUAGCACUAGAUAUUAAGUUUCAAUAGUUGAUGUCCAUGAAGGUGGACGUAAAGAUUUCUUGGUUAAUGAAUACUAGUUGUAUAGAAGUGAUCUAAUAGGCUUGAACGGUGCAUGGAAUAGAUUAAGUUUAUUUGAUUUGUAGUGAUGAAUGACAUUGUAUGUGUGAUGUAGAAGUAUGCCUAGGGGUACAUGAGGUUGUGGCAUUCUUUCUAAGGCCAUUACAUAUUGCGUGUGGCUAGUAGUACCAUUGAGUUGCUAGAUGGGGAAAGACUAGUAGAUGUUAUAUGGGUUCUAAAUAGUUAGGUUAAAAAGUUUUGAUUGAUAGUGUUGAGCCUUUUAUAUGAUCUUGAUUCUCAUAGUAAUGAGGCAUAAGUUGAGAGUCGCGAUAUUAGUACGCUAUGUCGAAAGUGGUUUGGUUCAUCAAAGGCUUGGUGAUAUCUAUGUUAAGUGUUAGAAUCUAAGUUUGAGUUUUGAAGGUUGAACUGAUAGAAAUAAGUGUACGAACUAAUGUAUCCUAGAAGGUAGUCAUUCAGGUUAAGCUCUAUGAUAUGCAUGCAUUGUCAUUUUUUUCUGGCCCUAGAGUGCAGUAAGUGUAGUUCAGUUAGAAUCUGGUAAAGGAUCUCCCAAACUCUAGAUGAUGACGUGAAGCUGAGGGGGAGAUGAUAGAACGAAUGACCAAGUAAGGCUCUCAGAUUAUAGUAGUGAUGCAGUAUGAUUUAGAACAUCAGAAAGUGAGGGUGGAUCUCAACCAAUUCCUACCUCAAUUUUUUUUAGUUAUCCGGAUUCUUACUCAUGCCUUAAGAUUUAGUUCCGUGAUCAUAGUUCAUGAUUUCGGUAUACGAUAGAGAGUCACGUACUCUUCCAAUUCCAAGAUAAUGAGUUCUAUUUCAUUCAAGUAGUCGGAAUCACAUUCCUUGUGUUAUGAACUCUAGUUGAGGUCAUGCAACUCUUGACGCAUUUACUCACUCUUUAUAGUGUGCUCAGUCCUAUAUAAAGAUCUUUUCACGCUUGAGGGUCUUAUGUUUUAAUCUUUUAGUGACCCUUCCUAUGCAAUGAUAGUAGUGAUGAUGUAAAUGUUCUUGUUGAUGGAAGAUCAUAGUAUGCUUGUUUAGAUAAGGCCAUAAGUAUGAAGUAAGAUUUGGGGCCAAGUUUUUGAUACAUGUGAUGGUUAGUGAAAAAGUUUGUGUGCAUAUGUUUUAGGGUAGCACGUGGGAGUUAUAUUGACAAUAGUUUAGAAACUAUGUGAAGUAUGUAUUUAUGGGUGAUUGCCUUGGAGUUAACAUGUGGUUAUAAAUUAGUCUUGAAUGACGUUUUAGGAUUGUAGUGGAAGGUCGCAAUAUGCAUUAGCGACUUCAUAUUAAGAGUUCAAAGUAGUCAUUGAAGUGGUAAGGCAUGUUAUACUUAGGAUGUGAUCUUUAAAGGAGAUAUAGAAGAUUGCAUCAUAUGGUUUAGAAUAAUAGCGAGGUCUGGCAUGUUGUAUUUUUUUUUGUGACUUAGAGUUAGGCUUGAUCAUGGCGAAGGUAUUAAGUUAUUUUUGACAUUAGUAGAAAGAUUUGUCAAUGCUUUGACUUGAAUGAAUAUGAUAUUUAUAGGGAAUAGUAUAGUUAAGGGAUAUUCGGGAAGUGCACUAAGCCUGAAAGUAAGAAGUUGUAUUGCCAAAGGUCUGAAAAUUCGAUCCUAAUUUAGGAGUUAUAUGUCUAUAUUUCAAACUGCAGAGUAGUGUCAAUGUUGUGAUUUUCUCAGUUGGAUGUCUUGUGUAAUCCAUACCCAAGAUUCAUGGAUCCCUAUUACUGCUAGAACUUCCUUAGAUAGAGUGUUGAAGAGAUACUCCAGUUAAGUAUGAGGGUGUAGUAUAAUUCAGUCUGUAUGGCCAAUAAGUCAGUUUAGCAGUCAGAUUCGCAUGACUUGUUUUCUUUUCUUUGCAUCUAGUGUUACUAUCCAAAGUUUCAUGAAUAUGGCUAUUUCAUGAGGUAAUUCAAUCAUGUCCAUGCAAGUUACGAAUUCGCAUCAUGCAUUAAAUUUAGAUUCUAGAUGUUCAGUUAUUAUUCAAUUCGUAGGUGCCCUGUGCAUCGCCUCAGUUUUUCGAGUAUCUUAGUGAAUUGAGAAUUCAUAGAGGGACAUAGGGUCCCAAGGGGGAGAUACCCCUUUCAUCUGCAUGCAUAGAUUGUUAUUACAAGCUCCGCACCAGUUAUCAUUGCGUAUUUACUCAUACGUUCAUACGUCAGUUCAGUCAGAUAUGCAUGUAUUAGAAAUGUAUGUCCAAUAGAAAAAGUUCAGUUUAUCAGUGUAUUCAGUUCUGCGUUCAUGAGAACAACUCAGUAACAAAUCCAUGCAUCAGGUAUGCAUGUUCAUUAUGAGAAUUCAGCUUAUGAGUAGCUUCAGUCGUGUAUUCCAUGCAUCAGAUAUGUAUGUCCGGUAUAAGAAUUCAGAACAUCAGUAAUUCCAGCCAUAUGGGUGUAUUCUUUAUUAGAGGACAUGUCGUGUCCGCAUUAUUCCAUUCCUCUAAUCUUUAAUAUGUUCCUACCCAUCAUUCGAGGACGAAUGAUCCCAAGGGGGAGAUAAUGUAAUGCCCCGUAUUUUGGGCUACAAUAUAGACCAUGAUUUCGAUGCGUUGAUAAUCCCGAAGCUAUAAAUCCUAUGCCAAUAUGGCAUGUUAAUUAUUUGCGUAGUAUGUGAAUCCAUUCAAGCUUGAAUUUAGACCAUAGAGGUCCUUCAACUCAAGGACGAGUUGAAACUAUUUUGAUCGAUUAAGUUUUAGUGGACGUUGUAAUUUGUGUCAGCUUCCAUCAAACAUAACUCUCUGUAUAUAUCGAAUUAGAGAGCCUACUAUGUGUCAAAUGAUAGGUCUUUGAUUUAUCUUUCCAACGAUACCAAUUUUGCUAAAAUUCGACACCCGACCAAGAAGUUAUGACCUUUCAAAAUAGUAGGCAGCGCCUAUGUAAACAUAGGCGAUAGCAUAGGCGGCGCCUAUGUAAACAUCGGCGAUAGCAUAGGCAGAGCCUAUGUAAAGGCUUCAAGUGACUUAAACACUCCAUUUUUGGGGCAAAAUGGUCGUUUUCCAUCCUUACUUAGCCCUAAACACGAAAUUCAGUUCCCAAAGACCCCAAAAUACACCUUCAUUCAUCAAAAUUAUUCAAGAACUCUCUCUAGGGUUUCAAAAUAAAAACCCAAGUAGUUCAAGAUUCAACCAUGGUUUUCAAAAAAAAUUAAAGAUUUGGAAUCUCCGCAACGUAGGCUUCAAGAAGCACCUAUCAUAUUCGCAUAUAGAGGUACGUGGGGUUAUCUCAAAAAUCUCAUGAGCUUAAAAAUUCAUGUUUUAAAAAUGGGGGUUUUGAAAUUAUGAAUAUAAACAUGUUUCAAGCAUCUUUAUGAUAUUGAUUUGGUCUUUCGGCCUAAUUCCAAAGUGAUUUGAUAUAUGAUAGAUGUAUAUGCAUGUAUUCCAAAAAGAUGUUAACUUGAGAGCAUGAAUGAUAUGGAAUCCCUCUCUUGAUGUGAAUUUGUUUUAAAUGUUCAUAUGAUGUAAAUUGUUUGAAAACAUCUUGAAAAGCAUGACAUGAAAUGUUUUGAGAAUUGAUAUGAUUUUGACUUGAAAAUGAGAGGGCUAUUUGUGUUGAAACAUGUUUAAUACAAUGGUUGAAUGAGAAGAAUGAUGUGAUAUUGAUGGCUUACAAGUUGGUUAUAAUGAUACCCUACAGAAUAUGAUAUAUGAUUGAAUCAGAUGAAAUUUGAGUGCAUUGAUUUUUCAUGAGAUCGGUGGAUGCCCAAAAAAAGGCAUUUGAGUAUAAGGGCUCAUCGCUGGAAAUCGUGUUUGCCGACAUGGGAAUUUGGUACCUUGCUUUGUGAUCUUGCGUACCUGACUUUAUGUCAUUCCCAAAUUGGGACUAUGGUCAGGAGCCCUGCUUUGUGAUCUUGUGCACUACCAUUGGGUCGAGACACCCUGCUAUGUGAUCUUGUGUGUCUUCCCCUCACUUAUACUCUAAUCUCGGCGGCAACCGAGGUUUGACAGUUUGUGUAAUAUGAUAUGUAGGGUAUUCCACCUAACUCAGCUGCAUUUCAUUAUUGUUGAAAACAAUUACAUUACGCCCAUGUGUUUUCAUGUGAUUUGAUAUGAAAUUGAUUUAUAAAGUCUCUCAACUAUAUUUUAUAAAAACAUUAUGUUUUGUUUUGAUAUCUCUACGUACUGGUACUUUUGUAUUAACCCCCUUCCCUCCUAGGUUCAGAGGCACAGUCUAGGGGUCCAGAAAAUCAGUAGAUUUCCUCAGACAGAUUCGCAGAGUAACUUGGUGAGCCUUUUAUAUUUCAGAAGGCCUGAUAUCUGGCAGUUUCAUUUAUCAUUUAUUAGUUUUGGGUCUACUGGGGGCCUUGUCCCAGUUUUCAGAUAGAUAUUUAUUUCAGUCAUGUAGUAGAGAUUUCGCAGACGUUAUAGAUAUGUGUUGAGAUUGUGGGACAUUAUUCCCCAUUAUUGUUUUCAUAUAAUUCUUGACCAUGUUUCCGUUAUAUAGUGUAUCUUCCGCAUAUUUUUUAUAUAAGUCAUGUGCAUGAUUACCAGAUAGAUAAGGGGUGUUUCGGGCGUUGAUGGUUCGGAAUACUCAUCACGGCCAGGGCCCUAGUUUGGGUCGUGACACUACCACAUUAGUUUAUCACUAUAAAGGGUAAAUCAUCCUCAAACAUCAGUUAUUCAAUUGAAAUAUUCAUUUACACAAAAUCACCCUCACUCUGACUUCUAACUUUGUGACUUUACAUCACUAACUUCUUGGUCCAAUAUCAUUACCAAUAGGUCAUGACAACAACACUUUAACACACACUACUAUUCGGGUGGAAAUACAGUUCCAACAUUCUACUACACCUUAUUACCUCUGAAGCGUGACACUGGCAACAUAAGUUCUGAAAAGAACUAAAUAUACUUAAUACUGCAGGCUGAAAAGCACGAUUUCAUCAAAAUCAAGGUUCACACUAGAACCAACACACUCUGAAGCACUAAUGGACUCUUCUCAAGUCCUUACAAAAAUCUUAUAUGAUUCGAUCAGAACGAACCAUACCAUUUAGAAUCUAAACUUCUGUACUUGAAUCGGCCCAAUGAUGAGACAUGUCUGAGAAUGUCUGAGUAAGGAAAGAAUUGGGAUGACUGUUACUUUCUUAUGGGUGACACCAUAGCACGAAUUUAAGUAUGAAAGAGGAACAUUCUGACUCUAUUGCACGAACUAGAACAUGAAGAAAGAGAGACAUUCCUAAACGCCUUGUAGCCUCCUUCUUAUAAGUGUGGUGUGAUACACACCCAUAAACAAGACUCUACCCGACGCGAUUUCGCAGACACCUUGGGACCAUGAACCGUGCUUUGAUACCAAGUUUGUCACAACCCAAACUGGGGCCCUGGACAUGACGAGCAUCCCAAACCAUCAAGGCCCGAAACACCCCUGUCUAUCUGGUAAUCAUGCACAUAAUUCAUAUGAUAAAAGAAAUGCGGAAGAUACACAAUAUUACGGAAACAUGGUCAUAAUUCUAAUACAAUCUAUAAUGGGAAAUAAAGUCCCACAACAUCUAUCAACAUCUGAAAUCCGUCUGCGAAAUCUCUUACAUGACUAAUAGCAACAGUCUGAAAUCUGGGACAAGACCCCCAGUAGACCAAAACAUGACUAAAGAUAAAUAUCUGAAAGUAAACAGGCCUUUUGGAAUAUAGAAGGCUCACCACUGCACAAUCUGAUCUGCGAUCUGAAAUAUCUACUAUUCAUUUGGAUCCCUAGACUGAGUCUCAAAACCAAGAAGGAGGGGGAGGGGGUCAGCACAAAAGUACUAGCACGCGAAGUAAUCCAAAAUAGAGUAAUUGAAUAUAUAUAUAUAUAUAUAUAUAUAUAUAUAUAUAUAUAUAUUAAAUAAUAUAAGAGAGCUAUUUUGAAAAACAUGAAAAACACAUAGGCACCUUCGGAAAACAUGUAACCUAUUUGUAAAUUUCAAAUUCUGAUCUGUGUAUUACUUCUGAGUUAGGUGGUAUCCCCUACAAACCUGAUAUUCCACGGGCAAUAUGGAAUCCGCCAUUGAAUCAGCGGGGAAGCCUCCAACCCGAGUGUGCCGCAAGGGUUGGAGUUCCUGAAUCUGAUAUGCCACACGACACUUAAGUCAGCGAUAAUAAUAUACCCGGGCCGGCAAACCACCGUUUUGGGUAAAGAGUUGUAUGAACUCACGUCUUCUUCGGGGAAACACCUAAGCUCUCUUUAUGACCUAUUUUAGCCUUUUCUGAACAUGCAUCAUUCUGAAGUUCUAAAAUAUGCAAAUCUGAUAAUGUCUGAUUUCUGUAUUUGACUGUGUCUGUUAUGGCAUUUUCUGAGUUUGGUAUCGGCAUACCAAGACUUGAAAGUCCUAUUUCUGAGCCAUAAUGCAUUAAGCAUGAUCUUUCAUAAAAUAUAGUUUCAGACCACCCAAACAUAUAAUUUGCAUAAAAGAUUUCAUGUUCCGAAACUCAAGUCAAAACCAUGCAAAAACUUCAUCAAACAUAUGGUGUUCUAAUCAAAUAUAUGUGUUUCUAGUGCCUUUAGCAAAUCCAUGCACUCUUUCGUUACAUGCAUUAUGAACAUUAAACAUUCAUGCUAAAUUCCCUCUUUAGUGAUUUAAAACCACCUUUAGAUCAUAUAAAGAGUUCAACCAUUUCAUAUAGUGCUUUUCAAGAAUGCAUUGCAAAACAAUUCAUAUGAUAUGAAAAAUCUGAAAAUUCAUAAUAAGAGGGAAUUCACCAAAAGUCAUGCUCUCAACAAGAAUUCAUUCUUAAAUUCAUGUUUUCAUACAUACAUAUUCUCAAAUCACUUUGGGGAAGGUCAAAAGACCAAAACAAUGAUGUUAAAACAUCUAAUACGUGAAUAUAUACAUAGUUUCAAAAACCCCAUUCUAAAANNNNNNNNNNNNNNNNNNNNNNNNNNNNNNNNNNNNNNNNNNNNNNNNNNNNNNNNNNNNNNNNNNNNNNNNNNNNNNNNNNNNNNNNNNNNNNNNNNNNNNNNNNNNNNNNNNNNNNNNNNNNNNNNNNNNNNNNNNNNNNNNNNNNNNNNNNNNNNNNNNNNNNNNNNNNNNNNNNNNNNNNNNNNNNNNNNNNNNNNNNNNNNNNNNNNNNNNNNNNNNNNNNNNNNNNNNNNNNNNNNNNNNNNNNNNNNNNNNNNNNNNNNNNNNNNNNNNNNNNNNNNNNNNNNNNNNNNNNNNNNNNNNNNNNUUAUUCAAUUGAAAUAUUCAUUUACACAAAAUCACCCUCACUCUGACUUCUAACUUUGUGACUUUACAUCACUAACUUCUUGGUCCAAUAUCAUUACCAAUAGGUCAUGACAACAACACUUUAACACACACUACUAUUCGGGUGGAAAUACAGUUCCAACAUUCUACUACACCUUAUUACCUCUGAAGCGUGACACUGGCAACAUAAGUUCUGAAAAGAACUAAAUAUACUUAAUACUGCAGGCUGAAAAGCACGAUUUCAUCAAAAUCAAGGUUCACACUAGAACCAACACACUCUGAAGCACUAAUGGACUCUUCUCAAGUCCUUACAAAAAUCUUAUAUGAUUCGAUCAGAACGAACCAUACCAUUUAGAAUCUAAACUUCUGUACUUGAAUCGGCCCAAUGAUGAGACAUGUCUGAGAAUGUCUGAGUAAGGAAAGAAUUGGGAUGACUGUUACUUUCUUAUGGGUGACACCAUAGCACGAAUUUAAGUAUGAAAGAGGAACAUUCUGACUCUAUUGCACGAACUAGAACAUGAAGAAAGAGAGACAUUCCUAAACGCCUUGUAGCCUCCUUCUUAUAAGUGUGGUGUGAUACACACCCAUAAACAAGACUCUACCCGACGCGAUUUCGCAGACACCUUGGGACCAUGAACCGUGCUUUGAUACCAAGUUUGUCACAACCCAAACUGGGGCCCUGGACAUGACGAGCAUCCCAAACCAUCAAGGCCCGAAACACCCCUGUCUAUCUGGUAAUCAUGCACAUAAUUCAUAUGAUAAAAGAAAUGCGGAAGAUACACAAUAUUACGGAAACAUGGUCAUAAUUCUAAUACAAUCUAUAAUGGGAAAUAAAGUCCCACAACAUCUAUCAACAUCUGAAAUCCGUCUGCGAAAUCUCUUACAUGACUAAUAGCAACAGUCUGAAAUCUGGGACAAGACCCCCAGUAGACCAAAACAUGACUAAAGAUAAAUAUCUGAAAGUAAACAGGCCUUUUGGAAUAUAGAAGGCUCACCACUGCACAAUCUGAUCUGCGAUCUGAAAUAUCUACUAUUCAUUUGGAUCCCUAGACUGAGUCUCAAAACCAAGAAGGAGGGGGAGGGGGUCAGCACAAAAGUACUAGCACGCGAAGUAAUCCAAAAUAGAGUAAUUGAAUAUAUAUAUAUAUAUAUAUAUAUAUAUAUAUAUAUAUAUAUUAAAUAAUAUAAGAGAGCUAUUUUGAAAAACAUCUNNNNNNNNNNNNNNNNNNNNNNNNNNNNNNNNNNNNNNNNNNNNNNNNNNNNNNNNNNNNNNNNNNNNNNNNNNNNNNNNNNNNNNNNNNNNNNNNNNNNNNNNNNNNNNNNNNNNNNNNNNNNNNNNNNNNNNNNNNNNNNNNNNNNNNNNNNNNNNNNNNNNNNNNNNNNNNNNNNNNNNNNNNNNNNNNNNNNNNNNNNNNNNNNNNNNNNNNNNNNNNNNNNNNNNNNNNNNNNNNNNNNNNNNNNNNNNNNNNNNNNNNNNNNNNNNNNNNNNNNNNNNNNNNNNNNNNNNNNNNNNNNNNNNNNNNNNNNNNNNNNNNNNNNNNNNNNNNNNNNNNNNNNNNNNNNNNNNNNNNNNNNNNNNNNNNNNNNNNNNNNNNNNNNNNNNNNNNNNNNNNNNNNNNNNNNNNNNNNNNNNNNNNNNNNNNNNNNNNNNNNNNNNNNNNNNNNNNNNNNNNNNNNNNNNNNNNNNNNNNNNNNNNNNNNNNNNNNNNNNNNNNNNNNNNNNNNNNNNNNNNNNNNNNNNNNNNNNNNNNNNNNNNNNNNNNNNNNNNNNNNNNNNNNNNNNNNNNNNNNNNNNNNNNNNNNNNNNNNNNNNNNNNNNNNNNNNNNNNNNNNNNNNNNNNNNNNNNNNNNNNNNNNNNNNNNNNNNNNNNNNNNNNNNNNNNNNNNNNNNNNNNNNNNNNNNNNNNNNNNNNNNNNNNNNNNNNNNNNNNNNNNNNNNNNNNNNNNNNNNNNNNNNNNNNNNNNNNNNNNNNNNNNNNNNNNNNNNNNNNNNNNNNNNNNNNNNNNNNNNNNNNNNNNNNNNNNNNNNNNNNNNNNNNNNNNNNNNNNNNNNNNNNNNNNNNNNNNNNNNNNNNNNNNNNNNNNNNNNNNNNNNNNNNNNNNNNNNNNNNNNNNNNNNNNNNNNNNNNNNNNAUUCAUAUUCUCAAAUCACUUUGGGGAAGGUCAAAACACCAAAACAAUGAUGUUAAAACAUUUAAUACAUGAAUAUAUACAUAGAUUCAAAAAACCCAUUCUAAAACAUGAUUUUUUAAUGCCCAUGAGAAUUUAGGAAAACCCCGCGUACCUCUAUAUGCGAAGAUGAUAGGUGCUUCUUGAAGCCUAGGUUCUGGGGAUUCCAAAUAUGCCAUUAUUUUCAAAAACCCACGGUUGAUUCUUGAGUUGCUUGGGUUUUUAUUUUGAAACCCUAAGGAGAGUUCUUGAGCAAUUUUGUUGAAUGAAGGUGUAUUUUGGGUCUUUGGGAACUGAAUUUCGUGUUUAUGGCUAAAUAAGGGUGGGAAAAGGACCAUUUUGCCCCAAAAAAUGGAGUGUUUAAGCCACUUGAAACGAUUACAUAGGCACCGCCUAUGCUAUCACCUACCUAUGUUUUCCACUGGCCAUGUGCGAUUGGUUAGGCGACGCAUACUACUUUGAAAGGCCAUAACUUCUUGCUCGGGUGUCGAAUUUUAGCAAAAUUGGUAUCGUUGGAAAGAUAACUCAAAAACCUAUGAUUUUACACAUAGUAGGCUCUCUAAUUCGACAUAUACAAAGAGUCAUGGUCGAUAUAAGUUGACACAAAUUAUAAUGUCCACUUAAACUUAAUCGAUCGAAGUAGUUUUCAACUCGUCCUUAAGUUGAAGGACCUCUAUAGUGUAAAUUCAUGCUCAAAUAGAUUCACAUACUACAUAAACAUGCCAAAUUGGAAUAGGAUUUAUGGCUUUGGGAUUAUCGACGCAUCGGAAUCAUGGUCUAUAUUCUAGCUCGAAAUAUGGGGUGUUACAUAAUUAUAGACUCAUGGUUGUUUGUGGAAUUUGAAGGUAGUCUAAAUGUACGCUUGGGUAAGUAAGUGUGAUGUGAGAAAGCUGUAUAAGUAGAUAAGAUUGUAUGGGGUUAUAAUAUAAGACUAGUACUACUUGUGAGAAGGUAUGUAGUAGAUUUUCGAGGUAUUUGGAUGGAAUGCCCCAAUUUGAUGGACUAGUAUAUUAUGUUGCCUUCUUCAUUGGUGGUAGAUGAUUGAUGCUAGACUAUUGGCUUGAAUUUAAUUUAGGAUGUGGAUGUAAGAAUAGGGGCCUAAGAUUAAUGAUGAAUGUUUUGUGAGAAUUGUGUGUCAGGUUGGGUUGUAAAUCAUGCUUAGCACUAGACAUUAAGUUUGAACAGUUGAUGUCCAUAAAGGUGGAUGUGAAGAUUUCUUGGUUAAUGAUACUAGUUAUAUGGAAGUGAUCUAAUAGGCUUGAAUGAUGUAUGCAAUAGAUUAAGUUUAUUUGAUUAGUAACAAUGUAUGAUGUUGUAUGUAUGAGGUAGAAGUAUGGCCAAGGUGAUAUGGAGUUGCGGCAUUUUCUAAGACUAUUACCUGUUGCGUGUGGCUAGUAGACAUAGUAGCACCAUUGAGUUGCUAGGUGGAGAAAGACUAGUAGUAUGAUUCAUCAAAGGCUUGGUGAUAUCCAUGUUAAGUGUUAUAAUUGAAGUUUGAAUUUUUGAAGGUUGAACCGACAGAAAUAAGAGUUGAAGCACUACAGGGUGUGCACUCCGACUAUGAGAAUACUCAUGAGAGAUUCAAAGUUUGUAAGUGUUCAAGUAUUAUGUGAUUGACUAUUGAGGCUAUAGAAAGAUAGAGUAUGUCUCAGAAGGUAUGAUUAGCCGUGAGUUUUCCCCUUCUAGGUGUAGCCAUUCGGGUUAAGUUCUAUUAAAUUGCAUGUAUUGUCAUAUUCCCGACCCCAGAGUGCAGUGAGUGUAGUUCAGUUUAGAGUCUAGUAAGGGAUCUCUCAAUCUUAAGAUGAUGAUUCCCAGAAUUAUUUUUUUCCUUCAGUUUUCCACUCUAAUGUUUCUUUUCACAGUGCACUGUUUUGCUUCCACUGAUGAGGAAGCAGCUGCACUUGUCAAAUGGAAAGCAACUUUCCAUAACAAGAAUAAUUCCUUAUUGGCUUCAUGGACACUAAGUACUGAUGCAUGCAGGGACGAUUGGUACGGAAUAAUAUGCUUUAAUGGUCGGAUAAACAGGUUGAAUAUUUCAAAUGUUGGUGUUACUGGUACACUCUAUGAUUUUCCAUUUUAAUCUCUCCCUUUUCUUGAAUACGUUGAUCUUAGCAUGAACCAACUCUUUGGUCCCAUUCCACCUGAACUAGGAAAGCUCACUAAUCUUGUCCAUCUUAACUUGUCCAACAAUCAGAUUUCAGGUUCCAUUCCUUUUAAAGUAGGGAAGAUGAAGUCACUUGAGGUUUUAACCUUAGGGAGUAACAAUCUUUCUGGCCCAGUUCCAACUUCUCUAGGUGAUUUAACUAGGCACAAGAUAUUGUACCUUUAUUCUAAUCAACUUUCUGGUCCCAUUCCUAGUGAGUUGGAGAAUUUGGAAAACCUCACUGAUUUGGACUUGUCCGCUAAUCAGCUUAGUGGUUCAAUUCCAAUUACUCUAGGUGACUUAACCGAGCUCAAGAUAUUGAACCAUGGUUUGAACAAUCUUUCUGGUCCCAUUCUAAGUGAGUUGGGGAAUUUGAAAAACCUCACCGCUUUGUCAUUGUCUUAUAAUCAGCUUAGUGGUUCAAUUCCAAUUACUCUAGGUGACUUAACCGAGCUCAAGAUAUUGUAUGUUUAUUCUAAUCAACAUUCUGGUCCCAUACCUAGUAAGUUGGAUAAUUUGGAAAACCUCACCAAUUUGGAUUUGUCUCAUAAUCAGCUUAGUGGUUCAAUUCCAAUUACUCUAGGUGACUUAACCGAGCUCAAGAUAUUGUACCUUUUUUCUAAUCAACUUUCUGGACCCAUUCCUAGUGAGUUGGGGAGUUUGAAAAACCUCACCGAUUUGUACUUGUCCGCUAAUCAGCUUAGUGGUUCAAUUCCAAUUACUCUAGGUGACUUAACCGAGCUCAAGAUAUUGUCCCUUUUUUCUAAUCAACUUUCUGGUCCCAUUCUUAGUGAGUUGGGGAAUUUGCAAAACCUUACCGAUUUGGACUUGUCCGCUAAUAAGCUUAGUGGUUCAAUCCCAAUUACUCUAGGUGACUUAACCGAGCUCAAGAUAUUGUACCUUUUUUCUAAUCAACUUUCUGGUCCCAUUCCUAGUGAGUGGGGGAUUUGAAAAACCUCACCGAUUUGAGAUUGUCUUAUAAUCAGCUUAGUGGUUCAAUUCUAAUUACUAUAGGUGACUUAACCGAGCUCAAAAUUCUGUACCUUGGUUUGAACAAUCUUUCUGGUCCCAUUCCUAGUGAGUUGGGGAAGUUAAAACACCUCACUAAUUUGGAAUUGUCCGCUAAUCAGCUUAGUGGUUCAAUCCCAAUUACGCUAGGUGACUUAACCGAACUCAAGAUACUGUCCCUUUUUUAUAAUCAACUUUCUGGUCCCAUUCCUAGUGAGUUGGGGAAUUUGAGAAACCUCACUUCUUUGUCAUUGUCUUAUAAUCAGCUUAGUGGUUCAAUCCCAAUUACUCUCGGGGACUUAACUGCGCUUAACAUUUUGUACCUUCAUUCUAAUCAACUUUCUGGUCCCAUUCUUAUUGAGUUGGGGAAUUUGAAACACCUCACCGGUUUGUCAUUGUCUAAUAAUCAGCUUAGUGGUUCAAUUCCAAUUACUCUAGGUGACUUAACCGAGCUCAAGAUAUUGUCCCUUUUUUCUAAUCAACUUUCUGGUCCCAUUCCUAGUGAGUUGUGGAAUUUGAAAAACCUCACCGAUAUGGAAUUGUCCACUAAUCAGCUUUGUGGUUCAAUCCCAAUUACUCUAGGUGACUUAACCGAGCUCAAGAUAUUGUGCCUUUAUUCUAAUCAACUUUCUGGUCCCAUUCCUAGUGAGUUGUGGAAUUUGAAAAACCUCACCGAUUUGAAAUUGUCCGCUAAUCAGCUUUGUGGUUCAAUCCCAAUUACUCUAGGUGACUUAACCGAGCUCAAGAUAUUGCGCCUUUAUUCUAAUCAACUUUCUGGUCCCAUUCCUAGUGAAUUGGGAAAAUGCAACAAAUUGACUGAUUUGCAAAUAGCGAUAAACAUAAUUGGAGGUAGCAUACCACCAGAGAUUGGAAAUGUCAAAGGGCUUCUAGGACUUGAUCUUUCAUCGAAUCAUUUGAUCGGGCAGAUUCCAAAGGAAUUUGGAAAAUUAACCUCUCUGAUUAGGCUUUUGGUGCAAAACAACAGUAUUUCAGGCAAUAUACCUGUCGAAGUUGUAUCACUGGCAAAAUUAGAGUCCCUCGAUCUAUCUGAUAACAGAUUGAAUGGAUCGAUCCCAACAUGUAUAGCAGAUUUCGUGCACUUGUUUCAAUUGAACCUGAGCAAUAACAAAUUUGGCGAAAACAUUCCAAUGGAGAUCCAAUGGAGAUAGGGAGGAUGACUCAGCUUAAUGUACUUGAUUUGAGUCAUAAUCUUCUGGUUGGAGAUAUUCCCCCUCAGUUAGCUAAUUUGAAGGUGUUGGUAGACUUAAAUCUUUCCCACAACGGCCUGUCCGGGCACAUUCCCGAAGAAGUUGAAAGUAUGACUGGUUUGCAGGUUGUUUUUCUGUCAUACAAUGAGUUGGAAGGUCCAAUCCCUAAUAAUAAAGCUUUUAUUACUGCUUCAUUACAAGGUAAUAAAGGUCUUUGCGGCAAUCUAACAGGAUUCCAGCCCUGUGAAAGGCCAUCUACUGUGGUGAAGAAGCACUCAAUUGUGAAGCGACGACAUAAACUCAUUCUCAUCACUCUACUUCCUGUUAUGGGAGGACUAGUACUACUCUAUGCUUUCCUUGGUGUGCUGUUUAUGUAUGAUAGAAGAAGAAGGAGAGCUAAAGACGAUGGAAGACGGAAUGAUGAUGGUUGGCUUUCGAUAUCCAUGUUAGAUGGGAAGGCAUUGUACAGGGACAUCUUAAACGCUACGGAGGAGUUUGAUGCAACAUUUUGCAUUGGGCAAGGAGGGCAUGGAAGCGUUUACAAGGUCAACCUCCCAUCAUUAGGGACUAUAGCAGUGAAGAGACUUCACUCUUCAUUUGAGAUCAAUACACAUCCCAAAAGCUUCGUGAAUGAAGUAAGGGCAUUGACUGGGAUUAAGCACCGGAACAUUGUGAACCACUACGGCUAUUGUUCGUAUGCACAACACUCGUUCUUGGUUUACGAGUAUGCGGAGAGGGGUAGUUUGUCUAGUAUUUUAAGCAAUGAAGUUGAGUCCAAGAAACUGAAUUGGCUUAAAAGGGUGAAUAGCAUCAAAGGUGUUGCGUUUGCUUUAUCUUUCAUGCACUAGGAUUGCUCACCACCUAUUGUUCAUCGAGACAUAUCAAGCAGUAAUGUUUUGCUUGAUUCUGAGUACGAAGCUCGUGUAUCAGAUUUUGGCAUAGCUAAGCUUCUCACGCCAGACUCAUCCAACUUCACCGCGCUUGCAGGCACAUAUGGCUACGUUGCACCUGGUAGGGUUUAACUUUAAUUCUAUCCUUUUUUUCAAACACACUUAAAAUGUUCUUAAUCUGAUUUGCGCGUUUAAAUCGUGUUGUUUCAGAGCUUGCAUGUACAAUGAAGGUUACGCAAAUGUGUGAUGUCUAUAGCUUUGGAGUAUUAGCAUUGGAGAUAAUCAAAGGAAAGCAUCUUGAUGAGUACAUUACUGUGCUAGCAAAUUCAUCUACUAUGGAUCAUCAGGUGCAAAUUCAUCUAGAUUUUCCGUAUCCUGAAAUGCUAGCAAGCUCUUAUUUGGUUGAAACUCCAAAAUCAAGGCCAACAAUGGAAUUCAUCUCUCAUAAGUUAUCAUCAAUGGAUGCUUACGCCCACCCAUUAUUCCUGUAAGGCGAGCUUUCUAAUUCCGUAAAAGUGCCUUUGAAUGAAAAUGUAUGUAUAGCUUUUGACCCACGACAAAAUUAUUACUGGGUUUAGUUUUUUUGUAUUGUUAGGGUGCUUGUGUGGUUUAUUGUAUUAGUGUGUACAAUUUUGAAGGUAAUUGUUCCUUGUGCCAAAAAGUAAACAAAAAAAACAAGCUUCAUGUUUUCUAAGUACUGAUGUUUUAUAGAGGAUUUACUAGUCUGCAUCGUAUAGUAAUUUGAAGGGGAGCCUUGGAGUAACUGGUAAAGUUGCUGCCAUGUGACCAGGAAGUCACGGGUUCAAGCCUUGGAAACAGCCUCUAUAUGGCAGAAAUGCAAGGUAAGGCUGCGUACGAUACACCCUUGUGACGGUAGCUUUAGUGCACCGGGCUGCCCCUUUUUUUUAUGAUCAAAAGAAAGCAUCAGAUGGAAUAUAUUACUUUGCUAGCGAAUUCCUUUUAUGUGAAUAUGCCUUUCAAGUUGAUCGGACUCUCCAAAUUUGUUGUUGCACCCGUGUCGGAUCCUUCAAAAAUAUAAUACUUUUGAAGGAUCCAACACACACCCAUCAAAAAUUUUGAAGACUCCGAGCAGCAUAGCUUGUAACAGAUCAAGCAUUCGCACUAAAGCUUCCGCUAUGUGCAGGCCAAGCGGGUACUCGAUGUUCCAACAAAACAAGCAUAGCAUGCAUCCAUAUGUCUAUAAAUAUAGCAAUCCAUAAUCAAAAUACUACAAAGACGUCCAAGUCUAGCUCAAGAACUUUUUCCCGAGGGAGCUCGGAGUCUUGAUGUAACAACUCAAUCCCUCAUGUCGCGGCUGGCUAAUUUACUCAGAAGCAACAUUAUUUUUACCCUCGUUCAUGCUUCUUUUUCUCUUUUGCAUCGAAUUAGAGGAGCCUUUCACGCGCACUUCCUUUUUCUGUCCAUGACGUGUUGAAGCACGAGCAAUUUCAUUUAAUGUCAUUUCAUCAUCAUUGUCGCUCAUCACAUGAACAGACAUAGUUUCUGGUUUGUCUGCAAGAAAAUAACGUAACAUAUUAAGUUUUCCCCUUUUAAAUUGAUGUAAGAAACUCAUCUGUCCAAUAAAAGUGUGAUAUCCGCGCCAAUAUAAGUCACACAACAACAACAACGUACCAAGUAUAAUCCUACAAGUGAGACCUGAGAGGGGUAGGAUAUAUGCAAACGUUACCUAUACCAUUACGGGGUAGAGAGGCUGUUUAAGAUAGGCUCAAAAAAAAAAAAGAAAAAUGAAUCAUGUUUGCAUGAAAACAUGACAAUAUCCUAAUAAAAGGGAAACCAAGACAGUCGAGAAAGGAAAAAAAUUAACUACAGCAAAGUGGCUAGAUCGACACAGCUAAAAAACAUGUAACAGUGGACGAAGUGGAUGUCUAGAAGAUACGAUGCAAGUGUGUCUCACAGUCGCUUUCUACUUGAACGUCUAGUGUUUCAUUUUUCAUUUUUCGUGUGUGUCUGUGUGGUUGUGGCGGUGUUAUUUUUAGUGUAUCGUGAAGAAUAAUCAGAAAAUAUCAUACCUAUAACCGUUUAACAGAACAACAGUAACUACUAUUCCACAAUCCAAAGAGUUGAGGUCGGCUAUAUGAAUCCUAAUGAAAUAUCCACAUAAUAUAGACAGAUAGUAAUAACAACAAAGUCGUCUAAAUCACAAAACCGUUAUACCUUUGAGUCUCGAUUGACCACUGCUAUUUCCGGUUGAAGUGCCAACACGUUUUGGAUCAGCAAAAAGCCCAAUUGCCCGAUCUUCGCCUUGAGAAGAUACCACGUUGUUAUGCUUCAAGUUAACUCCAGUUGCACCAGGAUCUUGACGGGCUGUUUCCACCUCCAAAUUUAUAGCCAAUUUUCACGAAACACACACGUCAACACAAAAAAAUCAAGAUCUACCAUUAACUAUACAUUAAACGAUUCUUAACAAGUUGUAAGGAGCAAAAAAAAAACAAAACAAAUCGAACCUAAAUUCACAUAACAGCAAUACCUUCAUCAAUUUUUCUCUUCGUUUCCUUCAAACGGGAAAUUCUAUCUCUAAAGUCGAUGAUUUUCUUCUCGUAGCGAGCCUCUUUAUCACUUUUUACCUUCUUUUGCAUUUCAAUUCUGUCAAAUAGCAAAUCGUUUGUUAUUUUGUACUCCUUGUAGUCCUCUUCUAUUAUUUUAUUGUACUUUUUGUGGAUACUUCUUUUUUCUUCCUCUAUACCUUUUUCACAAUCCAUUAGAAUUUUUCGCGCAAAAGGGAAGUCUUUCUCUUCAACCAUUUGUUUUUCCUACAUGAUUGAAAGUAAUGCCCGGAUCGACAACAUCUUCAAUGGAACAGCAAAAAAAUGCGGUGCAGCUAACUGUGAAAAAAGUUGAUCUUUUAUAGUUGAAAUGGCGGCGUGAAGCGGAAAAAGAGAGUAAUACAGGGAGGAUUACGCAGAUAAAUUCAAAAGAGCGAAACAUGAAAACACAUAUCUAAGAACAAUAAUUUGUACUAUUUGGUCAAGAUUUAAAGAUUACAAGAAUCUUUGAUACUUUUACAUUAAAGAUUAGUCAAACACCUCAGCUUUUAAAGUAAAAACAUUAAAAGUACAUUUGGUUUCUGCAAAAGAAUGAAUGUAGUUGUAAUCCUUGUAAUGUACAUAGAUAAAUAGUAAUUAUCAGAUAUCCUUUUUUGCUCUUUCCAUACUAAGAUAUCGAUUCAUUCCUUCGUACCUUUAUUACAUGGUAUCGGAGUCAUUGUUUGAGUUGGUAUUUUGUCUUUGCCGGAGUUCAUUAUGACUUCGCUGAGCACAUUUGAUUAGUUGCAGACUGUAGUUAGAAUUUAAAAGUUCUUUAUGCAGACAUUAUAUGGAAAAACCAUAUGCGCGAUCAAUGGCAACUUCAACUUAGCACUUUAGCAGCAGUUGUAUCAUGUUGCUGUAUAUGGAAAAGUCGUGCGUAAGAGUUGUAUCAGUGCAUAUUAUACCAAUGUUGAUAGAUACUUUUCUUCAAUACAGUAGUUAGGUUUCGUUACUUUCUGAAACUAUACUACAUUUCAUGAAUAAAGUGUAAAUAUUUAAAUAACUUAACUAUAGUAAAGUGACAAAAAGUUGAGAUGACAAAUAUUUACCUCGUUAGGAGAUUAGUGGAGCAGUUUAGGGAGAGGAAGAAGGACUUGCACAUGCAUGGUGUUCAUUAUUCUUGAGAAGGAGUAUGACAAAGUCCUUAGGGAGAUUCUGUGGAGGUGCUUGGAGGCUAGAGGGGUGCCCGUGACAUACAUUAGGUUGAUUUAGGACAUGUACGACGGCGCGAAGGCUCGUGUGAGAAUGGUAGAGGGAGAUCAGAGCACUUUCUUGUUCUGACAGUGUUGCAACAGGGUAGAUGAUGGUUGUUUUGACGCUGCAAAGUGGAGGUGCCUUGGUGUAUGGUGUUUGAUAAUGAUAUUGUACUGAUUGACGAGACUCGGGAAGGAGUUAAUGAUAAGUUGGAGGUUUGGAGACAGACCCUUGAGUGUAAAGGAUUUAGGUUGAGCAGUACCAAGAUGGAGUACUUGAAAUGUAAGUUUAGUGAUCUGUAAAAUGACCCUAAUGUGGUAAUGAAGCUGGAUUCUCAGACCAUUCAGAAGAGAGAGAGAGAGAGAGUUUCAAGUAUCUUGGGUCUAUGAUUCUGGAAAAUGGUGAGAUUACCGAGGAUGUCAGACACCGUAUUGGAGCAGGGCGGUUGAAAUUGAGGCUCGCUUCGGGAGUCUUGUGUGAUAAGAAGGUGCCUCCUAAGCUUAAAGGUAAGAUCUACAAAGUGACAGUUUGACCGGCUAUGUUGUAUGGAGGAGAGUGUUAGCCAAUUAAGAACUCCCACAUCCAAAAGUUGAAGGUGGCGAAAAUGAGGACGUUGAGAUGGAUGUCUGGGCUUACCAAGAGGGAUAGAGUUAGAUAUGAGAUUAUUCGGAGAAGGUGGGAGUGGUUUCAGUGGAGGACAAGAUGAGGGAAGUGAGGUUGCGAUGGUUCAGACAUGUGAUGAGGAGGUGCACGGAUGCUCUAGUGCGGAGGUAUGAGAGGCUAGAUAUGGAUGGUUUUAGGAGUGGUAGAGGCAGGGCAAGGAAAUAUUAGAGGGAGGUGAUUAGGCAUGAUGUGGAGCAGUUACAGCUUACAGAGGACAUAACCCUUGAUAGGAAGGGGUGGAGGACGCGGAUUAGGGUAGAGGUUAGUAGGUAGGAGUACGUCGAUUUACAAUUUAAAUGUAUUUUUUUCUUCUUUCUCGUGGCCACGACUCAUUCUCUAUGUGUUCAACUUUUAUUCUAGGCUAUUCAAACACAAAAUCAUUCUUUAGCUUUAACGACUGUUAUACGAAUACCAUGACUCAACAAUAUGUGUAUCGAGCAAACAUGGUUUCGAAUAGGUGGUCUAAUAAUGUGACGACACAUAACGUGCCUCCAUCGUUCAAUUGUACUUAAACCAUUCUAUAAAUAUAGCGAUCCAUAAUCAAGAUACUACAUCGAAGUCCAACAGAUGAACGAUAAGUAGCUAAUUGUUCCUACUAGCAAAGCAAGUCUAGUAUAAAAACUUUUUGCCAAGGGAGCUCGAAGUCUGGUGCAACAACUCGACCCCUCAUCUUGAGCAUCUGUGUACAUAGAGAUGAGCAGACAGACUCCGCGGCAACUGGAGCUUCAUUUGCGGAUACCAACACCAACACAGAACAUCUGGUCUUUCUUGCUAUUGUAAAUCCUACAUAUUUGGCGAGAGUAUCGAAUAGCCAGUGUCUUGCAUAUGCAAAGAUCUUCCGGUCCAACCUCCGAAAUUGUUCUCUUGAGCUUGUUUUCGGGAUAAUCACGACACAGAAACACCCCUAAAGCAGUAAUCCUGAAAGAAAAAAACAGGCAAAAAGGGAUUACAAAGUGAGUAAUCGAAUGAACAUACUUGACCUUACCCCUACCGUAGAGGUAGAAGACUAUUUCUGAUAGACCGUCACAAAUUUUCUUUUCACAAACUAAGGAAAAAAAACUAUCGAGAGGUUGAUAUAUACCUUUUUUUGUCGAUCUUACUCAUCGAGGAGAAUUUGUUUGAAGAAAUUUGUUGACGGUACAAAGCACAUACAGCAUUCAAACAAAGCUCAUCAUCCAUAUCAAAUGCAGUACAAAAAUCGUCUUCAGACGACCAUUCUAUACCCGACCUAUUCCCAGGAUUAACCAAUUCUGGAAUAACUUAUUUUAUUUGACCCUCAUUCAUGCUUCUUUUUCUCUUCCGCAACGAAUUAGAGGAGCCUUUUCCGUGCACUUCCUUUUUCUGUUUGCAAAUUUUUGAAGCACGAGCGAUUUCAGUUAACAUCAGUUCAUCAUCACUGUUGUUCAUUACACGAACAGGCGUAGUUUCUGGUUCGUCUGAUGCUUCACUCAAGACUAUUGCUUUACAUGCCAAUGGAUCUGCAAGAAGAUUAUAUGCGAUAACAUCUUAGAUUUUCCUCUUUUAAGCUGAUAUACGAAACUUAUCUGUCCAAUAAAGUAUGAUAGCCGCCAAUAUAAGUCACAUAACAACAACUUACCAAGUAUAAUCCUCAUGUACGCAGACCUUACCUCUAUCUUUUGCGCUAGAGAGGCUGUUUUAGAUAGUCCAGCGGCUCAAAAGAAAUAAAAAUGAAUCACGUUUGCAUGAAAACACGACAAUAACCUAGUAGGAUACAAAGCAACUAAAAGGGGAAACGAAGACAGACGAGAAAGGAAAAAACUAACGGCAGCAAAGUGGCUAGAUGGACUCAGUGUGUAACAGUGGAUGAAGUGGACGUAGCAAGUGUAUGUCGGAAUUGCUUUCUACUCGAGCAUCUAGUGUUUCUUUAUUUCAUUUUUCAUGUGUGUCUGCGUGUCUGCUUCUGUGCUUUACUCUGCUUUAGUGCUUUACUAUGUGUUUGUGUGGUAUCUCGUGCCUUGAGCCGGGGGUCUUUCGGAAACAGCCUUUCUACUUCAUCAGAGGUAGAGGUAUGGACUGCGUACAUCUUACCCCCCCAGACCCCACUAGGUGGGAAUACACUGGGUUUGUUGUUGUUGAUGUGUGUCGGCGUGGUUGUGGUGUCAUCAGAAAAUAUCAUACCUAUAACCGUUUAACAGAACAACACUAACUCCUAUACCUCAAUCCAACGAGUUGAGGUCGGCUAUAUGAAUCCUAAUAAAUAUCCACAUAAUACAAACAGAUUGUAACAACAACAAGUCGCCUAAAUCACAAAACCGCUAUACCUUUGAGUUUCGAUUGACCACUGCUGUUGAGGUGCCAACAAGUUUCGGAUCAUCAAUAACCACGAUUGCCCGAUCUUCUCCCUGAGUAGAUUCCUCGUUGUUAACGCCAUUCGCACCAGUAGCUUGAAUGCCCAUUUCCACCUCCAAAUCUAUAGCACAUUUUCAGAAAACAAGCAAAUUUUCAGAAAACACACACAUCAACAUAAAGAAUUUUCCAAAUUAGUUAAAUAAUUGAACGCGACAAAUAACUAAAACAGGUUUUGCAAAUGCAGUAAAAUCAAGAUAUACUAUCAACACACAUUAUGAAACGUUACGUAACAAUACAUAAAAGGGAAGCCCGGAGAACUAAAGAUACCGCUAUGCGCGGUGUCACCACAAGGGUGUAUCGUAUGCAGCCUUACUUUGCAUUUCUACCGGAGGCUGUUUCCAAGGCUUGAACCCGUGAUCUCCUGGUCACAUGACAACAACUUUACCAGUUACGCCUCACAUGACAACAACUUUACCAGUUACGCCAAGACAUAAUAACAACAAUACCUUCAUCAUUUUUUCUCUCAUUUUCUACCAUAACAGAAACUUCAUCCCUCAACCCUUUCAAUAUCUCCGCGUAGCAAUCCACGCUUUCACUUGUCACGUUCUCUAUCUCUUCGAUUCUCGUAGACAACAAAUUGUUGUCGCCAUUAUAGUAUUUCAGAUGCUCUUCGAUUAGCCUAUUAUAAGUUUUUUCCAUAUUCCUGUUUCUUUCCUCGAUUUUUUUUUCACAUUUCAUUAGAUAUCUUUGCACAAAAGAGUAGUGUUCUUCUUUAACAAUUAGUUUUUCCUUAAAGAUCGCAAGUGCUUCUACGAUCGAUAUCCUCUUCGACGAAGAAUCCAUUAUCGAAAAUGUGAUAAUAAUGAGAUUUUCUUGAUAUAGCAAAAAAGUGAGAUGCUGUUAAAACUGCGAAAAAUCGCAUCGGCUAACUCUGUGCCAGUAGCCGCGGUAAUGAAGAGGAUGCAAGCGUUAUCCGGAAUGAUUGGGCGUAAAGCAUCUUUCACAACCAUUUAAAUGGUUCAAUUGAACCUGAGCUAUAACAAAUUUGGCAAAAACAUUCCAAUGGAGAUCCAAUGGAGAUAGGGAGGAUGACUCAGCUUAAUGUACUUGAUUUGAGUCAUAAUCUUAUGGUUGGAGAUAUUUCCCCUCAGUUAGCUAAUUUGAAGGUGUUGGUAGACUUAAAUCUUUCCCACAACGGCCUGUCCGGGCACAUUCCCGAAGAAGUUGAAAGUAUGACUGGUUUGCAGGUUGUUUUUCUGUCAUACAAUGAGUUGGAAGGUCCAAUCCCUAAUAAUAAAGCUUUUAUUACUGCUUCAUUACAAGGUAAUAAACGUCUUUGCGGCAAUCUAACAGGAUUCCAGCCCUGUGAAAGGCCAUCGAAGCACUCAAUUGUGAAGCGACGACAUAAACUCAUCCUCAUCAUUCUGCUUCCUGUUAUGGGAGGACUAGUACUACUCUAUGCUUUCCUUGGUGUGCUGUUUAUGUAUGAUAGAAGAAGAAGGAGAGCUAAAGACGAUGGAAGACGGAAUGAUGAUGGUUGGCUUUCGAUAUCCAUGUUAGAUGGGAAGGCAUUGUACAGGGACAUCUUAAAUGCCACGGAGGAGUUUGAUUCAACAUUUUUCAUCGGGAAAGGAGGGCAUGGAAGCGUUUACAAGGUCAACCUCCCAUCAUUAGGGACAAUAGCUCUGAAGAGACUUCACUCUUCAUUUGAGAUCAAUACACAUCCCAAAAGCUUCAUGAAUGAAGUAAGGGAAUUGACUGGGAUUAAGCACCGGAACAUUGUGAACCUCUACGGCUAUUGUUCGCAUGCACAAUACUUGUUCUUGGUUUACGAGUAUGCGGAGAGGGGGAGUUUGUCUAGUAUUUUAAUCAAUGAAGUUGAGUCCAAGAAAAUGGAUUGGCUUAAAAGGGUGAAUAGCAUCAAAGGUGUUGGGUUUGCUUUAUCUUACAUGUACCAGGAUUGCUCACCACCUAUUGUUCAUUGAGACAUAUCAAGCAGUAAUGUUUUGCUUGAUUCUGAGUACGAAGCUCGUGUUUCAGAUUUUGGCAUAGCUAAGCUUCUCAAGCCAGACUCAUCCAACUUCACCGCGCUUGCAGGCACAUAUGGCUACGUUGCACCUGGUAGGGUCUAACUUUAAUUUUAUCCUUUUUUUCAAACACACUUAAAAUGUUCUUAAUCUGCUUUGCCCGUUUAAAUCGUGUUGUUUCAGAGCUUGCAUAUACAAUGAAGGUUAUGCAAAUGUGUGAUGUCUAUAGCUUUGGAGUAUUAGCAUUGGAGAUAAUCAAAGGAAAGCAUCUUGGUGAGUACAUUACUGUGCUAGCAAAUUCAUCUACUAUGGAUCAUCAUGUUCAACUUAGUGAUUUUCUAGAUGAAUGCCUUCCGUACCAGAAGAUAGAGUAAAUGAACUUUUGGUUUUUAUCAUCAAGCUAGCAAGAUCUUGUUUGGUUGAAACUCCAAAAUCAAGGCCAACAAUGCAAUUCAUCUCUCAUAAGUUAUCAUCAAUGGAUGCUUACGCCCACCCAUUCCUGUAAGGCGAGCUUUCUAAUUCCGUAAAAGUGUCUUUGAAUGAAAAUAUAUGUAUAGCUUUUGACCCAUGACAAAUUUAUUACCGGGUCUAGUAUUUUUGUAUUGUUAGGGUGAUUGUGUGGUUUAUUGAAUUAGUGCGUACAAUUUUGAAGGUAAUUGUUCCUCGUCUAAGUACUGAUGUUAUAUAGAGGAUUUACUAGUCUGCAUCGUAUAGUAAUUUGAAGGGGAGCCUUGGCGUAACUGGUAAAGUUGCUGCCAUGUGACCAGGAGGUCUAUCGGAAACAACCUCUCUACUUCUUCGGAAGUAGCGGUAUGGAUUGCGUACAUCUUACCCUCCCCAGACCCCACUUUGUGGGAAUACACUGGGUUUGAUGUUGUUGUUAAGCUAGCAAGAUCUUGUUUGAUUGGAACUCCAAAAUCGAUGCCAACAAUGCUCUUCAUCUCUCACAGGUCAUCGAACUUCAACGGAUCCACGUCCAUCUACUCAUGUAAGACGAGCUUUGUAAUCUCUGAGAUGUAAGGUGUCUUUGUAUGAAAUGAAUAACCAUUGAAAGUUUGAAACCAAGUGGUUGCGUAAGUAAACCAAGUUGUUGCCAUGUGACCAGGAAGUCACGGGUUCAAGCCUUGGAAACAGCCUCUGGCAGAAAUGCAAGGUAAGGCUGUGUACGAUACACCCUUGUGGUGGGGCCCUUCCUUGGACACAGCGCAUAGCGGUAGCUUUAGUGCACUGGGCUGCCCCUUUUUCUAUAAUCAAAAGAAAGCAUCACAGGGACUAUAUUACUUAGCUAGCGAAUUCCUUUUAUGUGAAUAUGCCUUUCAAGUACUAGUUUUUGUCAAGCAAGUUUUUGUCACGACCCGAACCGGGGCCUUAGCCGUGACGAGCAACCCGAACCAUGGAGGCCCGGGCGCCCUUUUACAUCUGGUAAGUCAUGCACAAUUCUCAUAUAAAAAGAAAUGCGGAAAUAUAAUCAUUACGGAAUUAUGGUCAUCAUUUUGAAAAUUUGGAACAGGUAAUUUGGGACGGAGGGAGUAGUAAUUUUCAAUGAACAAAUAUAGUUAUACAGCCACCAUUUAUGUCUUAUCAACAUUGCCAAACACUAACUGAUGCGAACUUAUCCUUGUAACCUAAGUUGCUCAGACUCUCCAAAUUUGUUUUUGCACCCGUGUCGAAUCCUUCAAAAAUACAAUACUUUUGAAGGAUCCAACACGCACCCAUCGAAUUUUUUGAAGACUCCGAUCAGCAUAGCUUGAACAGAUCAAGCAUUCGCACUAAAACUUCCGCUAUGUGCAACCCAAGUGGGUACUCGAUGUUCCAGCAAAACAAGCAUAACAUGCAUCCAUAUGUCUAUAAAUAUAGCAACUCUAAUACAAGAAAUUUUUGCCGAGGGAGCUCGGAGACUGGUUCAACAACUCGAUCCCUGGCUAAUUUACUCAGAAGCAACAUUAUUUUGACCCUCGUUCAUGAUUCUUUUUCUCUUUUGCAUAGAGUUAGAGGAGCCUUUCACGCGCACUUCGUUUUUCUGUGCACGACGUGUUGAAGCACGAGCAAUUUCAUUUAACGGCAUAUCAUCAUCAUUGUCGCUCAUAACACGAACAGACAUAGUUUUUGGUUUGUCUGCGAGAAAAUAUAUGUAACAUAUUAAGUUAGCUCCUUUUAAAUUGACGUAAGAAACUCAUCUGUCCAAUAAAAGUGUGAUAUCUGCCACAAUAUAAGUCACACGACAACAACAACGUACCAAGUAUGAUCCCACAAGCGAGACCUGAGAGGGGUAGGAUAUAUGCAAACAUUACCUAUAACAUUACGGGGUAGAGAGGCUGUUUAAGAUAGUCCCUCGGCUCAAAAGAAAGAAAAAUGAAUCAUGUUUGCAUGAAAACACGACAAUAUCCUACUAAAAGGGGAAAACCAAGACAGAUGAGAAAGGAAAAAAAUUUAGCUACAGCAAAGUGGCUAGAUGGACACAGCUAAAAAUCAUGUAACAGUGGACAAAGUGGAUGUCUAGAAGAUACGAUGCAAGUGUUUGUCGCAGUCGCUUUCUACUUGAACGUCUAGUGUUUCAUUUUUUCUGUGUGUGUCUGUGUGGUUGUGGUGGUGAUAUAUUUAGAAUCAUCACAAAAUAUCGUACCUAUAACCGAUUAAAAAAACAACAGUAACUAAUAUACCUCAAUCCAAAGAUUUGAGGUUGGCUAUAUGAAUAAUCCUAAUGAAUAUCCACAUAAUAUAGACAUAUUGUAAUAACAAUAAGUCAACUAAAUCACAAAACCGUUAUACCUUUGUGUCUUGAUUGACCACUGCUAUUUCCAGUUGAGGUGCCAACACGUUUUGAAUCAUCAUAAAGAACAAUUGCCCGAUCUUCGCCUUGAGAAGAUUCCACGUUGUUGCGCUUCAAGUUAACUCUAGUUGCACCAGGAGCUUGAUGGGCUGUUUCCACCUCCAAAUUUAUAGCCAAUUUUCACGAAACACACGUCAACACAAAAAAAUCAAGAUCUACCAUUAACUAUAUAUUAAACGAUUCUUAACAAGUUGUAAGGAGCAAAAAAUAAACAAAAAUAAUCAAACCUAAAUUCACAUAACAGCAAUACCUUCGUCAUUUUUUCUCUUCGUUUCCUUCAAACGAGAAAUUCUACCUCUAAACUCGAUGAUUUUCUUCUCGUAGCGAGCCUCUUUAUCACUUUUUGCCUUCUUUUGCAUUUCAAUUCUGUCAAAUAGAAAAUCGUUUGUCCUUUUGUACUCCUUGUAGUCCUCUUCUAUUAUUUUAUUGUACUUUUCGUGAAUACUUCUUUUUUCUUCCUCGGUACCUUUUUCACAAUCCGUUAGAAUUUUUUGCGCAAAAGGGAAGUCUUUUUCUUCAACCAUUUGUUUUUCCUUCAUGAUUGAAAGUAAUUCCUGGAUCGACGACAUCUUCAAUGGAUAUCAAAGAUGUGAUCAAUGAAAGGCUUUUCAUGAAACAACAGAAAAACGCGGCGCAGCUAACUGUGAAAAAAAUUGAUCUUUUUUAGUUGAAACGGCGGUGUGAAGCGGAAAAAGACAAUAAUACAGGGAGGAUUACACAGAUAAAUUCAAAAGAGCGAAACAUGAAAACACAUCUAAGAACAAUAAUUAGUACUAUUUGGUCAAGAUUUAAAGAUUACAAGAAUAUUUGAUGCUUUUACAUUAAAGAUUAGUCAAAAACCUUAGCUUUUUAAGUAAAACAUUAAAAGUACAUUUGAUUUCAGCAAAAGAAUGAAUGUAGUCGUAAUCCUUGUAACAUAUACAUAGACAACUUAGUUUAGUAAUUAUAGGAUAUCCUUUUUUGCUCUUUCCAUAACAACAUAUCUAUCCAUUCCCUCAUACCUUUAUUACAUGGUAUCAGAGUCGUUGUUUGAGUUGGUAUUUUGUAUUUGCCGGAGGUCACUAUGACUUCGCUGAGCACAUCGGAUUAGUUGUAGAUUGUAGUUAGCAUUUAAAAGUUCUUUACGCGGACAUUAUAUGGAAAAAUCAUAUGCGUGAUCAAUGGCAACUUGAACUUAGCACUUUAGCAGCAGCUGUAUCAUGUUGCUGUAUAUGGAAAAAUCGUGCGUAAAACUAUACUACAUUUCAUAAAUAAAGUGUAAAUAUUUGUUGCUUUGCAUGAUUUUUCCUAGAAAUAACUUAACUAUAGUAAAGCGACAGAAGGUUGAGAUGGCACAUGUUCAAAGUUUUAUGAAAAUAUUUCCCAUAUCUUUAUUAGUUUGGGUCAGACAUAAGAAGCAAACUAAGUGUUUUCAACAAGUAAUGAAGAGUUGUAGUGGGUCGCUCCUCAACUCAGGGACCUAUCACAGAAGAACUAGGAAGAUGAACAGUAAAAGUACGUGGAAAGAUUAAUAGCAGACACAAGAGUUUUAUGUGGAAAUUCUUUGCUCAAGGGAGAAAAUACUACGACCUGCCUCCAGGAAUUAACCUCUUAAUCCUUUGUCGCUUGCAAAAUCUCUAUUACAACGAAACACAAGCAGUAACUCUACUGUUUCAACCUCCAGCUAACUCUAACUGGAUAUUACAAGCUAACUCUAAAUGAUUACGAAGAGAAAGGUUUGAACCUCAACACCUACUAAUAAUCAUAAGCAAAUGUAGGCAAACAUUUAAGAACAGUACACAAGGACUCAACUACAACAGGGAAGUAAAAAUACAAUUCGAUGAACAAUCAGUUUCAUGUUGCAGUGUAUAUAUAAUCUUUGAUUCAGCUUUUGAAAGAUAUUUAUUUGUGAGAAUAUGGAAGCGUUAGUUUUCUUGUUGAGGAAGAUGAGAAAUAUAUAGUAUGAUACAAGAAAACUCAGGAGAGAUCCCAUUGGCUGAGGCAAAAAGGUGGAAGCAUCUUUUUCACCAACUUUUGUACUUUGUGUUAGCUCUGACCGUUGACCGUGAUAGUGACAGAUGAGCCCAACCUGUUCCCUAUUCCGUAGAAGCAUUUUCAGCUCAAAAAAAUCCAGGAAACAGGUCCCAACAUGCAAAUUAUAUAUAGUUUGACAAUCAUCAAAACUAAGGACUUAACAAGUAGUUUUCACUGGUUGUCCCUUUUAUAGAUGGUUGUUUAGUAAAUGAUCUUGCUUUUAUUUCUCUUGCAACUUACGGACCUUUUUCAUCACAAUCAGCAAAUAAUAUUUUUAACGAAAUUGAGAAAACAAUAGACCACGGUCUAAAUUAUUGUCAGUAACUGCAAACGUCAAGGUUGGACAAUAUAUGAACAAACAUUAGGUAGGCGUUUGGCCGUGAAAACAAAAAAUAAUUAACCUUAUUUGGAAUCUUCAAAGUUGGAGUUGUAUUACGCCAUACAUUUUCAGCGACUGUUAUGCCAAUACCAUGACUCAACAACAUGUGUAUCGAGCAAACAUGGUUUCGAAUAGGUGGACCAAUAAUGUGACGGCACAUAACAUGCCUUCAUUGUUCAAUUGUACUCAACCAUUCUAUAAAUUUAGCCAUUGAAGUCCAACAGAUAAACGAUAAGUACUUAAUUGUUCCUACUACAGCUAGAUAUCUUCCUAAAACAAAGCAAGUCUAGUAUAAGAACUUUUUGCCGAGGGAGCUCGGAGUCUAGUGCAACAACUCGACCAUACCAUUUGUAUACAUAGAGACGAGCAGACAACCCUCGCGUCAACUGGAGCUUCAUUUGUGGAUACCAACACCAGGGCAGAAAAGCUGGUCUUUCUUGCUAUUGUAUAUCCUAUAUAUUUGGCGAGAGUAUCGAAUAGCCAGUGUCAUGCAUAUGCAAAGAUCUUCCGGUCCAACCUCCGAAAUUGCUCUCUUGAUCUUGUUUUCGCGAUCGUCAUGACACAAAAACACCCCUAAAGCAGUAAUCCUGAAAGAAAAAGCCGGCAAAAAUGGAUUACAAAGUGAGUAAUCGAAUGAACUUACUAGACCUUACCCCUACCGUAGAGGUAGAAGGCUAUUUCUUAUAGACCGUCACAAAUUUUCUAUUCACAAACUAAAGAAAAAAACUAUCGAGAGAUUGAAAUAUACCUUUUUUUGUCAAUCUUACUCAUCGAGGAGAAUUUGUUUCCAGAAAUUUGUUGACGGUACAAAGCACAUACAGCAUUCAGACAAAGCUCGGCAUCCAUUUAAAAUGCAGUACAAAAAUCGUCUUCAGACGACCAUUCUAUACCCGACUUAUUCCCAGGAUUAACCAAUUCUGGAAUAAAUGAUGUUAUUUGACCCUCAUUCAUGCUUCUUUUUCUCUUCCGCGUCGAAUUAGAGGAGCCUUUCACGUGCACUUCCUUUUUCUGUCCGCGACUCUUUGAAGCACGAGUGAUUUCAGUUAACGUUAGUUCAUCAUCACUGUCAUUCAUUACAUGAACCGGCAUAGUUUCUGGUUUGUCAGACGCUUUACUUAAGACUAUUGCUUUACAUGCCGAUGGAUCUGCAAGAAGAUUAUAUGCGAUAACAUCAUAGAUUUUCCUCUUUUAAGCUGACGUAUGAAACUUAUCUGUCCAAUAAAAGUAUGAUAGCCGCCAAUCUAAGUCACACAAAAACAACAACUUACCAAGUCUAAUCCUCAUGUACGCAGACCUUACCUCUAUCUUUUGCGGUAGAGAGUCUGUUUCAGAUACUCCCACGGCACAAAAGAAAUAAAAAUGAAUCACGUUUGCAUGAAAACACGACAAUAUCCUGGCAAGAUACUAAGCAACUAAAACGGUAAACCAAGACAGACGAGAAAGGAAAAAAAUGAAUUGCAGCAAAGUGGCUAGAACACAGCGUGUAACCGUGGGUGAAGUGGACGUAGCAAGUGUUUUGUCGGAAUUGCUUUCUACUCGAGCAUCUAGUCUUUCUUUUUUCAUUUUUCGUGUGUGUCUGCAUGGUUGUGGUGGUGUUAUUUUCUGUAUAUCAUGAAGAAUCAUCAGAAAAUAUCAUACCUAUAACCGUUUAACAGAACAACACUAACUACUAUACCUCAAUCCAAUGAGUUGAGGUUGGCUAUUUGAAUCCUAAUGAAAUAUCCACAUAAGAUAGACAGAUCGUAACAACAAGUCGACUAAAUCACAAAAACAUUAUACCUUUGUGUCUCGAUUGACCACUGCUAUUUCCGGUUGAGCUGCCAGCAAGUUUCGGAUCAUCAUAAAGCACGAUUGCCCGAUCUUCUCCCUGAGUAGAUUCCACGUUGUUUACGCCAUUCGCACCAGUAGCUUGAAUGCCUGUUUCCACCUCCAAAUCUGUAGCCAAUUUUCAGAAAACACACACAUCAAGAUAAAGAAUUUUCCUCGUUUCGUACGAGAAAAUCUAACAUCUAACUCUUUGAACAGAAAAAAAGGUAUGAGAACAGAAAAUAUAAGUCACACAACUGAUGAAAAUGCAUUCAUUUGCUUUUCGUAGCAUCAGUCAUCAUUUACCAAACUUUAUCCGACUCCAAAUUAGUUGAUUAAUUGAAUGCCACAAAUAAUUUAAACAGGUCUUGCAAAUACAGUAAAAUCAUUAUUAUCAAAACGAUAAGCUAAGUACAUUAAACGAUACGUAACAAGUUCACAUAACAGAAAUACCUUCGUCAUUUUUUCUCCUCUUCGUUUCCUUCAAACGAGAAAUUCUACCUCUAAACUCGAUGAUUUUCUCCUCGUAGCGAGCGUCUUUAUGACUUUUUGCCUUCUUUAGCUUUUCAAUUCUGUCAAACAGCAACUCAUUUGUCUUUUUGUACUCCUUGUAGUCCUUUUCUAUUAUUUUACUGUACUUUUCGUGGAUACUUCUUUUUUCUUCCUUGAUUCCUUUUUCGCAAUCCAUUAGUAUUUUUUGCGCAAAAGGGAAGUCUUUUUCUUCAACCAUUUGUUUUUCCUUCAUGAUUGAUAGCAAUUCAGGGAUCGACAUCAUCUUCAAUGGAUAUCAAAGAUGUGGUGAAAGGCUUUUCUUGAAAAGGCAAAAAAUUGCGGCGCAGCUAACUGUGAAAAAGAUUGAUCUUUUUUAGUUGAAAUGGCGAUGUGAAGCGGAAAAAGACAAUAAUACAGGGAAGAUUACGUAGAUAAAUUCAAAUGAGUGAAACAUGAAAACACAUCAAAAAACAAUAAUUAGUACUAUUUGUUCAACAUUUAAAGAUAACAAGAAUAUUUGAUACUUUUACAUUAAACAUUAGUCAAACACCUCAGCUUUUAAAGUAAAACAUUAAAAGUACAUUUGAUUUCUGCAAAAGAAUGAAUGUAGUCAUAAUCCUUGUAAUAUACAUAGAUAACUUAAUUUAGUAAUUAUAGGAUAUCCAUUUUUGUUCUUUCCGUAGUUAGGAAUUUAUGCUCGUGUAUACAUACUUGCUAAUUUAUGAAAUAAUAAAUCGAUUCAUUCUCUCAUACCUUUAUUACAUGGUCACUAUGACUUCGCUGAGCACAUCGGAUUAGUUGUAGAUUGUAGUUAGCAUUUAAAAGUUCUUUACGCGGACAUUAUUGUUGGGAAGCAAAUCAAUCUCACAUCUCCCACAUCGGAGAAAUAGAGGAAGAAUGCCCAAUAUUUAAGUGUGUCACCCAACUCCACUAAUAUGAGGCCUUUUGGGAGGUGCCCAAAAACAAAUCCGUGAGGGCUUGGCCCAAAGAGGACAAUAUCAUAAUAGUGCGGAGUUCGGGUGUGGUUACACGCGGUCCCGAGAAGUGGUAUCAGAGCCCUGAUUCGGGUGUGUCGGAAUGGUGGACUGCGGUUGGGGAGAAUUUUCCGGUGUAAUGACAAGACUGGGAGAUCUGCAGGUGGUGCCUUGUGUCGAAAGUCUUCCUGGCGAGUGGUGGUCAGGCAGCGUGUCUCAUUGGAUGAUAAAGGAGGUACAAGAUGUUUGGCAGAUCAUGUGAAUUUGAUCUAGUAGUUGAGAUCUACUGUUUGAUGCCUAGCAAAGUCCAACUCCUUGUUUAGCAUAGCUCCCUAACACUCAAGCACCAGAUCAUAUGAAAGGCCGGAUGCAAACUUCCUCAUUCGAACCCUCAUACAACUCGUCAUCUCAGGAGCAUAACGGGCCAGCUGAUUGAACUUUAGAGUAUACUCCUGAACACUCAUCUUACCCUGCUUAAGGUUCAUGAACUCCCCUACCUCUUUCAGCUGGUACGCGACCAAUUCUACCCCUUCUACUUCAUCUACAUGCAUCACUUGAAGAUCUUUUCCAUUUCGUCUACAAAUUCCUACGGAUCCUCUUGUACUUUAGUACUUCUGAAUUUGGGAGGAUUCAUCCUGAUGAAUUGGCUCACCCAUGUAGCUUCAGAGGUAAUAAAUGCAGACCUAGUAUCUUCUGACCGCUAAAUCUGUGCAGCCACCAACUAUGUUAACAUGUGAAUAGAUUUCCUAAACUCUGCAUUUGAAAUAUUCCCCUGCGAAGUCGGGGGAUGGUUCAUUUUGGUCUGUGAGCCCGAGGUGGACUGGUUGGGACUGGAGGGACUCCCGAAGUAGGGACAAGGCCUGGAGUGGGAACUCUAUUACGUCUCCUCAUACCAUGAGUGUGACGAACUUCAUCAUUCUGAGCACUCUGAUUAGUAUUGCGACGAGGAGGCAUGGCUGUUAUUUUUGUAAGACAAAAGAUCACUGAUUAGGAACAGACUUUACUCUGAAGCACGAACUAAUUCACAAAGAAGGGAAGCAUUUCCUAAACGCCUAGUAGCCUCCCGCUUAUAAGUGUAGAGUGCUACACACCCCAAAGCAAGACUCUACCCGAUGCGAUUUUGCAGACAUCCUGGGAACAUGAACCGUGCUUUGAUACCAAGUUUGUCACGACCCAAACCAUUGCCCUGGCUGUGAUGAUCAUUCCGAACCAUGAAGGCCCGAAACAUCCCUAUCUAUCUGGUAAUCAUGCACAUAAUUCAUAUAAUAAAAAUAAAUGCGGAAUAUAUACAAUAUUAUGGAAACAUGGUCAUGAAUCAAAUGAAAUCAAUAAUGGGAAAUAGUGUCCCACAACCUCUAUCGACAUCUGAAAAACCAUCUGUGAAAUCUCUACUACAUGAUUGAAACAAAUAAUUAUAUGAAAACUGGGACAAGGCCCCCAGUAGACCCAAACCUACUAAAUGAUAAAUGAGAAGGCUUACCACUUGAUUUUGUAAGUCUGUCUGAAGACGUCUACUGAUUAUCUAGACCCCUAGACUGUGCCUCCGAACCUGGGAGGGAAGGGGGUUAAUAUUGUCACGACCCGAACCAGGUCCUGGCUGUAACGAGCAUUUUGAACCAUGGAGGCCCGAAACACCACUAUCUGUCUGGUAAUCAGGCACCUAAUUCAUAUGAUCAAAGUAAUGCGGAAGAAACACAAGUAUUCGGAAAUAUGGUCAUAAAUAUGAAAAGAAACAAUAGCGGGGAAAUAAGGUUCCCCCAACAUCAAUCAACCUCUAAACAAUUGUCUGCGAAAAUCUCUAACAAAUGACUGAGUCAAGUAACUGUAUAUAAACUGGGACAAGGACCCAGUAGACCCCAAAGCUAUAUAUAAGCUAAAGGACUCGGGACAUAAGACCUUCCGAAACAUAGAAGGCUCACCACUUGUCUUUAUAACUCUUUCUGAACGAUCUACUGAUUCACUUGACCCCUACACUGGGACUCUGAAUGUGAGAGGUUGGAGAGGGGAGGGGGUCAGAACAAAAGUACUGGCAAAUAGAGAUAUCAAAACAAAACAUAAUAUUUUUACGAAAUAUAGUUGAGAGCCAUUAUAAAGCAAUUUCGUAUCAAAUUAUUUGAAAACAUAUGGGCGUAAUGCAAUAGUUUCUCAACAACAAUGAAAUGCAAUUGAGCUAGGUGGAAUACCCUACAUAAUUUACACCAACUGUCUAACCUCGGUUGCCGCCGAGAUUAGAGUAUAAGUGAGGGAGAGACACAUAAGACCACGAAGCCUGGUGUCUCGACCCACUGGUAGUGCAAAAGAUCACACAGCCUGGGCUCUUACCUAUAGUCCCAAUUUGGGAAUAACAUAAAGUCAAGUACACAAUAUCACUUAGCCUGGUACCAAAUCUCUGUGUCGGCAAACACGUUUUCCAACGAUGAGCCCUUACACUCAAACGCCUUCUUUGGGCAUCCACCUAUCUCAUGUAAAAUCAAUGCAUUCAAAUUUUAUCUGAUUCAAUCACAUAUCAUAUUCUGUAGAGUAUCAUCAUACCUGACUUGCAAGUCAUCAAUAUCACUUCCACAUAUACAUUAUCAUGUAAAAAUCAAGGUUCUUCAUCAUUUACAAGUGGUAAACAAUAAUUAUUUCAAAUUCGUGCUCUCUUUUGUUGGUCACAAUAUGAUAUGGGGUAUCAAGACAUUAACAUGGGAAUUUGAAAGCAAUUUAUCAUUCAUAUUUAUCAAACUUCCAUGGAAAAUCUCAAAUCACAUAUGCAUGGUUUCAACCAUUGAAGUAUAUAGGCAAACAAUUCUCAUGACAUAAAGAAAAUGUCUUAGAAAUCGUAUUGAAAGCAAGAUAUUAGCAUUUGAUUGAAAACCCCCAUUUAAAAGCAUGCAUGUUCAUAAAAACUACACCCAUGAGAUUUUNNNNNNNNNNNNNNNNNNNNNNNNNNNNNNNNNNNNNNNNNNNNNNNNNNNNNNNNNNNNNNNNNNNNNNNNNNNNNNNNNNNNNNNNNNNNNNNNNNNNNNNNNNNNNNNNNNNNNNNNNNNNNNNNNNNNNNNNNNNNNNNNNNNCCCAUCCCAUUGCCUAUGUUUACAUAGGCGCCGCCUAGGCUAUCGCCUAUGUUUACAUAGGCUCCGCCUAGGCUAUCUCCUAUACUUUCCAAUGGCCAUGGGCGAUUUGUUAGGCGACGCAUAUCACUUUGAAAAGCCAUAACUUCUUGCUCGGGUGUCGGAUUUUAGCAAAAUUGGUAUCGUUGGAAAGCUAACUCGAAGACCUAUCAUUUGAAACAUAGUAGGCUCCCUAAUUCGACAUAUACUGAGAGUUAUGGUCGAUGGAAACUGACACAAUUUACAACGUCCACUAAAUCUUAGUCGAUCGAAAUAGUUUCAACUCGUCCUUGAGUUGAAGGACCUCUAUGGUCUAAAUUCAAGCUUCAAUGGAUUCACAUGAUACACAAAUAAUUAACAUGCCGUAUUGGCAUAGGAUUUUAUGGCUUUGGGAUUUAUCAACACAUCGGAAUCAUGGUCUAUAUUGUAGCCCAAAAUGCGGGGCGUUACAUUAUCCCCCCCUUAGGAUCAUUCAUCCCCGAAUGAUGAUGCGGGACACACACAGACACGAUUUCAUGCAUAAUAAAGGACUAGGAAAGUUAAGAUAGGAAUAGUACCUUCUGUCUCAUCCUCCAUCGAAGCAAACAAUUUGGGAUAUCUAAUUCUCAUGUCAUCUUCUGACUCCCAAGUUGCUUCUUCGACUUUCUGAUUCCUCCACAGUACCUUUACUGAGGCUAUCUCUUUGCUCCUCAGCUUUCGAACUUGGCUAUCUAAAAUUUUAACGGGCUCUUCUUCAUAAGACAGGGAGUCUGUCACUUUGAUACCUUCUACUGGCAAUACUAUAGAAUGAUCUCCAAUGCAUUUCUUCAACAUGGAUACAUGGAAUACUGGAUGAACGGAGCCCAAACUUGCAGGCAAGUCUAGCUCAUAAGCAACUGCACCAAUCUUUUUCAGAAUCUGAUAUGACCCUAUAUAGCGAGGGCUUAAUUUAUCCCUUUUUCCAAAUCGUAUAACUCCUUUCAUAGGAGAAACAUUGAGAAACACCCAAUCACCAACUUCAAACUCUAGUUCUCUUCUCCGAACAUCGGCAUAGGACUCUGACAACUCUGAGCAGUCUUGAGUCGUUCUCUAAUGAUCUUUACUUUCUCUAUCGCCUGAUCAACAAGAUCAUGCCCAUACAAAUGAGCCUCACCAACUUUAUACUAUCCUAUCGAAGACCUACAUCUCCUCCCAUACAAAGCCUCAAUAUGAGCCAUCUUGAUGCUGGCAUGGUAACUAUUAUUGUAAGGAAAUUCAACCAACUACCUUUGAAAUCAAUGACGCAUUCCCUCAAUAUAUCCUCAAGGGUUUGAAUGGUAUGCUCAGCUUGCCCAUCCGUCUGAGAGUGGAUAGCUGUGCUCAAAUUCACUUGUGUACCUAAACCCUUCUGAAAAAAUUUCCAAAACUGAGAUAAAAACUGCGUACCUCUAUCGAAUAUAAUGGACACUGGUGCCCCAUGCAAUCGAACUAUCUCGUCAAUAUAAAUCUUAGCAUAACCCUCUACCGAAUAAUUAGUCCUCAUAGGCAGAAAGUGGGCUGACUUUGUCAACCGAUUUACAAUCACCCAUAUAGAAUCAUACUGGUUUUGGGAUCUCGGAAGUCCUGUAAUGAAGUCCAUGUUUAUCAUCUCCCACUUCCAUAAAGGCAGGGCUAUCUCUUGGGAAGUACCACCUGGCCUCAUGUGUUCUACCUUUACUUGUUGAAAGUUCAAACACUUGAACACAAAAUUAGCUAUAUCAUGUUUCAUGUUAUUCCACCAAUACAAGGUUUUCAGAUCAUGGUACAUCUUAGUAGAGCCUGGGUGAAUGACAUACCUCGAAGUGUGCACCUCAUUAAGGAUUCUUUCCCGUAGCCCAUCAACAUUUGGAAUGCACAACCUACCCUAAAAUCUUAGAACACCAUCACCACCAAUUUCAAACGGCAUAACCUUUUAUUAACCCACAUCUUUCUUGAUUUGAAUCAAGAUGGGAUCCUCAACCUGCUUCUUCUUAACUUUAGCACAAAGGGAUGACUUAGCUAACUCAUGAAUAAUCACCUCUCCAUCUUUAGAAUCUAAGAGUCACACUCCCAGAUUUGCAAGGCGGUGAAUAUCCUUCACCAUCUCUUUCUUUCCUUUUUCUACAUGAGAAAGGCUGCCCAUAGACAACCUGCUGAGGGCGUCGGCUACAACAUUUACCUUACCCGGAUGGUAAUACAGACUCAUAUCAUAAUAUUUCAAAAGCUCCAUCCAACGCCUCUACCUGAGGUUCAAUUCUUUCUGUGAGAAAACAUACUGUAAACUCUUAUGGUCAGUAUAAAUGUCAACAUGUACUCCAUAGAGAUAGUGCCUCCAGAUUCUAAGUGCUAACACCAUGGCUACUAACUCCAAGUCAUGAGUGAGGUAAUUUCGCUCAUGCACCUUUAACUGCCUAGAUGCAUAAGCUAUCACCUUACCACGCUGCAUCAAUACACAACCAAGUCCCACACGAGAUGCAUCACAAUAAACCAUAAAAUCAUCUACACCCUCGGGAAGGGUCAAAAUAGGAGCAGUAGUCAGCUUGUCCUUCAAUUUCUCAAAACUGUUUUCACACAAGUCAGACCACGCAAACUUUAUCUUUUUCUGAGUCAGUUUAGUAAGCGGAGCAGCUAUGGAAGAAAAAAUCUCUACGAACCUUCUGUAAUACCCUGCCAAACCUAAGAAGCUCCGAAUAUCGGUUGGAGUCGUGGGUCUAGGCUAUUUUCUCACUACUUCAACUUUCUGGGGAUCCAUUCUUAUCCCGUCACUGGACACAAUAUGCCCCAGGAAGGCAAUAGCAUCUAACCAGAAUUCACACUUAGAAAAUUUAGCAUACAGCUGAUGAUCCUUAAGGGUCUGAAGAAUAAUUCGAAGGUGAUUGGCGUGAUCCUCUUUACUCUUAGAAUAGAUUAGAAUAUCAUCAAUAAAUACAAUGACGAACAAGUCAAGAAACUGAUAGAACACUCUAUUCAUAAGAUCCAUGAAGGCUGCAGGGGCGUCAGUCAACCCAAAGGACAUGACUAGAAAUUUGUAGUGACUAUAUCGGGUUCGGAAGGCUGUCUUAGGUAUGUCUAACUCCUUAACUUUCUACUGACGAUAACCCGAAUGAAGGUCUAUUUUUGAAAAACACUUGGCACCCUGAAGCUAGUUAAAAAGGUUGUCAAUCCUAGGAAGAGGAUAUUUAUUUUUAAUCAUGACCUUAUUUAAUUAACGGUAGUCUAUGCACAUCCGAAGGGACCCAUCCUUCUUUCGCACGAAGAGCAUGGGUGCACCUCAUGGGGAAACACUAGGAUGAAUAAAACCUUUGUCUAGGAGGUCUGCAAGCUAUUCCUUUAACUCCUUUAGUUUCACGGGAGCCAUUCUAUAUGGCAGAAUAGAAAUAGAAUGAGUGUCUGGCAAUACAUCAAUGCCAAAAUCUAUCUCCCUAUCAGGCGGUAUCCUUGGGAGAUCUUCGGGAAAGACUUCUGGGAAUUCAUUCACUACAUGAACUGAAUGCAGAGGAAGGUUUUCAACUUUUGAAUCUUUCACUCAGAUUAGAUGAUACAUACAACCUUUGGAGAUAAGCUUUCGGGCUCUAAGAUAAGAGAUAAAGUGACCUCUAGGUUCCACAGAAUUCCUUGCCCGUACAAUUGGUGUCUCAUUCGGGAAAGAAAAAGUGACCUUUUGGGUUCUGCAAUCAAGGAUGGCGUAACACGGAUGGAGCCAGUCUAUCACAAGGAUGNNNNNNNNNNNNNNNNNNNNNNNNNNNNNNNNNNNNNNNNNNNNNNNNNNNUCCCUACAAUGAAUAGACACGACACAAUUUCUAUAUACCCUUCUAACAAAAACAGAAUCACCUACAGGAGUAGAAACAGAGAAGGUUUCUACAAUAACUUUAGGCUUAAACCCGAAACAAAUAGCCACAUAAGGGGUCACAUAAGAUAAAGUAGACCCGGGAUCAAGCAAUACAUAAACAUCACGAGAAAAUAUUCGUAACAUACCGGUGACAACAUCUGGUGAAGCUUCCGCCUCUUGGCAGUUAAUCAAAGAAUAUAACCGGUUACAACCGCUCUCGAUAGCUGAAGGGGUACCCUUAGAAAGAGGAGCUGUGGAAGCGGCUUGGGACUUAGCCCUCCUCCCCCCCGCAUUUCCUCCAGCAGAAGGACAAUCUCUCUGAAGGUGACCCACUUUGCUAUAAGUAUAGCAGUUUCUCCCCUCAAACCAGCACUUUCCUGGAUGAUUCCUUCUGCAAACCUUGCACUGCAGAUAAGUAAGACGCUGCUGGGCCUCACUGCCCUGAGAAUGUGUACCUAAAGCUUUGGAUCUAUGAGGAGUCUGAAAACUCUGAGUUUAUCUGUCUGUCGGUGGUCUUGGUUCUGGGGCGCUGGCUGCUGACUGUACAUUAUUCCAAAACUUCUUCUUCUUCGACCACUUAUUGCCCCAGUUACCACUCUGAAGCUGAUUCUAGCUCUCUUAGCCUGUCUUUCUCUCUAGAUUUCAGCAAUCCUUUUCUUCCUCUCUUCCACCUACUGCAUAUGAAAGGUCAGUCGAGCAAAGUCUAACUACUUAUUCAACAUAUCCCCUGGCAGUCAAGUACCAGGUUAUUAGCAAGGCCAGAUGCAAAUUUACUCAUCGAGGCUCUCAUAUUACUAGUCAACUCUAGUGCAUAGCGGGCUAGUUUAUUAAACUUCAAAGUGUACUCCUGGACACUCUGCCCUGCUUCAGAUUCAUAAACUCUUCCGCAUUGGUCUCCCUAAACUCUAGAGAAAAGAAUCAAUCAAGGAAAGCUUCCACAAAUUUUCCCCAAACUGUGGGCUCAGCACUUUCACCUUUUGUAUCUUCCCAGUUGGCAUACCACUGAUUCGCAACGUCCUUGAGCUGAUAGGUUGCUAACUCCAAUCCUUCAACCUUAUCGACAUGCAUCACCUUAAAGAUCUUUUCCAUCUCAUCCAAACACCUGUGGAUCUUCCUCCACCUUCGUGCCAGUGAACCUAGGUGGGUUCAUCUUCAUGAAAUAUCCGACUCUAGUAGCCUCAGACGUAACAGAUGCAGACCCAACAUCUUUCUAUACUUGAGCCUGGUUAGCUACAAACUGUGUCAACAUAUGAAUAGAACGUCUGAAUUAUGCAUUAUAAAUAUCUCCCUGAGCAGUUGGGGGACGGUUGACAUUAGUCUGUGGAGCUCGAGGCGAACUGGUCGAGACUGGAGGGACUCCCAAAGUAGGGACAAGUUCUAGAGUGUGAGCUCUGUUACGGGUCCGCAUCCCAUGGGUGGGACGGACAUCAUCUGCCUGAGCAUUUGAUCGAUGAUACGACUUAGAGGCAUAACUGUGUUUUUGAAACACAAGUGAUCAUUGAUUAGGGGACAGUUCAAACUCUGAAGCACGAACUAAAUCACAAAGAAGGAAAAUAUUUCCUAAACGCCUAGCAGCCUCCUACUUAUAAGUGUGGCACGCUACAAACCUAUAAACAGGACUCUACUCGACGUGAUUUUGCAGACAUCCUGGGACCAUGAACCGUGCUUUGAUACCAAGUUUGUCAUGACCUGAACGAGGGCCUGGCCGUGACGAACAUCUCGAACCAUGAAGGCCCGAAACACCCCUAUCAGUCUGGUAAUCAUGCGCCUAAUUCAUAUGAUCAAAGUAAUGCGGAAGAAACACAAGUAUUCGGAAACAUGGUCAUAAAUAUGAAAAGAAACAAUAGUGGGGAAAUAAGGUUCCCCCAAUAUCAAUCAACCUUUAAACAUCUGUUUGCGAAAAUCUCUAACAAAUGACUGAGUCAAGUAACUAUAUAUAAACUGGGACAAGGCCCCCAGUAGACCCCAAAACUAAAUAUAAGCUAAAGGACUGCAGGACAUAAGACCUUCCGAAACAUAGAAGGCUCACCACUUGUCUCUGCAACUCUAUCUGAAUGAUCUACUGAUUCUCUUGACCCCUAGAUUAGGCCUCUGAACCUGAGAGGUUGGAGAGAGGAGAGGUCAACACAAAAGUACUGGCACACAGAGAUAUCAAAACAAAACAUAAUAUUUUUACAAAAUAUAGUUGAGAGCCAUUAUAAAGCAAUUUUGUAUCAAAUCAUUUGAAAACAAAUGGGCGUAAUGAAAUAGUUUCUCAACAACAAUGAAGUGCAACUGAGCUAGGUGGAAUACCCUGUAUAAUUUACACCAUCUGUCUAACCUCGAUUGCCGCCGAGAUUAAAGUGUAUAAGAGAGGGAGAGACACACAAGACCACAAAGCAUGGUGUCUCGAACACUGGUAGUGCCAAAAAUCACUUAGCCUAGGCUGCUACUUAUAGUCCCAAUUUGGGAAUGACAUAAAGUCAAGUACACAAGAUCACUUAGCCUGGUACCAAAUCUCCAGGUCGGCAAACACAUUUUCCAAUGAUGUGCCCUUACACUCAAACGCCUUCUUCGGGCAUCCACCUAUCUCAUGUAAAAUCAAUGCAUUCAAAUUUUAUCUGAUUCAAUCACAUAUCAUAUUCUGUAGGGUAUCGUCAUACCCGACUUGUAAGUCAUCAAUAUCAUUUCCACAUAUGCAUNNNNNNNNNNNNNNNNNNNNNNNNNNNNNNNNNNNNNNNNNNNNNNNNNNNNNNNNNNNNNNNNNNNNNNNNNNNNNNNNNNNNNNNNNNNNNNNNNNNNNNNNNNNNNNNNNNNNNNNNNNNNNNNNNNNNNNNNNNNNNNNNNNNNNNNNNNNNNNNNNNNNNNNNNNNNNNNNNNNNNNNNNNNNNNNNNNNNNNNNNNNNNNNNNNNNNNNNNNNNNNNNNNNNNNNNNNNNNNNNNNNNNNNNNNNNNNNNNNNNNNNNNNNNNNNNNNNNNNNNNNNNNNNNNNNNNNNNNNNNNNNNNNNNNNNNNNNNNNNNNNNNNNNNNNNNNNNNNNNNNNNNNNNNNNNNNNNNNNNNNNNNNNNNNNNNNNNNNNNNNNNNNNNNNNNNNNNNNNNNNNNNNNNNNNNNNNNNNNNNNNNNNNNNNNNNNNNNNNNNNNNNNNUGGUGAUUCCAAAUAUGUAAUUAUCUUCAAAAACAUAUGGUCGAAUGUUGAACUAUUUGGGUUGUUAUUUUGAAACCCUAAGGAGAAUAUUUGAGCACUUUUGAUGAAUGAAGGUGUAUUUUGGGGUCCUUGGAACUAAAUUUCGUGUUUUAGGGCUAAGUAAGGGUGGAAAAGGACCAUUUUUCCCCAAAAAUGGAGUGUUUAAGUCACUUGAAUUCUUUACUUAGGCGCCGCCCAUCCCAUUGCCUAUGUUUACAUAGGCGCCGCCUAGGCUAUCGCCUAUGUUUACAUAGGCGCCGCCUCGGCUAUCGUCUAUGCUUUCCAGCGGCCAUGGGCGAUUGGUUAGGCAACGCAUAUCACUUUGAAAGGCUAUAACUUCUUGCUCGGGUGUCGGAUUUUAGCAAAAUUGGUAUCGCUGGAAAGCUAACUCGAAGACUUAUCAUUUGACACAUAGAAGGCUCCCUAAUUCGAUAUAUAUAGAGAGUUAUGGUGGAUGGAAGCUGACACAAUGUACAACGUCCACUAAAACGUAGUCGAUCGAAAUAGUUUCUACUCAUCCUUGAGUUGAAGGACCUCUAUGGUCUAACUUCAAGUUUGAAUGGAUUCACAUGCUAUACAAAUAAUUAACAUGCCAUAUUGGCAUAGGAUUUUAUGGCUUCGGGAUUUAUCAACACAUCGGAAUCAUGGUUUAUAUUGUAGCCCAAAAUGUGGGGCGUUACAAAUACAAAUGUACUGGUACGCAGAGUAAUAUGAAACAAAAAUACAAUAUUUUUUACAUAAUAUAAGUGAGAGUCAUUAUAAAGCAGUUUCAUAUCAAAUCUUUUGAAAACACAUGGCAUAAUGUAAUAAUUUUUCAACAACAAUGCAAUGCAGUUGAGCUAGGUGGAAUACCUUACAAUAUCACAUUUACACCAACUAUCAUAUCUCGGUUGCCGACAAGAUUAGAGUAUAAGUGAGGGGAAUACACAAAAGAUCACACAGCAGGGUGUCUCGACCCAAUGAAUGCACUAGAUGACAAAGCAGGGAUCCUAACCAUAGUCCCAAAUUGGGAUAACAUAUAUCAGGUACACAAGAUCACAAAGCAGGGUACCAAAUUCCCUUAUUGGCAAAUACGGUUUCCAGCGAUGAGCCCUUUCACUCAAAUGCCUUCUUUGGGCAUCCACCUAUCUCAUGUAAAAUCAAUGCAUUAAAACUUUAUUUAAGUCAAUAACAUAUCAUAUUUUGUAGGGUAUCAUCAUACCUGACUUGCAAGUCAUCAGUAUCACAUCAUUCUUUUCAUUCAACCUUUAUAUUCAACAUGUUUCAACAGAAACAAUCCUCUCUUUGCAAGUCAAAAUCAUAUCCAUUCAUAAUAAUUUUCAAAACAUUUCAUGUCAUGCUUUUCAAGAUGAUUUCAAACAAUUCACAUCAUAUGAAAAUUUAAAACAAAAUCAUAACAAGAGAGAGAUUUCCAUAUAAUUCAUGCUCUCAAGUUACCAUCUUUUUGAAACACAUGCAUGUACAUAUAUAAUAUAUCAAAUAAAUUCGGGGAAAGGCCUAAAGACCAAACCAAUAUCAUUGAAACAUUUAAAACAUGAUAAUAUUCAUAAUUUCAAAACCCCCAUUCUUAAAGCAUGAAUUUUAAGCCCAUGAGAUUUUUAGGAUAGUCCCACGUACCUCUAUAUGCAAAGUUAAUAGGUGCUUCUUGAAGCCUACGUUACGGGGAUUCUAAUUAUGCGAUCAAUUUCAAAAACCUACAGUUAAAUCUCGAACUACUUGGGUUUUUAGGUUGAAACCCUUGAGAGUGUUCUUGAGGAUUUUUGGUGAAAAUAUCAAUAUUAUGCUCAAUAGGGAGUGUAAUCCCGUGUUUAAGUUGAUAGAGUUUUGGAAAAAUACCACAAUGCCCUUAAUAAGAUGGAAUAGUACACUGCAUUUUGGCUGGGCGCGAUAGGCAGGGCAGCGCCUUGCUUAGACCCUGGGAGAACCCAGGCCGGCGCCUUGCUUUCACCAGAGGAGAGACCACGACGGCGCCCCGCUUAGAGUGGGGCUGAGCCCUGGGAGGUGCCCCCAAAUGCCUUUAGCUACUGUUUUCCCACCCAAACACGACCGUAGAUUCAUCUAAAAAUUCUAAAACUUACCCGAGAUGUACUACGGCCUUGCCCCAUUGUAGUGCAAUAAGAAAAUCUAAAAAUGGAGGUCGAGAAGUUUGAAAAUAAAAUCCCCGAAGAUUACGAGCUAGAAAUAAGUCUUAAGUCCUUUGACACUUAGAGAAUUUUUCAUGUUUUCAAGUUUAAGACCACACCACUAAGAGUUAGUGCAUGCAUGACUUCUACGGGGCGUUACAUUUGGUGUAUGCUAUUUGUUGAUGAUAUUGUACUGAUUGACCAGACUCGGGAAGGAGUUAAUGAUAAGUUGGAGGUUUGGAGACAGAAACUUGAGUGUAAAGGAUGGGGUACUUGAAAUGUAAGUUUAGUGAUCUGUCGAAUAACCCUGAUAUGGUAAUGAAGCUAGAUUCUCAAACCAUUUAGAAGAGAGAGAGUCUCAAGUAUCUUGGGUCUAUGAUUCUGGAAAAUGGUGAGAUUACCGAGGAUGUUAGACACUGAAAAAGAAGGUGCCUCCUAAGCUUAAAGGUAAGAUCUACAGAGUGACAGUCUGACCGGCUAUGUUGUAUGAAGCAAAGUGUUAGCCAGUUAAGAACUCCCAUGACUAAAUGUUGAAGGUGGCGAAAAUGAAGAUUUUGAGAUGGAUGUCUGGGCUUACCAAGAGGGAUAGAGUUAGAAAUGAGAUUAUUCGGGAGAAGGUGGAAGUGGAUUCAGUGGAGGAAAAGAUGCGGGAAGUGAGGUUGCGAUGGUUCAGACAUGUGAUGAGGAGGGACACAGUUGCUCUAGUGUAGAGGUAUGAUAGGCUGGCUAUGGAUGGUUUUAGGAGUGUUAGAGGUAGGGAAAAGAUGUAUUAGAGGGAGGUGAUUAUGCAUGACGUGGAGCAGUUACAGCUUACGGAGGACAUGACCUUUGAUAGGAAGGUGUGGAGGACGCGGAUUAGGAUAGAGGUUAGUAGGUAGGAGUACGUCGAAUUAUAAUUUAAACAUAUUUUUUUCUUCUUUCUCGUGGUUGCUACUCAUUAUCUAUGUGUUCAACUUUUAUUCUAGUCUAUUCAAACACAAAAUCAUUCUUUAGCUUCAACGACUGUUAUAUAAAUACCAUGACUCAACAAUAUGUGUAUCGCGCAAACAUGAUUUCAAAUAGGUGGAUCAAUAAUGUGACGACACAUAACACUCCUCUAACAUUCAAUCGUACUCAAACCAGUCUAUAAAUAUAGCAAUUCAUAAUCAAAAUACUACAUUGAAGUCGAACAGAUGAACGAUAAUUACCUAAUUGUUCCUGCUAACAAAGCAAUUCUAGUAUAAGAACUUUUUGUCGAGGGAGCUAGGAGUCUGGUGCAACAACUUGACACUUCGUUUCGAGCAUCUGUGUACAUAGAGAUGAGCAGACAGACUCUGCUUCAACUGUAGCUUCAUUUGCGGAUAUCAACACCAGGGCAGAACAGCUGAUCUUUCUUCCUAUUGUAUAUCCUAUAUAUUUGGCGAGAGUAUCGAAUAGCCAGUGUCUUGCAUAUGCAAAGAUCUUCUAGUCCAACCUCCGAAAUUGUUCUCUUGAGCUUGUUUCGGGAUCAUCACGACACAGAAACACCCCUAAAGCAGUAAUCCUGAAAGAAAAAGCAGGCAAAAAUGGAUUACAAAGAUUGUCUUUUCAUGAACUAAGAAAAAACUAUCAAGAGAUUGAUACAUACCUAUUUUUGUCGAUCUUACUCAUUGAGGAGAAUUUGUUUCCAGAAAUUUGUUGACGGUACAAAGCACAUACAGCAUUCAGACAAAGCUCGGCAUCCAUUUAAAAUGCAGUAAAAAAAUCGUCUUCAGACGACCAUUCUAUACCCGACUUAUUCCCAGGAUUAACCAAUUCUGGAAUAAAUGAUGUUAUUUGACCCUCAUUCAUGCUUCUUUUUCUCUUCCGCGUCGAAUUAGAGGAGCCUUUCACGUGCACUUCCUUUUUCUGUCCGCGACUCUUUGAAGCACGAGUGAUUUCAGUUAACGUUAGUUCAUCAUCACUGUCAUUCAUUACAUGAACCGGCAUAGUUUCUGGUUUGUCAGACGCUUUACUUAAGACUAUUGCUUUACAUGCCGAUGGAUCUGCAAGAAGAUUAUAUGCGAUAACAUCAUAGAUUUUCCUCUUUUAAGCUGACGUAUGAAACUUAUCUGUCCAAUAAAAGUAUGAUAGCCGCCAAUCUAAGUCACAAAAAAACAACAACUUACCAAGUAUAAUCCUCAUGUACGCAGACCUUACCUCUAUCUUUUGCGGUAGAGAGGCUGUUUCAAAUAGUCCCUCGGCUCAAAAGAAAGAAAAAUGAAUCACGUUUGCAUGAAAACACAACACUAUCCUGGAAAGACACUAAGCAACUAAAACGGUAAACCAACACUGACGAGAAAGGAAAAAAAUGAAUUGCAGCAAAGUGGCUAGAUGGACACAGCGUGUAACAAUGGAUGAAGUGGACGUAGCAAGUGUUUUGUCGGAAUUGCUUUCUACUCGAGCAUCUAGUCUAUCUUUUUUCAUUUUUCGUGUGUGUCUGCGUGGUUGUGGUGGUGUUAUUUUCUGUAUAUCAUGAAGCAUCAUCAGAAAAUAUCAUACCUAUAACUGUUUAACAGAACAACACUAACUACUAUACCUCAAUCCAAUGAGUUGAGGUCGGCUAUUUGAAUCCUAAUGAAAUAUCCACAUAAUAUAGACAGAUCGUAAUAACAACAAGUCAACUAAAUCACAAAACCUUUAUACCUUUGUGUCUCGAUUGACCACUGCUAUUUCCGGUUGAGCUGCCAACAAGUUUCGGAUCAUCAUAAAGCACGAUUGCCCGAUCUUCUCCCUGAGUAGAUUCCACGUUGUUAACGCCAUUCGCACCAAUAGCUUGAAUGCCUGUUUCCACCUCCAAAUCUGUUGCCAAUUUUCAGAAAACACACACAUCAAGAUAAAGAAUUUUCCUCGUUUAGAACGAGAAAAUCUAAUAUCUAACUCUUUGAACAGCAAAAAAGGUAUGAGAACAGAAAGUAUAAGUCACACAACUGAUGAAAAUGUAUUCAUUUUCUUUUCGUAGCAUCAAUCAUCAUUUACCAAACUUUAUCCGACCCCAAAUUAGUUGAUUAAUUGAAUGCCACAAUAAAUUAAACAGGUCUUGCAAAUACAGUAAAAUCAUUAUUAUCAAAACGAUAAGCUAAGUACAUUAAACGAUACGUAACAAGUUCACAUAACAGAAAUACCUUCGUCAUUUUUUCUCCUCUUCGUUUCCUUCAAACGAGAAAUUCUACCUCUAAACUCGAUGAUUUUCUCCUCGUAGCGAGCGUCUUUAUCACUUUUUGCCUUCUUUAGCUUUUCAAUUCUGUCAAACAGCAACUCAUUUGUCUUUUUGUACUCCUUGUAGUCCUCUUCUAUUAUUUUACUGUACUUUUCGUGGAUACUUAUUUUUUCUUCCUUGAUUCCUUUUUCGCAAUCCAUUAGUAUUUUUUGCGCAAAAGGGAAGUCUUUUUCUUCAACCAUUUGUUUUUCCUUCAUGAUUGAUAGCAAUUCAGGGAUCGACGUCAUCUUCAAAGGAUAUCAAAGAUGUGAUGAAAGGCUUUUCUUGUAACAGCAGAAAAAUGCGGCGCAACUAACUGUGAAAAAGAUUGAUCUUUUUUAGUUGAAAUGGCGAUGUGAAGCGGAAAAAGACAAUAAUACAAGGAAGAUUAUGCAUAUAAAUUCAAACGAAUGAAACAUGAAAACACAUCCAAAAACAAUAAUUAGUACUAUUUGUUCAAGAUUUGAAGAUUACAAGAAUAUUUGAUACUUUUACAUUAAACAUUAGUCAAACACCUCAGCUUUUAAAGUAGAACAUUAAAAGUACAUUUGAUUUCUGGAAAAGAAUGAAUGUAGUCGUAAUCCUUGUAAUAUACAUAGAUAACUGAAUUUAGUAAUUAUAGGAUAUCCAUUUUUGUUCUAUCUGUAGUUAGGAAUUUAUGCUCGUGUAUACAUAAUUGCUAAUUUAUGAAAUAAUAACUCGAUUCAUUCUCUCAUACCUUUAUUACAUGGUCACUAUGACUUCGCUGAGCACAUCAGAUUAGUUGUAGAUUGUAGUUAGCAUUUAAAAGUUCUUUACGCAGACAUUAUUGUUGGGAAGCAAAUCAAUCCCACAUCUCCCACAUCGGAGAAAUAGAGGAAGAAUGCCCAAUAUUUAAGUGUCACCCAACUCCACUAGUAUGAGGCCUUUUGGGAGGUGCCCAAAAACAAAUCCGUGAGGGCUUAGCCCAAAGCGGACAAUAUCAUACUAGUGCGGAGUUCGGGUGUGGUUACACGCGGUCCCGAAAAGUGGUGUCAGAGCUCAGGUUCGGGUGUGUCGGAGUGGUGGACUGUGUUUGGUGAGAAGUUCCCGGUGUAACGACAAGCCUAGGAGAUCUGCAGGUGGUGCCUUGUGUCGAAAGUCUUCCUGGCGAGUGGUGGUCGGGCAGUGUGUCUCAUUGGGUGAUACCGGCGGUACAAGAUGUUUGGCAGAUCAUGUGAAGUUGACCUAGUAGUUGAGAUCUACGGUUUGAUGCCUUGUAUUGAAAGUCUUCUUGACAAGUGGUGGUAAAGCGGCGUGUUCCACUGGUUGGUAGUUUUGCUAAGUAUACCAUAUAUUUACACAACACACUUAUUUUAUUAUUGAACAAACAUAUAACCACACACUUAUUUUAUUAUUAUAUCAACUACCACUCACCAUUAUUUUUUGGGUUUGUAGUUUUAACAAUUAUAUGGAAAAAUCAUAUGCGCGAUCAAUGGCAACUUGAACUUAGCACUUUAGAAGCAGUUGUAUCAUGUUGCUGUAUAUGGAAAACUAGUGCGUAAGAGUUGUAUCAGUGCAUAUUAUACCAAUGUUGAUAGAGACUUUUCUUAAAUACAGUAGUUUGGUUUCGUUACUUUUUGAAACUAUACUACAUUUCAUAAAUAAAGUAUAAAUAUUUAAAUAACUUAACUAUAGUAAAGUGACAAAAAGUUGAGAUGGCAAAUAUUUACCUCGUUAGGAGAUUAGUGGAGCAGUUUAGGGAGAGGAAGGCGGACUUGAACAUGGUGUUCAUUAUUCUUGAGAAGGAGUAUGACAGAGUCCUUAGGGAGAUUCUGUGGAGGUGCUUGGAGGCUAGAGGGGUGCCUGUGAAAUACAUUAAUUCUAUUUAGGACAUAUACGAUGGUGCAAAGACUUGUAUGAGGAUGGUAAAAGAUCGAAGCACUUUCUUGUUCAGACAGGGUUGCAACAGGGUAGCUGAAGGUUGUUUUUACGCUGCAAAGUAAAGGUUAGGUGCCUUGGUGUCACGACCCGAAAUGGGGCCCUGACUGUGACGACCAUUCUGAACCAUGAAGGCCCGAAACACUCCUAUCUAUCUGGUAAUCAUGCACAUAAUUCAUAUAAUAAAAAGAAAUACGGAAGAUAUACAAUAUUACGGAAAUAUAGUCAUGAAUCAAAUGAAAUCAAUAAUGGGAAAUAGUGUCCCACAACCUCUAUCAACAUCUAAAAAACCGUCUGCGAAAUCUCUACUACAUGACUGAAGCAAAUAACUGUCUGAAAAUUAGGACAAGGCCCUAGUAGACCCAAAACUAUUAAAUAAUAAAUGAACUGCCAGACAUCAGGCCUUACGAAAUGUAGAAGGCUCACCACUUGAUUCUGUAAGUCUAUCUGAAGACAUCUACUGAUUAUAUGGACCCCUAGACUGUGCCUCCGAACCUAGGAAGGAAGGGGGUCAAUACAAAUGUACUGGUACGCAGAGUAGUCCAAAACAAAAAUAUAAUAUUUUUACAAAAUAUAAGUGAGAGCCAUUAUAAAGCAAUUUCAUAUCAAAUCAUUCGAAAACACAUGGGCAUAAUGUAAUAAAUUUUCAACAACAAUGCAAUGCAGCUGGCCUAGGUGGAAUACCCUACAAUAUCACAUUUACACCAACUGUCAAACCUCGGUUGCCGCCGAGAUUAGAGUAUAAGUGAGAGGAAGACACAAAAGAUCACACAACAAGGUGUCUCGACCCAAAGAAGUAUGGUAGUGCACAAGAUCACAAAGCAGGGCUCUUAACCAUAGUCCCAAAUUGGGAUAACAUAUAUCAGGUACACAAGAUAACAAAGCAGGGUACCAAAUUCCCUUGUUGGCAAACAUGGGUUCCAGCAAUGAGCCCUUUCACUCAAACGUCUUCUUCGGGCAUCCACCUAUCUCAUGUAAAAUCAAUGCAUUCAAACUUUAUUUAAGUCAAUCAUAUAUCAUAUUCUGUAAGGUAUCGUCAUACCCGACUUGCAAGUCAUCAGUAUCUCAUCAUUCUUUUCAUUCAACCAUUAUAUUCAACAUGUUUCAACAUAAACAACUCUCCUUGCAAGUCAAAAUCAUAUCCAAUUAUAAUAAUUUUAAAAACAUUUCAUGUCAUGCUUUUCAAGAUGAUUUCAAACAAUUCACAUCAUAUGAAAAUUUAAAACAAAAUCAUAUCAGGAGAGGGAUUUCCAUAUAAUUCAUGCUCUCAAGUUAUCAUCUUUUCAAAACACAUGGAUGUACAUAUAUAAUAUAUCAAAUCACUUCACAGAAAGGCCUAAAGACCAAACCAAUAUCAUUGAAACGUUUAAAACAUGAUUAUAUUCAUAAUUUCAAAACCCCCAUUCUUAAAUCAUGAAUUUUAAGCCCAUGAUAUUUUUAGGAUAGCCCCACGUACCUCUAUAUGCGAAGUUAAUAGGUGAUUCUUGAAGCCUACGUUGUGGGGAUUCAAAAUAUGCGAUCAAUUUUUAAAACCUACGAUUAAAUCUCGAACUACUUGGGUUUAUAGGUUGAAACCAUUGAGAGUGUUCUUGAGGAUUUUUGGUGAAAAUAUCAAUAUUAUGCUCAAUGGGUAGUGUAAUCCCAUGUUUAAGUUGAUAGAGUUUUGGAAAAAUACCACAAUGCCCUUAAUAAGAUGGAAUAGUAUGCUGCAUUUUGGCUGGACGCGAUAGGCAGGGCGACGCCCUACUUAGACCCUGGUAGAACCCAGGGCGGCGCCUUGCUUUCACUGGGGGAGAGACUAGGGCAGCACCCCUCUUAGAGCGGGGGUGAACCCUGGGCGGCGCCCCCCAAAUGCCUUUAGCUACUAUUUUCCCCACCCAAAUGCAUCCUUAGGCUUGUCUAAAAAUUCUGAAACUUACCCGAGAUGUACUAAGACCUUUCCCCUUCAUAGCGCAAUAAGAAAAUCUAAAAACGGAGGUCGGGAAGGUUGAAAAUAAAAUCCCCGAAGAUUACGAGCUAGAAAUGAGUCAAAGUCCUUUGACACUUAGAGAAAUUUUCAUGUUUUCAAGUCUAAGACCACACCACUAAGAGUUAGUGCAUGCACGACUUAUACGGGGCGUUACAUUAUCCCCUAGGGAUCAUUCGUCCCCGAAUGAUGAUGUGGGAUUACAGUCAAGCACGAUUUUUCUAGCAUACUAGGACAUAGGAAGCAUAAGUCAAGGAUUGUACCUUCCACCUCGUCAUUCACCGGAUCAAAUAAGCUAGGGUAUCUAAAUCUCAAGUCGUUUUCUGAUUCCCAAGUUGCUUCUUCAACUUUCUGAUUUCUCCACAACAUUUUGACUGAGGCUAUCUCUUUUCUCCUCAAUUUCCUAACUUGACAAUCUAAGAUUGCUACAGGCUCUUCUUCAUAACACAAGGAAUCGGUCACUUUGAUUUCUUUAACAGGAAACACUAAAGAAUGAUCUCCAAUGCAUUUCUUCAACAUAGAUACAUGGAAUACCGGGUGGACAAAACCCAAAUUUGCAAGCAACUCUAACUCAUAUGGAACUCCACCUAUCCUUUUUACAAUCCAGUAUGGUCCUAUAUAGCGAGAACUCAGCUUACCUUUCUUCCCAAAUUGCAUAACUCCCUUCAUGGGAGAAACUUUAAGAAAUACCCAAUCUCCAACCUCAAAUUCUAAAUUUGUUCUUCUAACGUUGGCAUAGGAUUUCUGAUGACACUAAGCUGUCUUAAGUCAUUCCCUAAUAAUCUUCACAUCUUCCAUAGCCUGGUGAAAAGAUCAGACCCAAUCAUCUGCAUCUCACCUACUUCAUACCACCCCAUCGGAGACCUACAUCUCCCACUAUACAGUGCCUCAAACGGUGCCAUCUUAAUUUUGGAAUGGAAGCUAUUAUUAUAAGCAAACUCUAUCAAUGGCAAGGGAUCUACCCAACUACCUUUAAAGUCAAUUACACAGGCCCUCAACAUAUCCUCAAGGGUCUAGAUGGUGCACUCAGCUUGCCCAUCAGUAUGAGGGUGGAAUGUUGUACUUAGAUUUACUUGGGUACCUAAACCUUUCUGAAAAGAUCUCCAAAACUGAGAAAAAAACUGCGUACCUCGGUCAGAUAUAAUGGACACAGGUGCUCCAUGCAAACGAACUAUUUCUUCGAUGAAUAGCUUAGCAUAAUCCUCCCCAGAAUAAUUAGUCCUCACAGGAAAAAAGUGGGCUGACUUUUUCAACCGAUCUACAAUCACCCAAAUGGAGUCAUACUGGUUUCGGGACUUCGGAAGUCCUAUAAUAAAGUCCAUAUUUAUCAUCUCCCACUUCCAUAAAGGCAGAUCUAUCUCUUGGGAAUUACCUCCUGGCCUCAAAUAUUCUACCUUUACUUGCAGACAGUUCAAACACUUGGAAACAAAAUCAGCUACAUCACGUUUCAUAUUAUUCCACCAAUACAAAGUUUUUAGAUCAUGGUACAUCUUAGUAGAGCUCAUGUGAACAACAUACCUCGAAGUGUGAACCUCAUCAAAGAUUCUUUUCCGCAGUCCAUCAACAUUCGAAAUGCACAACCUACCCUGAUAUCUUAGAUACCAUCUCUACCAAUUUCAAAUGACAUUACCUUUUGUUGACCCAUAUCUUUCUUGAUUUGUAUCAAGAUGAGAUCUUCAACUUGCUUCUCUUUAACUUCAGCACAAAGGGAUGACUUAGCUAACUCAUGAACAAUCACCCCUCCAUCUUCGGAAUCUAAGAGUCGCAUACCCAAAUAUGCAAGGCGGUGAAUAUCCUUCACCAUACCUCUCUUCCCCUCUUGAAAAUGAGAAAAACUUCCCAUAGACAACCUGCUGAGAGCAUCGACUACAACAUUUGCCUUGCCCGAAUGGUAAUGUAGGCUCAUAUCAUAGUCUUUUAAGAGCUCCAUCCAACGCCUCUGCCUAAGUUUCAAUUCUUUCUGCGAGAAAACAUACUGCAAACUUUUGUGAUCAAUAUAAAUAUCAACAUGCACUUCAUAGAGAUAAUGCCUCCAGAUUCUAAGUGCAAACACCACACCUGCUAACACCAAGUCAUGAGGGGGGUAAUUUCGCUCAUGCACCUUUAAUUGCCUAGAUGCAUAAGCUAUCACUUUACCAUGUUGCAUCAGUACACAACCAAGUCCCAUACGGGACGCAUCACAGUAUACCACAAAACUAUCGACACCCUCGGGAAGACUCAAACCAGGAGCAGUAGUUAGCUUGUCUUUCAACUUCUCAAAACUAUUUUCACACAAGUCAGACCACAUAAACUUCACCUUUUUUUGAGUCAAUUUAGUGAGCGGAGCCUCGAUGGAAGAAAACCUCUCUACUAACCUUCUGUAAUAACUUGCCAAACCCAAGAAGCUCUGAAUAUCAGUUGGAGUCGUAGGUCUGGGCCAUUUUCUCACUGCCUCAAUCUUUUGGGGAUCCACUCUAAUCCCGUCACUAGACACAAUAUGCCCCAAGAAGGCAAUAACAUUCAGCCAGGAUACACAUUUAGAGAACUUAUCAUAUAAUUGAUGAUCCUUAAGGGUCUGAAGGAUAAUUCGAAGGUGAUCGGCAUGGUCCUCCUCACUUUUGGAAUAGAUCAGAAUAUCGUCAAUGAACACUAUGACGAACAAGUCUAGAAACGAAGGAACAUCCUAUUCAUAAGAUCCAUGAAGGCUGCAGGGGCGUUAGUCAACCCGAAGGACAUGACUAAGAACUCAUAGUGACCAUAUUGGGUUCGGAAGGCUGUUUUAGGAAUGUCUGACUCCCUAACCUUCAACUAAUGAUAGCCCGAACGAAGGUCUAUUUUUGAAAAACACUUACCACCCUGAAGCUGGUAAAAAAGAUCAUCAAUCCUAGGAAGAGGAUAUUUGUUUUUAAUAGUAACCUUAUUCAACUAACGGUAGUCUAUGCACUUACAAAGGGACCCAUCCUUCUUUCUUAUGAAAAGUACGGGUGCACCCCAUGGGGAAACACUAGGACGAAUAAAGUCUUUGUCUAGGAGGUCUGCGAGCUAUUCUUUUAACUCUUUCAGUUCUGCGGGAGCCAUUCUAUAUGGCGGAAUAGAAAUAAGAUGAGUAUUUGGCAACACAUCAAUGCCAAAAUCUAUCUCUAUACCUGGGAGAUCUUCGAGAAAGACUUCUGGAAACUCAUUCACUACAGGGACUGACUAAAGAGGAAGAUUUUUAACCCUUGAAUCUGUUACUCGGAUUAGAUGGUACAUACAACCUCUGGAGAUGAGCUUUUGGGCUCUAAGAUAAUAGAUAAAAUGACCUCUAGGUGCCAUAGAAUUUCCUGCCCACUCAAUUGAUGACUCAUUCCGGAAUGAAAAAGUAACCUUUCAGGUUGUGCAAUCAAGUGUGGCAUAACAUGAAUAGAGCCAGUCCAUCCCAAGGAUAGCAUCAAAAUCUACCAUAUUAAGUUCUAUAAGGUUUGCCACAGUAUCCCAGCUAUGAAUAGACACAACACAAUGUUUAUACACCCUUCUAUCAAUAACAGAAUCUCUUAUAGGAGUGGAAACAGUGAAGGGUUCUACAAUAACUUCGGGCUCAAACCCAAAACCAAUGGCCACAUAAGAUAAGGUAGACCUAGGAUCAAGUAAUUACAUAAACAUUACGGGUAAAGAUUCAUAACAUACCGGUAACAACAUCUGGUGAAGCUUUCGCCUCCUGGUGGUUAGUCAAAGCAUGUAACCAGUUACGACCGCUCCCGACAGCUGAAGGGGUACCCUUAGGAGGAGGAUCCGUGAAGGUGGCUUGGGACUUUGCCAACCCCCUCCCCCCGCAUUUCCUCCCGCAGAAGGAAAAUCUCUCUAAAGAUGACCCACCUUGCCACAAGUAUAAUAAUUUCUCCCCUCAAAAUAACACCUCCCUGGAUCCCGGGUCGGGUAGCAUGUCUCGUUGGGUGAUAAUAGCAGUACAAGAUGUUUGGCAGAUCAUGUGAAGUUGACCUAUAUUUACACCUAGCACUUAUUUUAUUAUUGAACAAACAUAUAACCACACACUUGUUUUAUUAUUAUAUCAACUACCGCUCACCAUUAUUUGUUGGGUUUGUAGUUUUAACAAUUAUAUGGAAAAAUCAUAUGCGCGAUCAAUGGGCACUUGAACUUAGCACUUUAGCAGCAGUUGUAUCAUGUUGCUGUAUAUGGAAAACUCGUGCGUAAGAGUUGUAUCAGUGCAUAUUAUACCAAUGUUGAUAGAUACUUUUCUUAAAUACAGUAGUUUUAGGAUAGCCCCACGGACCUCUAUAUGCGAAGUUAAUAGGUGAUUCUUGAAGCCUACGUUGAGGGGAUUCCAAAUAUGCAAUCAAUUUUGAAAACCUACGAUUAAAUCUCGAACUACUUGGGUUUUUAGGUUGAAACACUUGAGAGUGUUCUUGAGGAUUUUUGGUGAAAAUAUCAAUAUUAUGCUCAAUGGGUAGUGUAAUCCCAUGUUUAAGUUGAUAGGAUUUUGGAAAAAUACACCAAUGCCUUUAACAAGAUGAAAUAGUACACUGUAUUUUUUUAUUGGGCACGAUAAGAAGGGCGGCGCCCUGUUUAGACCCUGGGAGAACCCAUGGAGGCGCCUUGCUUUCACUGGGGGAGAGAUCAGGGAGGCGCCCCGCUUAGAGCGGGGAUCAACCCUGGGCGGCGCCCCCCAAAUGCCUUUAGCUACUAUUUUUCCCACCCAAGCAUGACCUUAGGCUUGUAUAAAAAUUCUGAAACUUACCCGAGAUGUACUACGACCUUUCCCCUUCGUAGCGCAACAAAAAAAUCUAAAAACGGAUGUCGAAAAGGUUGAAAAUUAAAUCCCCGAAGAUUACGAGCUAGAAAUGAGUCAAAGUCCUUUGACACUUAGACAAAUUUUCAUGUUUUCAAGUCUAAGACCACACCACUAAGAGUUAGUGUAUGCACGACUUUUAUGGGGCGUUACAUUAUCCCCCUUGGGAUCAUUCGUCCCCGAAUGAUGAUGUGGUAUUACAGUCAAGCAUGAUUUCUUUAGCAUACUAAGACAUAGGAAGCAUAAGUCAAAGAUAGUACCUUCUACCUCAUCAUUCACCGGAUCAUAUAAGCUUGGGUAUCUAACUCUCAUGUCGUUUUCUGAUUCCUAAGUUGCUUCUUCAACUUUUUGAUUUCUCCAUAACACUUUGACUGAGCCUAUCUCUUUGCUCCUCAAUUUCCUAACUUGACUAUAUAAGAUUGCUACAGGAUCUUCUUCAUAAGACAAGGAAUCGGUCACUUUGAUUUUUUUAACAGGAAACACUAAAGAAUGAUCUCCAAUGCACUUCUUCAACAUGGAUACAUGGAAUACUGGGUGGACAGAACCCAAAUUUGCAGGAAACUCUAGCUCAUAUGCAACUUCACCUAUCCUUUUUACAAUCUGGUAUGGUCCUAUAUAGCGAGGACUUAGCUUACCUUUCUUCCCAAAUCACAUAACUCCCUUCACAGGAGAAACUUUAAGAAAUACCCAAUCUUCAACCUCAAACUCUAAAUCUCUUCUUCUAAAGUCGGCAUAGGAUUUCUGAUGACUCUGAGUUGUCUUAAGUUGUUCCCUAAUAAUCUUCACAUCUUUCAUAGCCUGGUGAAAAAGAUCAGGCCCAAACAUUUGCAUCUCACCUACUUUAUACCAUCCUAUCGGAGACCUACAUCUCCUACCAUACAACGCCUCAAAUAGUGCUAUCUUAAUACUGGAAUGGAAGCUAUUAUUAUAAGAAAACUCUAUCAAUGGCAAGUGAUCUACCCAACUACCUUUAAAGUCAAUUACGCAGGCCCUCAACAUAUCCUCUAGGGUCUGGAUGGUGCGUUCAGUGUGCCCAUCAGUCUGAGGGUAGAAUGCUGUACUUAGGUUUACUUGGAUACCUAAACCUUUCUGAAAAGAUCUCCAAAACUAAGAAGAAAACUACGUACCUCAGUCAGAUAUAAUGGACACAAGUGCUCCAUGCAAACGAACUAUUUCUUCAAUGAACAGCUUAGCACAAUCCUCUCCGGAAUAAUUAGUCCUCACAGCCAAAAAGUGGGCUGACUUUGUCAACCGAUCUACAAUCACCCAAAUGGAGUCAUACUGGUUUCGUGAAUUUGGAAGUCCUAUAAUGAAGCCCAUAUUUAUCAUCUCCCACUUCCAUAAAGGAAGAGCUAUCUCUAGGGAAGUACCUCUUGGCGUCAAAUUUUCUACCUUUACUUGCAGACAGUUCAAACACUUGGAAAAAAAAUCAGCUACAUCAUGUUUCAUAUUAUUCCACCAAUACAAAUUUUUCAGAUCAUGGUACAUCUUAGUAGAGCCCGGGUGAACAACAUACCUCAAAGUGUGAGCCUCAUCAAUGAUUUUUUUCUGUAGUCCAUCAACAUUCGGAACGGGCAACCUACCCUGAUAUCUCAGAUUACCAUCUCUACCAAUUUCAAACGGCAUUACCUUUUGUUGACCCACAUCUUUCUUGAUUUUCAUCAAGAUGGGAUCUUCAACUUGCUUCUCUUUAACUUCAGCACAAAGGGAUGACUUAGCUAACUCAUGUAUAAUCUCCCCUCCAUCUUUGGAAUCUAGGAGUCGCACUCCUAGAUUAUUAAGGCAGUGAAUAUCCUUCACCAUACCUCUCUUCCCCUCUUCAACAUAAGAAAAACUGCCCAUAGACAACCUGCUAAGAGCGUCCGCUACAACAUUUGCCUUGCCCGGAUGGUAAUGUAGGCUCAUAUCAUAGUCUUUUAAGAGCUUCAUCCAACGCCUCUGCCUAAGGUUCAAUUCUUUCUACGAGAAAACAUACUACAAACUUUUGUGUUAGUAUAAAUAUCAACAUGCACUCCAUAGAGAUAAUGCCUCCAGAUUCUAAGUGCAAACACCACACCUGCUAACACCAAGUCAUGAGGGGGGGUAAUUUCGCUCAUCACCAUUAACUGCCUAGAUGCAUAAGCUAUCACUUUACCAUGUUGCAUCAGUACACAACCAAGUUCCACACGAGAUGCAUCACAGUAUACCACAAAACCAUCUACACCCUUGGGAAGAGUCAAAACAGGAGCAGUAGUUAGCUUGUCUUUCAACUUCUCAAAACAAUUUUCACACAAGUCAGACCACACAAACUUCACCUUUUUUUAGUCAAUUUAGUGAGCGGAGCAACAAUGGAAGAAAAAUCUCUACGAAUCUUCUGUAAUAACCUGCCAAACCCAAGAAGCUUUGAAUAUCGGUUGGAGUCGUGGGUCUGGGCCAUUUUCUCACUGCCUCAAUCUUUUGGGGAUCCACUCUAAUCCCAUCACUAGACACAAUAUGCCCCAAGAAAGCAAUAACAUUCAACCAGAAUACAUAUUUAGAGAACUUAGCAUAUAACUGAUGAUCCUGAAGGGUUUGAAGGAUAAUUCGGAGGUGAUCGGCAUGGUCCUCCUCACUUUUGGAAUAGAUCAGAAUAUCGUCAAUGAACACUAUGACGAACAAGUCUAGAAACGAAGGAACACCCUAUUCAUAAGAUCCAUGCAACCCAAAGGACAUGACUAAGAACUCAUAGUGACCAUAUCGAGUUCGAAAGGCUGUUUUGAGAAUGUCCGACUCCCUAACCUUUAAUUGAUGAUAGCCAGAACAAAGGUCUAUUUUCGAAAAACACUUAGCACCCUGAAGCUAGUCAAAAAGAUCAUCAAUCCUAGGAAGAGGAUAUUUGUUUUUAAUAGUAACCUUAUUCAACCAGCGGUAGUCUAUGCACAUACGAAGGGGCCCAUCCUUCUUUCGCACGAAAAGUAUGGGUGCACCCCAUGGGGAAACACUAGGAAGAAUAAAGCCUUUGUCUAGGAGGUCUGCGACCUGUUCUUUUAACUCUUUCAGUUUUUGGGAGCUAUUCUAUAUGGCAGAAUAGAAAUAGUAUGAGUGUCUGGCAACACAUCAAUGCCAAAAUCUAUCUCCCUAUCAGGUUGUAUCCCUGGGAGAUCUUCCGGAAAGACUUCUGGAAACUCAUUUACUACAGGGACCGACUAAAGAAGAAGAAUUUCAACCCUUGAAUCUUUUACUCAGAUUAGAUGGUACAUACAAUCUCUGGAGAUGAGCUUUCGUGCUCUAAGAUAAGAGAUAAAAUGACCUCUAGGUGCCACAAAAUUUCCUACCCACUCAAUUGAUGACUCAUUCAGGAAAGAAAACGUAACCUUUCGGGUUCUGUAAUCAAGUGUUGCAUAACAUGAAUGGAGCUAGUACAUCCCAAGGAUAGCAUUAAAAUCUAUCAUAUUAAGUUCUAUAAGGUCUGCCACAGUAUCCCAGCUAAGAAUAGAUACAACAUAAUUUCUAUACACCCUUUUAGCAACAACAAAAUCUCUUACAGGAGUAGAAACAGUGAAGGGUUCUACAAUAACUUCAGGCUCAAACCCAAAACCAACGGCCACAUAAGGGGUCACAUAAUAUAAGGUAGACCCGGGAUCAAGUAAUACGUAAAUAUUAUGGAAAAAGAAUCAUAACGUACCGGUAACAACAACUGGUGAAGCUUCCACGUCCUGGCGGUUAGUCAAAGCAUAUUACCGGUUACGACCACUCCCGACAGCUGAAGAGGUACCCUUAGGAGGAGGAGCCGUGGAUUUAUAAUUUAAACGUAUUUUUUUCUUUUUCUUGUGGUCGCUACUCAUUCUCUAUGUGUUCAACUUUUAUUCAAGGCUAUUCAAACACAAAAUCAUUCUUUAGCUUCAACAAUUGUUAUAUAAAUACCAUGACUCAACAAUAUAUGUAUCGCGCAAACAUGGUUUCGAAUAGGUGGAUCAAUAAUGCGACGACACAUAAUACUCCUCUAUCGUUCAAUCGUACUCAAACCAGUCUAUAAAUAUAGCAAUUCAAAAUCAAAAUACUACAUUAAAGUCUAACAGAUGAACAAUAAGUACCUAAUUGUUCCUACUAACAAAGCAAGUCUAGUAUAACUACUUUUUGCCGAGGGAGCUAGAAGUAUGGUGCAACAACUCGACCCCUCAUUUUGAGCAUCUGUGAACAUAGAGACGAGCAGACAGACUCCGCGUCAACUGUAGCUUCAUUUGCGGAUACCAACACCAGGGCAGAAUAGCUGGUCUUUCUUGCUAUUAUAUAUCCUAUAUAUUUGGCGAGAGUAUCGAAUAGCCAGUGUCUUGCAUGUGCAAAGAUCUUCCGGUCCAACCUCCGAAAUUGUUCUCUUGAGCUUGUUUUCGAGAUCAUCACGACAUAGAAACACCCCUAAAGUAGUAAUCCUGAAAGAAAAAGUAGGCAAAAUGGAUUACAAAGAUUGUCUUUUCAUGAACUAAGGAAAAACUAUCGAGAGGUUGAUACAUACCUAUUUUUGUCGAUCUUACUCAUCGAGGAGAAUUUGUUUCCAAAAAUUUAUUGACGGUACAAAGCACACACAAAAUUCAGACAAAGCUCGGAAUCCGUAUAAAAUGUAGAACAAAAAUCGUCUUCAGACGACCAUUCUAAACCCGACCUAUUCCCAGCAUUAACCAAUUCUGGAACAAAUGAUGGCAUUUGACCCUCAUUCGUGCUUCUUUUUCUCGUUUGCGUCGAAUUAGAGGAGCCUUUUGAGUGCACUUCCUUUUUCUGUCCAUGAAUUUUUGAAACACGAGCGAUUUCAGUUAAUGUCAGUUCAUCAUCACUAUCGUUCAUUAUAGAAACAAGCAUAGUUUCUGGUUCGUCUGAUGCUUCACUCAAUACUAUUGCUUUGCAUGCCGAUGGAUCUGCAAGAAUAUUAUAUGCCAUAACAUCUUAAAUUUUGGUCUUUAAGCUGAUGUACGAAACUUAUCUGUCCAAUAAAAGUACGAAAGGAACCAAUAUCAGUCACACAACAACAACUUACCAAGUACGCAUAAGAUUACACGGUUGCAGGGAUCGCUCUGCAUAAAAUGUCAUCGGUGUCCAAAAGUGCCAGACAUAUUCAAUGGACAAGUGAGCUAAUUAUGCAACAACCAAGACGGUUGCUGUGUCUGUUGUCACAAGUUAUUUCUUUUCAAACAGGUACAUAAGAGGAUGACUUUGCUUUCUAGGCAAGGACUCAUGUGAAGAUAUGGUAAAAGAAUAUAUACCCUUUCAUGAAUUGUGUUUAGCACUAACGAUUUUUGUUUGAGACAUUGUCAAGAGCAUCCGAGAGGAUGAAAAUCUCAAAUAAAACCAUAGGUGCGGACAACUGCUAAAAGGACCUCACCUCGUGGUAGAGAGGCUGUUUAAGAUAGGCACUCAACUCAAAAGAAAGAAAAAUGAAUCACGUUUGCAUGAAAACACUACAAUAUCCUAGUAGGAUACAACGCAACUAAAAGGGGAAACGAAGAUAGACGAGAAAGGAAAAAAUUAACCGCAGCAAAGUGUCUAGAUGGACACAAUGUGUAACAGUGGAUGAAGUGGACGUAGAAAGUGUUUUUUCGGAAUUGCUUUCUACUCGAGCAUCUAGUCUUUCUUUUUUUAUUUUUCGUGUGUGUCUGUGUCAUUGUGGUGGUGUUAUUUUUAGUAUAUCAUGAAGAAUCAUCAGAAAAUAUCAUACCUAUAACCGUUUAACAGCACGACAGUAACUACUAUACCUCAAUCCAAUGAGUUGAGAUCAGCUAUAUGAAUCCUAAUGAAAUAUCCACAUAAUAUAGACAGAUCGUAACAACAGCAAGUCGACUAUAAAUCACAAAACCGUUAUACCUUUCUGUCUCGAUUCAUCAUAAAGCACGAUUACUCGAUCUUUGCCUUGAGUAGAUUCCAUGUUGUUAACACCAGUCGCAGCAAUAGCUUGAAGUCUUGUUUCCACCACCAAAUCUAUAGCAAAUUUUCAGAAAACACACACAUCAACAUAAAGAAUUUUAAAAAUUAGUUAAAUAAUUGAACGCGACAAAUAACUUAAACAGGUUUUGCAAAUGCAGUAAAAUCAAGAUAUACUGUCAACACACAUUAUGAAACGAUAAGUAACAAGACAUAAACGGGAAGCCCGGUGCACUAAAGCUACCGCUGUGCACGGUAUCCAGGGAAGGGCCCCACCACAAGGGUGUAUCAUACACAGCCUUACCUUGCAUUUCUGCCAGCGGCUGUUUCCAAGGCUUGAACCCGUGACCUCCUGGUCAUAUGACAACUUUACCAGCUACGCCAAGACAUAAUAACAACAAUACCUUCAUCACUUUUUCUCUCAUUUUCCACCAUAAGAGAAACUUCAUCCCUUAACUCUAUCAGUUUCUCCACGUAGCAAGCCACGCUUUCACUUGUCGCGUUCUCUAUCUCUUCGAUUCUUUCAGAGAACAAAUCAUUGUCCUUCUUGUAGUACUUGUGAUGAUCUUUGAUUAUCUUGUUAUACGUUUCUUCCAUUUUCUUGUUUUAUUCCUCGAUUUUUUUUCACGUUUCAUUAGAGCUCCAUGGACAAAAGAGUAGUAUUCAUCUUUAACAAUUUAUUUUCCUUAAAGAUCGCAAGUGCUUCUGUGAUCGAUGUCCUCUUCGACGAAGAAUCCAUUAUCAAAAAUGUGAUAACAGGAUUUUCUUGAUAUAGCGAAAAAAUGCGACGCAGUUAAAACUGCGAAAAAUUGAGAAAUGAUGAUGUGAAGUUUUUUUAGUUGAAAUAUAUAUAUAUAUAUAGGAACUUUGGAAGCGUGAAAAGAAGAAAGUGUACUAAAUACAUUGGGAUUUGGGAAGUUAAAAUUCAAAAGAGCUAAAUGAGAAAAAUAAUAAUUAGUAUUUGGUCAAGAUUUUAUGAAUACAAGAGUAAUUACUAUAGGCUCUAUAUUAUUUAUCACAUUAUGCCUUUAAAUUGGGUGGAUAAGUUCAAAAAAAAGUAAAACGAAAAAAACACAUCUAAAAACAAUAAUUAAUAUUUGAUCAAUAUUUUAAGAAUACACCUUGGAAUUCGAGUAGAUAAGUUUAAAAAAAUAAAACGUGAACAACUUAUUAUUUGUGGCAUAAGUCUAUAUUUUGUAACCAAGCAUAAAUUCGAUUGCUAAAGGACAAAAUCUAAAGAUCAGCCUAUUUAAAGGGCACAACUCAUGAAAUUUCUUCCUAUUGCAUGUUUAAUAGCUCGUAAAUUACGAGUGACUAUUGAAUAUGUUUUGGAGAAGAUCUGUCAAUAUAUUUCCACAAAGUUUAACUUACGCCAUAUAUAAUUGAGACACCCAGUAGAUAUAUUGUAACACUCCGACGUCUUCUUAGCUAAAUUUCGUCCAUGGAAAGUCUAAGCAUUAGCUUCUAGAAUGGUCUAAAUUAAUUUUCAUGUAGAAUUUCCUACAUUUCAACCUUUCAUUACGUAGAUGACUAUAUUAGCUUUCCAACGAUAUAAGAUUCGUCCAAAACGGACCCUCAGUGAAGAAGUUAUGAAUAAUUUAUAGUUCCAGUCGUAAACAUCAUCAUUUUGGUUUCUAGCGCGUCGCGGAGAGGGUAAAAUUGACAAUCGUCAAAUUCCAGUGGGGCUUAGCGUUGGUGGCGCAUCGCGGAGGCACCCAAUUUACCACUCAUCAAAUUCCAUUGAACCACCGCGAUUGCGGCGCGUCGCGGUUGUUUUGCAAAAAUUUUUGAUUUUUGAAAGAGUCGCCACUUAAUUUUGAAAAGGAAUUAAGAAACCUUUAUAAAACAUUUUAAACGAUUCAAAAUAGGGAAAUCGUAUAAGUUAGAGAUUCUAGAUAAGCGGUUCCUAUUAACGUUUUAGGAAGGUGUUAGGCAUGUAAAACGUUCGCUAACUUGCGGUUAUCCGAACUGCUUGAAAAUUGUCUUUUGAUUAACUUCGAAAAGAUUAAUUUGUUGAAAUAGUGAUUUGAUUUUUUCAAAAAAAAAAGAAAGACGUGUAAAAUAGAUUUAGGCGACUUAGUAGGGAUUUUAACUAAGUCUAAACAAAACUAAUAAAUAAAUAAACACAUAAAAGGGGAAGGGAGGAGAAAGUAAAGGAUUUAGGCCAUUAGGCCCAAAUCAACGAGAUCUGUCCUAGUCUAGUUGGGCUUCCAACCCAUUUCACCAGUCCUAAACAAUUUUUCGAGCCUUUGGCUAGAGUCUUGCUCCACCUGUAUUAAAUACAACUUUGGCUUCGAGACCAAAAUGAAUAAAUGACUAAAUGAAUAAAUAAAAAGAAGACAAUAAUAAAAAUUGAGACUUUUCAAGUCUUUUAGUGACCUCAUCAAUGGGUUUUGACCCAUUUUCCUUCUUUGUCUAUCUUUUAGCACCCGUACGCCAUGUAGUGGACCUUGGGUUUAAACGUCGAACUUGACUCGAAGGGGUGAGCCUCAUUUACCCAUUACGAAAUGCAGGAGGAGAGGAGUCCAUUUGGACUCGAGAUAUUUUUUUGCAUGCAAAGAAAAGAUAAAGAAAUUAAUAUAUGUUCAAGGCAUAAAAGUGACAUAUUUCAAAGUAAAAGAAACUAUCAAGAACCAAUUUUUGAAUGACAAGAAUAACCACCCUUGCGCAAGAAUGAGAGCCAACAAAUAAAAAAUGCAAAGCAAAAGUUUCACAAUCAUACUAUGCAUGAGUCAAAAAUAUCCCAAUUAAAGAUAAGGUGAGGCGGAAGAUAAUGUGGGGGAAAAUAGUACAAUGUAGUACAAUCUUUGAAUUUCAAAUUAGAAAAGGACAAAGUUGGGGGGAGUAGUACAAUUUGAAUUUAUUUUUUGAUGGGAAUUGGGUAAAAGUUAUGAGAGUUCUUGAGAAUUUUGGGGUUAUUUAAAAUAUAACCCCAAUUGGAAUUUAAAAUUUAUCCAUAUUUAUUUAUUUUGACCAAAUUAAAAAUUAAUUGACGAAUUGCAUUGCAAUUAUGUCCAAUUUUCAAUUAUGGUCAAAUCUAAUAUAUUGGCUAAAUUAAAUUAAAAUUCGAUACAAAUUAAUACUUUUUUUUUUAAUCCCUAGCUUCUUGAUUUAAUAAAAUGAAUGCAUAUUUAUCUAAAUAAAUUAUUUUUGAGAAUAAAUUAUAUUUAAAUUAAGAUUUUAAUCAUUUGAAUUUAUUUUCAAGAUAAGCCUUAAUUAAAUCUGAUAUUUUGUAAAAUAAAUAUUUAAGUAACAAAUUAUAUAAUCUCGUAUAACUGAACAUGAUAGUAUAUAAUCGCUACUUAAAAUAACAAAAUCAAGUACGAAAAAUAUUUUAAGUUUUUUUAUUUGGAUGAAAUAAUUAUUUUGAUUUAUUAAAAGCUGAAGAAACUCAGGAUUAAAUUUAGUUGUGGAGGGCAAAAAUUAGGUGUCAACAGUGGUGGCACCUGAAAUCGGGUUUUUUAAGUUCAAAUUUUCAGUUCCUUUUAGGAGUCAUUAAGGGUAAUUUUGACUUUUCUCUAACCUUUAAAACUGCCCAAGCAAAUGAUUUAGGUUAUGUUUGAGCAACUUAACCCUAUUUUCAUCAAUAUCAUCAAGAAUCCUCUCUAGGGUUUCAAAAAUAAAAACUCAAGUAGUUCAAGAUUCAACCGUAGAUUUUCGAAGUUGAUCGCAUAUUUGGAAUCCCCAGGUCGUAGGCUUCAAUAAGCACCUAUUGUCUUCCUAAGUCGAAGUACACGGGAUUUUCCUAAAAUCUCAUGGGCAUAGAAAUCAUGUUUUAAGAAUAGGGUUUUGAAGUUUAUGAAUAUAAUCAUGUUUUAGAAGUUUUAACGGUAUUGUUUUGAUCUUUAGACCUUUCCCCCAAAUUGAUUUGCAAUUAUGUAUAAAUGUACUUAUGUUUUCAAGAAUGGUUAUUCAAUUGAGAGCAUGAAUUAUAAUGAAUCCCGCUCUUGUUAUGAGUUUUCACAUCUUCGUAUGAUAUAAAUUGUUUCGAAUGCAUUUUGAAAAGCAUGACAUGAAAUACUUUGGCUUUUUGCUAUGUUUUGAAUAUGAUUUUGAAUACGAAAGAGUGGGUUGUGAAUGUUGAAUAUACAUAUAAUGAAAGAGUGCAUGGUUUUGCCCAAAGCACAUGACCACCAUAUGUUCGAUGAAAGUUUUUGCAUGGUUUUGACUUAAGUUUUGGAACAUGAAAUCUUUUAUGCGAAUUACAUGUUUGGGUGGUCUAAACCUACAUUUUUAUGAAAGAUCAUGCUUAUUCCAUUAUGGCUCAGAAAUAGAACUUGCAAGUCUUGGUGUGACAACACCAACUCAGAAAAUGUCAUGAUAAAUUCAGAACAGAAUAGAAUGCAUAUUUGAAAUCAGAUUUACAGAUUUUGUGAUUAGAAUGUUGCAUGAUUAGAAUUGGUUAAAAAUUGGGCGGAAAGAGAUGUUAUGUGGUUCCCCGAAGAAGGCAUGAGUCUAGAUACUCAUUGCCCGAAAUCGUGAUUUGCCGACCCGGGUAUAUCUUAUAUUACACUGGCCUAGUGCCGUGUAGCGUAUUAGAAUCAGAGACUCCAACCCUUGCGGCAUACUCGGGUUGGAGGCUUCUCUUCCGAGUCAAUGGUGGAUUCCAUAUAGCCCGUGGAAUAUCAAAAAAUGUAGGGAAGUGCCGCCUAACUCAGAAGUAAUACAAAGGUCAGAACUGUUUUGACAAGAAUGACAUGAUUUUUGAAUGAUGCCCAUGUGUUUUCAGAAACUUUUUUAUGCAUGAUAUUUGAUGAAAAAUUGCUCGCAUAUUAUAUAUAUAUAUAUAUAUAUAUAUAUAUAUAUAUAUAUAUAUAUAUAUAUAUAUAUAUAUAUAUAUAUAUAUAUAUAUAUAUAUAUAUAUAUAUAUAUAUAUAUAUAUAUAUAUAUAUAUAUAUAUAUAUAUAUAUAUAUAUAUAUAUAUAUAUAUAUAUAUAUAUAUAUCUAUAUAUAUAUACCCCUCCUCCCUCCAGGUCCUGAGGCAAAGUCUAGAGGACCAGAUAAACAGUAGAUAUUUUAGAUCGCAAAUCAAGUUGUAUAGUGGUGAGCCUUCUAUGAUCAAGAAGGCCUGGUUAUCUCAGAUAAUUAUCUUUAGUUAUGUUUUGGUAUACUGGGGGCCUUGUCCCAGUUUUCAGACUUUUUGUUUUAGUCCAUAGUAGAGAUUUCGCAGACUGAAUCAGACAUUAUUAUUCAGAUAUAUGUUGGAUUUCAGUUUUCAGUGUUAUGAUCACAUUCAGGUUGACCAUGUUUCCGUAUUAGAUUUCUAUUUCCACAUUAUCUUUUAUUAUAUGAAUGUUGUGCAUCAUUACUAAAUAAAGAAGGGUGUUCCGGGCCUACGUGGUUCAGAAUGCUCGUUACGGCCAGGGCCUUAGUUCGGGUCGUGACAAACUUGGUAUCAAAUCACGGUUCAUGGUCCCAGGGUGUCUGUGAAAUCACGCCGGGUAGAGUCUUUUUAUGGGUGUGUAGCGCGCCACACUUAUAAGCAGGAGUGUACUAGGCGUUUAGGAAAUGUUUUCCUUCUUUUUGAUUUAGUUCGUGCUUCAGAGUCAAGUCUGUUCCUAAUCAGUGAUCUUUCUUCUUAUAGAAUUAACAGUCAUGCCUUCUCGUCACAAUACUAAUCAGAGUACUCAAAAUGAUGCAGUUUGUCCCACUCAUGGGAUGAGGACACGUAACAGAGCUUCCACUCCAUACCCUAUCCCUACUUCAAGAGUCCCUCUAGUCCCGACCAGUCCACCUCAGGCUCGAUGGACCAAUGUUAACCAUCCCCCGACUUCUCAGAGGGAUAUUUUGAAUGCCGAAUUUAGAUAGUCUAUUCAUAUGCUGGCACAGUUGGUGGCUAAUCAGGCUUAACAAUCGGAAGAUGUUGGGUCUGCGUCAGUGACGUCGGAGGCUACUAGGGUAGGACAGUUCAUAAGAAUGAACCCACCCAAGUUUACCGGCACCAAGGUAUAAGAAGAUUCGCAAGAAUUCAUAGAUGAAAUAGAGAAAAUUUUUAAAGUGAUGCAUGUGGAUCAGAUGAAAGGUGUUGAGUUGGCAGCCUACCAGCUGAAGGAUGUAGCAAACCAAUGGUACAAUGAGUGGGAGAAUGCAAAGGGUGACAUAUCUGAGCCCACAGUUUGGGAUGAGUUUGUAGAAGCUUUCCUUGAAAGGUUCUUUCCUCUGGAGCUGAGGGAAGCUAAAAUAGAGGAGUUCAUGAACCUCAAGCAGGGUAAGAUGAGCGUUCAGGAGUACACUUUAAAAUUUAAUCAGCUGACCCGUUAUGCUCCCAAGAUGACGAGUAGUAUGAGGGUCCAAAUAAGGAAGUUUGCUUUCGGCCUUUCAGAUGAUCUAGUUCUUGAGUGUCAGGGAGCUAUGCUGAAUAAGGAGUUGAACUUUGCUAGGCUGACAGUUCACAUGCAAUAGAUAGAGGAGAAGAAAAAGAAGAUUUCUGAAGCUAGGUAGAAAGAAAGACAAGAAAAAAGAUCUAGAUCUGCCGACCAGGGUUACAGUAAGCCUCAAAGUGGUAAGUGGAGAAAUAAAUGGUAGAAGAAGAAGAAUUGGGGUAAUGCACAGUCUGCUGGCAGUGCUCCAGUACCCAAACCACCAGCAGAUAGAUGGUCUCAAAGUUUCCAGGCUCAUCAUGGAUCCAGAGCACCGGAUACUCAGUUGCAGGGUAGUGUGGCGCAGCAACAUCGUACUUUUCCACGGUGUGAGAAUUGUGGUAGAAAUCAUCCAGGGAGAUGUCAGUUGGGCUCAUUUGUAUGUUAUUUAUGUGGUCAACCGGGUCAUAUUUAGAGGGACUGUCUAUCUGCUAGGAAGAAUGUUGGUGGUGCAAAGUCUUAGGCAAAUUCUUCGGCACCACCCCCGCCUCAAAAGGGCUCCACAUCAACUGCCGAGAGUGGUUGCCACUAGUUAUAUGCUUUGACCAACUGCCAGGAGGCAGAAGUUUCCCUAGACGUUGUCACUGGUACAUUACAAAUCUUUUCUAGUGAUGUUUAUGUAUUACUUGAACCCAGGUCUACCCUAUCCUAUAUGACCCUUUAUGUGGUUGUUGGUUUUGGGUUUGAGCCCGAUAUGAUUUUUGAACCUUUCUCUAUUUCCACUCUGGUGGGUGAUUCUAUUGUGUCUAGGAGGGCGUAUAAAAAUUGUGUGGUAUCUAUUCUUAGCCAUGAUACUGUGGCAGAUCUCAUAAAACUCAAUAUAGUUGCUUUUGAUGCUAUCUUAGGGAUGGAUUGGCUCCAUUUGUGCUAUGCCACGUUAAAUUGUAGGACUCAAAAAGUCACUGUUUCUUUCCCAAAUGAGUCAGUGAUAGAAUCGGAGGGACAUUUCUUAGCACCUAGAGGGCACUUUAUAUCCUAUCUCAGGGCCCGCAGACUCAUUUCUAAGGGCUGUUUGUAUCACCUUAACCGGGUUAAGGACUUUAAUUUCGAGAGUCCUCCUCUUCAGUCUGUCCCUGUAGUAAAUGAAUUUCCAGAAGUCUUUCCAUAUGAUCUCCCAAGAAUACCACCUAAUUGGGAGAUAGAGUUUGGUAAUUAUGUGUUUUCAGAUACCUUCCCCAUCUCUAUUUUACCAUAUAGAAUGGCUCCUAUAGAACUAAAAGAGUUGAAAGAACAGCUAGCAGAUCUUCUAGGUAAAGAUUUUAUAUGCCCUAGUGUGUCUCUUUGGGGUGCGCCUGUACUUUUUGUGCGAAAGAAAGACGGUUCACUUCAUAUGUGCAUAGACUACCAUCAACUGAAUAAGGUCACGAUUAAAAAUAAGUAUCCUCUUCCUAGGAUUGAUGAUCUUUUUGACCAGCUUCAGGGUGCUAGAUGUUUUUCAAAGAUAGACCUUCGUUCGGGAUACCAUCAGUUGAAGGUUAGAGAGUGAGAUAUUCCCAAAAUAGCUUUUCAAACCAGAUACGGCCAUUAUGAUUUCUUAGUCAUGUCCUUCGGAUUGACUAAUGCCUCUGCAACUUUCAUGGACCUAAUAAAUAGGGUCUUCCGUCAGUUUUUGGAUCUGUUUGAGAUAGUAUUCAUUGAUGACAUUCUUAUAUAUUCAAAAAGUGAGGAGGACCAUGCCAAUCACCUCUGAAUUAUCCUUCAGACACUUAAAGAUCAUAGAUUGUAUGCAAAAUUCUCCAAGUGUGAAUUCUGGCUUAAUGCCAUUGCGUUCUUAGGUCAUAUUGUAUCUAGUGACGGUAUUCAGGUGGAUCCCCAAAAGGUUGAGGCAGUAAGAAAAUGGCCUUGACCCGCGACUCCAACUGACAUUUGGAGCUUCUUAGGUCUGGCAGGUUAUUAUAGAAGGUUCGUAGAGAGUUUUUCCUCUAUAGCUGCUCCGCUCACUAAAUUGACUCAGAAAAAGGUGAAGCUUGUGUGGCCUGACUUGUGUGAAAAUAGCUUUGAGAAGUUGAAAGACAAGCUGACUACUGCUCCUAUUUUGAUUCUUCCAGAGGGGGUAGAAGGUUUUGUGGUAUACUGUGAUGCGUCCCGUGUGGGACUUGGUUGUGUUCUGAUGCAGCAUGGUAAGGUGGUAGCUUAUGCGUCUAGGCAGUUAUAAAAUCAUGAGCAAAACUACCCCACUCAUGACUUGGAGUUAGCAGCUAUGGUGUUUGCACUUAGAAUUUGGAGGCAUUAUCUCUAUGGAGUGCAUGUUGAUAUUUAUACUAACCAUAAAAGUUUGUAGUAUGUUUUCUCACAGAAAGAAUUGCACCUCAGGCAGAGGCGUUGGAUGGAGCUUUUGAAAGACUAUAAUAUGAUCCUGCAUUACCAUCCGGGCAAGGCAAAUGUUGUAGCCGACGCUCUCAGCAGAUUGUCUAUGGGCAGCCUUUCUCAUGUUGAAGAGGGGAAGAGAGAGACGAUGAAGGAUAUUCACCGUCUUGCAAAUCCGGGAGUGCUACUAUUAGAUUUCAAAGAUGGAGGGGUGAUUAUUAAUGAGAUAGCUAAAUCAUCCCUUUGUUCCGAAGUCAAAGAAAAACAGGUCAAAGAUCCCAUCUUGAUGCAGAUUAAGAGAGAUGUGGGUCAAUAAACAGUAAUGUCAUUUGAGAUUGGUGGCGAUGGUAUUCUGAGAUAUCAGGGUAAAUUAUGUGUGCCUGAUGUAGAUAGGUUACGGGAAAAAAUCCUUAGCGAGGCUCACACGUCGAGGUAUGUUGUUCACCCAGGCUCUACAAAAAUGUAUCAUGAUUUGAAAACCUUUUAUUGGUAGAAUAAUAUAAAGCGUGAUGUGGAUAAAUAUGUUGCCAAGUGUUUAAAUUGUCAGCAAGUCAAGGUGGAACACAUGAGGCCGGGUGGUACUUCUCAAGAGAUAGCAUUGCCUUUAUAGAAGUGGGAGAUGAUCAAUAUGGACUUCGUUACAGGACUUCCGAAGUCCCGAAACCAGCAUGAUUCUAUAUGGGUAAUUGUAGAUAGGCUUACCAAGUUAGCGCACUUUCUUCCUGUUAGGAGUAACUAUUCGGGAGAGGAUUAUGCUAGGUUGUUCAUCGCUGAAAUAGUUCGUUUGCAUAGGGCACCUGUGUCUAUCAUAUCCGACCGAGGUACACAGUUUUCUUCUCAGUUUCGGAAAUCUUUUCAGAAAGGUUUAGGUACCCAAGUGAACCUAAGUACAACAUUCCACCCUCAGACUGAUGGGCAAGAUGAGCGCACCAUCCAGACCCUUGAGGAUAUGUUGAGAGCCUGUGUAAUUGACUUUAACGGUAGUUGGGUAGAUCACUUUCCAUUGAUAGAGUUCGCUUAUAAUAACAAUUUCCAUUCCAGUAUUAAGAUGGCACCAUUUGAGGCGCUGUAUGGUAGGAGAUGUACGUCUCCGAUAGGGUGGUAUGAAGUAGGUGAGAUGCAGAUGUUUGGGCCUGAUCUUGUUCACUAGGCAAUGAAAGAUGUGAAGCUUAUUAGAGAAUGACUUAAAAUAGCUCAGAGUCAUCAGAUAUCCUACCCCGAUGUUAGGAGGAGAGAGUUAGAGUUUAAGGUUAGAGAUUGGGUAUUUCUUAAGGUUUCUCCCAUGAAGGGAGUUAUGCGACUCGGGAAGAAGGGUAAGCUGAGUCCUCGCUAUAUAGGACCAUACCAGAUUGUGAGAAGAAUAGGUGGAGUUACGUAUGAAUUAGAGUUUCCUGUAAGUUUGGGUUCUGUCCAUCCGGUAUUUCAUAUAUCCAUGCUGAAGAAGUGCAUUGGAGAUCAUUCGUUAGUAGUACCCGUCGAAGAAAUCAAGGUGACAGACUCCUUGUCCUACAAAGAAGAGCCGGUAGCAAUUUUAGAUUGCCAAGUUAGAAAGUUGAGAAGAAAAGAUUGUUUCGAUUAAAGUGUUAUGGAGAAAUCAGAAAGUCAAAGAAGCAACUUGGGAAUCAGAAGAUAAUAUGAGAGAUAGAUGCACAAAUUUAUUUGAUCCGGUGAAUGAAGUGAUGGAAGGUACAAUCUUUGUCCUUUUCUUUCCAUGCCUUUGUCUGCUUGAAAUCGUGCUUGUCUGUUUUCCGCAUCAUUAUUCGGGGACGAAUGAUCCUAAGGGGGAUAUUGUAACACCCGGACGUCUUCUUAGCUAAAUUCCUUCAUGGAAAGUCUAAGCAUUAGCUUCUAGAAUGAUCUAAAUUAAUUUUCAUGUAGAAUUUCCUACAUUUAAACCUUUCAUUAUGUAGAUGACUGAAUUAACUUUCCAACGAUAUAAGAUUCAUCCAAAACGGAUCCUCGGUGAAGAAGUUAUGAAUAAUUUAUAGUUCCAGUCGUAAACAUAGUCAUUUUGGUGUCUAGCGCGUCGCGGAGAGGGUCAAAUUGACAAUCAUCAAAUUUCAGUGGGGCUCCGCGAUGGUGGUGCAUUGCGGAGGCACCAAAUUUUCCACUCGUCAAAUUCCAGUGGACCACCGCGAUUGCAGCGCGUCGCGGUGGCACCCGAAAUCGGUUUUUUUAAGUUCAAAUUUUCAGUUCCAUUUAGGAGUCAUUAACGGUAAUUUUGACUUUUCCCUAACCUUUAAAACCGCCCAAACAAAGGAUUUAGGGUAUGUUUGAGCAACUUAACCCUAUUUUCAUCAAAAUCAUCAAGAAUCCUCUCUAGGGUUCCAAAAAUAAAAAACCAAGUAGUUCAAGAUUCAACGGUAGGUUUUCGAAGUUGAUCGCAUAUUUGGAAUCCCCAGGUCAUAGGCUUCAAUAAGCACCUAUUGUCUUCCUAAUUCGAGGUACGCGGGGUUUUCCUAAAAUCUCAUGGGCAUAGAAAUCAUGUUUUAAGAAUGGAGUUUUGAAGUUUAUGAAUAUAAUCAUGUCUUAGAAGUUUUGAUGGUAUUGUUUUGGUCUUUAGACCUUUCUCCCAAAUUGAUUUGCAAUUAUGUAUAUAUGUUUUGACUUAUUCUAAUCAACUUUCUGGUCCCAUUCCUAGUGAAUUGGGAAAAUGCAAUAAAUUGACUGAUUUGCAAAUAGCGAGAAACAGAAUUGGAGGUAGCAUACCACUAGAGAUUGGAAAUGUCAAAGGGCUUCUAGGACUUGAUCUUUCAUCGAAUCAUUUGAUCGGGCAGAUUCCAAAGGAAUUUGGAAAAUUAACCUCUCUGAUUAGGCUUUUGGUGCAAAACAACAGUAUUUCAGGCAAUAUACCUCGCGAAUUUGUAUCAUUGGCAAAAUUAGAGUACCUUGAUCUAUUUGAUAACAGAUUGAAUGGAUCGAUCCCGACAUGUAUAGGAGAUUUCGUGCACUUGUUUCGUGCAAUAGCAAAUUUGGCCAAAACAUUCCAACUGAGAUAGGGAGGAUGACUCAUUUUAAUGUACUUGAUUUGAGUCAUAAUCUUCUGGUUGGAGGUAUUCCCCCUCAGCUGGCAAAUUUGAAGGUGUUGGUAGACUUAAAUCUUUCCCACAACGGCCUGUCCGGGCACAUUCCCGAAGAAGUUGAAAGUAUGACUGGUUUGCAGGUUGUUUUUCUGUCAUACAAUGAGUUGGAAGGUCCAAUCCCUGAAUCAUUUGAUCGGGCAGAUUCCAAAGGAAUUUGGAAAAUUAACCUCUCUGAUUAGGCUUUUGGUGCAAAACAACAGUAUUUCAGGCAAUAUACCUCGCGAAUUUGUAUCAUUGGCAAAAUUAGAGUACCUUGAUCUAUUUGAUAACAGAUUGAAUGGAUCGAUCCCGACAUGUAUAGGAGAUUUCGUGCACUUGUUUCGUGCAAUAGCAAAUUUGGCCAAAACAUUCCAACUGAGAUAGGGAGGAUGACUCUGCUUAAUGUACUUGAUUUGAGUCAUAAUCUUCUGGUUGGAGAUAUUCCCCCUCAGCUGGCAAAUUUGAAGGUGUUGGUAGACUUAAAUCUUUCCCACAAUGGCCUGUCCGGGCACAUUCCUGAAGAACUUGAAAGUAUGACUGGUUUACAGGAUGUUUUUCUGUCAUACAAUGAGUUGGAAGGUCCAAUCCUUUUUUUCAAACACACUUAAAUAUUCUUAAUCUGAUUUACGCAUUUAAAUCGUGUUGUAACAGAGCUUGCAUAUACAAUGAAGGUUACACAAAUGUGUGAUGUCUAUAGCUUUGGAGUAUUAGCAUUGGAGAUAAUCAAAAAGCAUCUUGGUGAGUACAUUACUGUGCUAGCAAAUUCAUCUAGUAUGGAUCAUCAUGUGCAACUUAGUGAUUUUCUAGAUGAACGCCUUCUGUAUCCUGAAGAUAGAGUAAAUGAACUUUUGGUUUUUAUCAUCAAGCUAGCAAGCUCUUGUUUGGUUGAAACUCCAAAAUCAAGGCCAACAAUGCAAUUCAUCUCUCAUAAGUUAUCAUCAAUGGAUGCUUAUGCCCACCCAUUAUUCCUGUAAGGCGAUCUUUCUAAUUCCGUAAAGUGUCUUUGAAUGAAAAUGUAUGUAUAGCUUUUGACCCACGACGAAAUUAUUACCGGGUCUAGUAUAUUUGUAUUGUUAGGGUGCUUGUGUGGUUUAUUGUAUUAGUGCGUACAAUUUUGAAGGUAAUUGUUCCUUGUGCCAAAAAGUAAACAAAAAAACAAGCUUCAUGUUUUCUAAGUACUGAUGUUAUAUAGAGGAUUUACUAGUCUACAUCGUUUAGUAAUUUGAAGGUGAGCCUUGGAGUAACUGGUAAAGUUGUUGCCAUGUGACCAGGAGGUCACCGGUUCAAGCCUUGGAAAUAGCCUCUGGCAGAAAUGCAAGGUAAGGCUGCGUACGAUACACCCUUAUGGUAGGGCCCUUCCCAGACAUAGCGCAUAGCGGUAGCUUUAGUGCACCAGGCUGGCCCUUUUUUUUUUUUAUAAUCAAAAGAAAGCAUCACAGGGAAUAUAUUACUUUGCUAGCGAAUUCCUCAACCGUAGAUCAACCAUGUGCAGUUCAGUGAUUUGCUGGAUGAACACCUUCCUUAUCCUGUAGACGGAGUAAAACAAGUCUUGGUUUUCAAUUUUCAUCAUCAAGCUAGCAAGCUCUUCCGGGAGUCCAUCAGAAACAUCCUCUCUACUUCUUUGGAGGUAGCGGUAUGGACUGCGUACAUCUUACCCUCUCCAGACCCCACUUUGUGGGAAUACACUGGGUUUGUUGUUGUUGUUUUUGUUAAGCUAGCAAGCUCUUGUUUGAUUGGAACUCCAAAAUCGAGGCCAACAAUGCACUUCAUCUCUCACAGGUCAUCGAACUUCAAUGGAUCCACGUCCAUCUACUCAUGUAAAAUGAGCUUUGUAAUCUCUGAGAUGUAAGGUGUCUUUGUAUGAAAUGAAUAACCAUUGAAAGUUUGAAACCAAGUGGUUGUGUAGGUAAUACAAUGAGAAGGUCUAAGAUAAAAAUUAUUACUCAGACUAGGAAUUUAUGUGAAUAUGCCUUUCAGGUACUUUAACUACUUAAGAAAAUAAGACAUUUAACUACUAGUUUUGCUCAAGCAAGUUUUUGCCACGACCCGAACCGGGGCCCUAGCCGUGAUGAGCAUCCCAAACCAUGAAGGCCCAGUAUGCACAAUUCUUAUAUAAAAUAAUGCAGAAAUAUAAUCAUUACGGAAUCCUGGUCAUGUUCUGGGUCAAGUUUAUCAAUACGAAAGAAAACCCAUCAACAUCUAAACAACAUCUGUUUCUGUUUCCGAAAUCUCUAAUACAUACGAAAUAAGCAAAUUGUCUGAAACUGGGACAAGGCCCCCAGUGGACCUAAACCAAAGUAAAUGAUAAAUGUCUGAAAAGAAACAGGGCUUCCGGAAUAAAGAAGGCUCACCAACUGCACACUUCUGUAUGAUAAUUCUACGGCUUAGCAGGACCUCUAGAUUGAGCCUCAGACCCUGAAAUAUAGGGGGGAUCAAUAAAAUUGUACUAGUAUGUGAAGCAACUCAAAAUAACAUGUUUUUAUACAAAAUAGAUGAGAGCAUUUCACAAUAAUAAUAAACAUUAUAUAAGUGGAAAUACAUGGGCAUAUUUAACAAAUUUAAAGUUCAAUUCUUGACAAUCUUAACUCACUUUUUGUCAUUAUUUUGAGCUAAUCGGUACACCCUACAAUUUGUAAUUCCAUGGGCUAUAUGGAAUCCAUCAUUUACUCGACGGCCAAGCCUCCAAUACAAGUGUGCCACAAGAAUUGGAGUUUUAGUAACAUGGUAUACCCCUUACAAGUAUACUGUGGUGUCACCCUUGCAUGAUGUCCACAUUAUCCCCCUUAUAGGAUAAUACCCGUAUCAGCAACUACGGUUUCCAAUGAUGAGCCCUUACACUCAAACGCCUUCUUCGGAUAACCAAUUAGCUCUCUUAAGCCCAAAUUUUAAUUAUUCAAAAUCUGGCAUCACCCUUGGAUGCUUCGUGUUUUCAAACGUUCAAUACUUUUUCUAUUAAGGGCAUGUCAUCAUCGGGUAUCGUCAUACCCUGACUUGCAAGUCAAUAUCAUAUCAAAUUCACAGCCCAUAUUAUAUUCAAAACAUGCACAUGACCACCAAUGAAAUUCAUAACAUUACAAUAGAGUCAUCACUUGGAAACCUCAAGAACAUUUAAGCAUUUAUCCUCUCUUGGCAAGAUUUCAAAACAUGUGGUGGUCAUGUAAAAUUGAUCAAUCUCAUGUGAUUCUCCCCCCUUUAAAACAAGAAUAUAGUUAUAGCAAGAAACUCCCUCUCAUCACAUAUAAACCAUGUCAAACACCAUAAUAUUGAGAAGAUCACUUUCAAAUCUUCAAACAUGUGUUUCAAUUCCUUCACAAUGAACAUAUAAACUUUAGUUAGCAACGAGAGGGGAUUCAUACUCAUGCUCUCAAUCAAUUUUACAAAAUACACAAAAUCCCAUACAUAUAUAGUUAUAAUUCAAUUUCCAUGAAAAGUGGUUCAAGACAAUAUAUAUUUUCAUCAAAACAAUCCCAUGAUGCAUACCUUCCGAAAACCAUGUAGAAUACUUCAUUAAAAACAUAAUUGGGGAUCUUUAAUCUUGAUAAACAUAUUUAAACUUAUGCCCAAGGUUUUUAGAGUAGUCCCACACACCUUAGAUUAUCAGAUCUGAAAGAUUGAACCCGAAUGUCUAUAUAUUUCCUUCAAAACUUGGCUUAAGAGUUAGGGAUUUUUUUCUUGUUCUUGGGGAAAUGGAGGAUGAUUUUUGAUUUGGGGAGAAUAUGAAUUUGGGGAAAGUGCAGAUUUGGGGCUAAAAUUUGGUGUUAUAGCUGAGGUAAGAUGAGGAAAAAGACUAAAAUACCCCUAAGGAAACAAAAAAGGUCCCAGCAGUACUCCCUCAAUUGACAGGCUGACAUGCUGAAGUAAGUUGGGCAUAACUUUUGACUUCGAUAUUGGACUUGGACGAAAUCAGUUGAGUUGGAAAGAAGACUCAAAUACCUUUCAUUUGACAUAUAUAAGGCCCCACAGUUCGUUAUAUACACAAAUUUAUGGUCGACGAAAGUUGACCCAAGUUGAACUGUCCACUAAAACUUAAUCGAUAGAAUUGUUUUCAACUCGUCUUAGAGUUACGGGAUUCUUGUGACCUCAAUUCAUAUUCAAAGAUUUUCCCACACUAUCGGAGUGAUCACCACACAUACAUUAACAAGGAAUAAUUUAGUUCAUGUGUAUACGUGUUGGAAUGAUGGUCUAAAUUUUAGCCCAAAAGUACGGGGUGUUACAUUAAAAAAGAAAAAGUUUGUUGUUGAAAAUGGUGGUUUGAAGUACUUUUUCAUGGGAGAAGUUUUUGUGAAGAAGAAAAAGAUAAGAAAUAAGGAAAGUACAAGAGUGUGUUACUGAUGGUUUGUGUUGUUUUCAGGAGAAAUUUAUAGCAAGAUGAAAAGUGUAUUUUUUUUUGUUCCCAUCCGUUGUGUUGUCUGGUGUUCACAUUGGAGCUCCAACUAAUCCGAAUUGAGCGUUGUAGGGCCCAUUAAGGUGGUAGCGCUUCCAAUAGAGUUUUCUUCAUACCCAGGAUCGAGCCCUCGACCUCUGAUGAAAAGUGUACUAAUAUCCAUUGGGAAGGUAACUUCUUAAGGUUUUUUUUUUAAUAAUUGAAUUUUUUCAUUCCAAAGAAAAUCUUUUUUUCCCCUCAAUUACCACCAUAAAAGUAUUAUACAAUAUAUAGUUUUCUAUGAAGUCAAGUAAUGUUUCUAGUUACCCUCCACACCCUUCUAUCUAAGGUCACGUUCUCAGUAAUCUGAAGCUACGUAAUAUCAUGUCUAAUCACCUCUCCUCAAUAUUGUUGCUAUAUAUUUGUUAGAAAUUUUGCACCCAAUGAGCAAAUAGUGUUAAGCAUUUUCUUACAACAUACUCCCUCCGUCUCAAAUUACCCAUCCCAAAUUAAGAUGGCACAUUGAUUAAGAAAAAUAAUUAAUAACAUGACUAGUUUAUCAUAGUACCCCUAUUAAAUGAAUACCGCUAAGGAAACAAAAAGGUCACAGCACUCCCUCAGUUGACAGUCUGACAUGCUGAAGUAAAUUGGGCAUAACUUUUGACUCCAACAUCGGACUUGGACGAAAUCAAUUGCGUUGGAAAGAAGACUCAAAUACCUUUCAUUUGAUAUAUAGCCAGACCCCCAAUUAGUUAUAUACACAAAGUUAUGGUCGAUGAAAUUUGACCCAAGUUGAAGUGUCCACUAAUAACAUGGCUAGUUUAUCAUAGUACCCCUAUUAAAUGAUGUUUACGUUUUAAAGAAAAAAUAAUUAAUGCAAAGGGUAAAACAUGGAAAAAAAUUAUCUCAGUAAAAUAUGAAGUCAAAUUAGAAAAUUUGGGACGGAGGGAGUAGUAAUUUUCCAUGAACAAAUAUAGUUAUACAACCAGCAUUUAUGUCUUAUCAACACUGCCAAACACUAACUGAUGUGAACUUAUCCUUGUAACCUAAGUUGAUCGGACUCUCCAAAUUUGUUGUUGCACCCAUGUCGGAUCCUUCAAAAAUUCAAUACUUUUGAAGGAUCCGACACGCACCCAUCAAAAUUUUCGAAGACUCCGAGCAGCAUAGCUUGUAACAGAUCAAGCAUUCGCACUAAAGCUUCCGCUAUGUGCAGGCCAAGCAGGUACUCGAUGUUCCAACAAAACAAGCAUAACAUGCAUCCAUAUGUCUAUAAAUAUAGCAAUCCAUAAUCAAAAUACUACAAAGAUGACCAAGAGAUGAACCAUAAAUACCUAACUGUUCCUACUACAGCUAGAUAUCUUCCCAGAACAAACCAAGUCUAGUACAAGAACUUUUUGCCAAGGGAGCUCGGAUUCUGGUGCAAAAACUCGACCGCUCAUUUCACAACUUGCUAGUUUACUCGGAAGCAACAUUAUUUUGACCCUCAUUCAUGCUUCUUUUUCUCUUUUGCGUCGAAUUAGAGGAGCCUUUCACAUGCACUUCCUUUUCCUGUCCACGGCGUUUUGAAGCACGAGCAAUUUCAUUUAACGUCAUAUCAUCAUCACUGUCGCUCAUCAUACGAAGAGACAUAGUUUCUGGUUUGUCUGCGAGAAAAUAUAUGAAACAUAUUAAGUUAGCUCCUUUUAAAUUGACGUACGAAACUCAUCUUCCCAAUAAAAGUGUGAUAUCCUCCAAUAUAAGUCACACAACAACAACAACGUACCAAGUAUAAUCCCAAAAGCGAGACCUGAGACGGGCAGGGUAGGAUGUAUGAAAACUUUACCUAUACCAUUACGGGGUAGAGAGGCUGUUUAAGAUAGUCCCUCGGCUCAAAAGAACGAAAAAUGAAUCAUGUUUGCAUGAAAACAUGACAAUAUCCUACUAAAAGGGGAAAACCAAGACAGACGAGAAAGGGAAAAAAUUAACUACAGCAAAGUGGCUAGAUCGACACAGCUAAAAAAGUGUAACAGUGGACGAAUUGGAAGUCUUGAGGAUACGAUGCAACUGUUUUUCGCAGUCGCUUUCUACUUGAGCGUCUAGUGUUUCAUUUUUUAUUUUUUCUAUGUGUGUUUGUGUGAUUGUGGUGGUGGUGUUUUUAGUAUAUAACGAAAAAUCGUCAGAAAACAUCAUACCUAUAACCGUUCAACAGAACAACAGUAACUACGCUAUACCUCAAUCCAAAGAGUUGAGGUCGGCUAUAUGAAUCCUAAUAAUAUAUGCACAUAAUAUAGACAGAUCAUAAUAACAACAAAGUCGUCUAAAUCACAAAACCGUUAUACCUUUGUGUAUUGAUUGACCACUGCUAUUUCCGGUUGAUGUGCCAACCAGUUUUGGAUCAUCAUAAAGCACAAUUGCCCGAUCUUCACCUUGAGAAGAUUCCACGCUGUUAACGCCAGUCACACCAGUAGCUUGAAGGCCUGUUUUCACCUCCAAAUCUAUAGCCAAUUUUCACGAAACACACACAUCACAAUAAAGAAUUUUCCUCGUUCAGAAUGAGAAAAUAUAACAUCUAACUCUUUGAACAACAAAAAAGGUAUGAGAACAGAAAAUAUAAGUCACACAACUGAUCAAAAUGUAUUCAUUUGCUUUUCGUAGCAUCAAUCAUCAUUUACCAAACUAUAUCCGACUCCAAAUUAGUUGAUUAAUUGAAUACCACAAAUAAUUAAAAAAGGUUUUACAAAUACAGUAAAAUCAAGAUCUACCAUUAACAUAACAAGUUGUAAAGAGGAAAAACUAAACAAAAAUAAUCGACGUAUAUUCACAUAAUGUCAAGAAUGAACCUUGGGUCUAACUCAACCACAAAAGCUAGCUCAAGAGAUGAGGAUUACCCAAGUCCAUAUAAGCAAACCACUAGUCCAUUCCCCAACCAAUGGGGCAAUUUUACCCACUCUAACACCCCCUUCAUGCCCAGGCCCAAUUGGCACUGGCACGUGGAUCGGGAGCCCAAAAUGGGAAUGGACCUGGCUCUGAUACCAUGUCAAGAAUGAACCUUGGGUAAUCCUCACCUCAUGAGAUAGCUUUUGAAGUUGAGUUAGGCCCAAGGUCCAUUCUUGACAUGGUAUCAAAGCCUUCUCUUGGCUGUCUUGUUUCAUAGAGUUCAUUUGUGGUUUCUUUCAGUCUUUUUGGAAAAUUUUGGUUUUUGUUGAUUGUUCCUCGACAAUUAACACCUUGUAUUUUGAUCUUGGUCAUUCUUUUUAAGUCAGUGUUUCUAGUUUUCAUAAAUAUGACUUCAUAUCAGUUUGAAUCAUUCGGUUUCACUGGAAAGAAUUUCUUGUCAUGUGAGUUUCAUUUUCAGUUAUUUGUCACUGGAAAAGAACUAUGGGGCCAUAUAGAUGGAGCCGAUCCUGCUCUUAUUGAUCCUACAAAGUUAGGUGAAUGGAAGAUUAAAGAUGCUCGGGUAAUGACAUGGCUUUUAAGGUGAAUUGACCCUCUUAUUGUUCUUAAUCUCAGGUCUUACAAGACAGCUAAAGCCAUGUGGGAUUAUUUACAAAGGGUUUACAAACAAGAUAAUAGUUUCCAACGCUGUCACUUAGAGUAUGAAAUUGCUAAUUACUCUCAAGAAGAUCUUUCUAUUCAGGAUUAUUUUUCUGGAUUUCAGAACUUAUGGGCUGAAUUUAUAGAUAUUGUUUAUGCCAAAAUACUGGAUGAAUCUCUUUCUGUAGUUCAACAAGUUCAUGAGCAAAGCAAGCGAGAUCAAUUUUUGAUGGAGUUACACUCUGAGUUUGAGACUGUUCACUCCCACUUGAUGAAUCGUGACCUGUCUCUCUCCUUGGAUGUCUGUUUAAGGGAAUUACUUCGGGAGGAGCAGUGUUUUGUCACACAAAAUGCUUUCAAUCAAGUUGAUGAUAUAGUUGUUACAUUUGCUGCCCAAGGUAAAGGAAAGGGUAGGGAUAUGACUAGAACUCAAUGCUAUAGUUGCAAGGGAUAUGGUCAUAUUGCUAGCAAUUGUGGCAGGAAGUUUUGUAAUUAUUGCAAACAAUAAGGACACAUUAUCAUAGAGUGUCUCACACGCCCUCAAAACCAUAAGGUUAAUGCUUUUCAAGCUGGGACAAAUGGUUUCACUACUGAGAACUCAUCUUUGGGACAAGUUCUUACUCCUGAAAUGGUAAGACAAAUGAUCAUGUCAGUUUUUUCAGCUUUAGGGCUACAAAGUAAUGAUCUUGCAUCUAAUAUUUAGCUUGUUGAUUCAGGAGCUUCCAAUCAUAUGACCAACUCAUCUAGUAUGCUAAAAAAUAAUCAUAAGUAUCAUGGUCCAUCGCAAAUUGAAGUUGCCAAUGGUAGUAGUUUACCCAUUACCAAGGUUGGGGAUAUUACUAAAACUUUCAAUAAUGUUUUUGUGUUACCAAAGCUCUCCACUAGUCUUAUUUCAGUUGGACAAUUGAUAGAUAACAAUUGUGAUGUGAAUUUGUCUCGUAAUGGUUGUCUUGUGCAGGAUCAGAUCUCAUAAAGUUGGACGACUGUUUCCUAUACACUUUUCCAUUCCUCGUGUUCUAUCAUUUGCUUGUACUUCUACACCUAGUAAGACUGAGGUAUGGCAUAAUAACAACUUCCUAACUAACUAAUGGGUUAUUUACUUAAUUAAUUCAACUACUUGGAUAAACAGUAGAAAAUAACUGCUAAGUAAUGCAUUCUCCUUUUCUUUAACACUUAGGACAUCCAAAUUCUAUUGUGUUAUCUCAUUUAUCGAAUUCGGGUUUAUUGGGGAACAAAAAUCUAUUUUUCACUGCUUCCUUUGAUUGUUCCACUUGUAAAUUAGGCAAGAGUAAAAUCUUCCUUUUUCUAAUUUUGGUAGUUGUGCUACAAAGUGCUUUGAUGUCCUUCAUAGUGAUGUUUGGGGUAUUUCACCAAUUGUUUCUCAUGCCCAUAUCAAGUACUUUGUGACAUUUAUAGAUGAUUAUAGUCGAUUUACGUGGGUAUAUUUUCUUCAUUCCAAAUCUGAGGUAUUUUCCAUAUUCAAGACAUUUUUGGCCUAUAUUGAGACUCAAUUUUCUACUUGCAUCAAAUUAUUGAGAUCUGAUUCUAGUGGAGAAUAUAUGUCUUAUGAGUUCAAAAAUUUUUUUCUUGAAAAAGGAAUUGUCUCAGAACGCUCUUGUCCAUAUACACCACAACAAAAUGGGGUUGUUGAACGUAAAAAUCGUCAUCUUUUAGAUGUCACUUGUACUUUAUUAAUUGAGUCCUCUGCUCCAUCUAAGUAUUGGGUGGAAGCUUUGUCUACUGCUGUUUACUCAAUUAAUAGACUACCAUCUUAAGUCUUAAAUCUUGAAUCUCCAUAUUUUCGUCUUUAUCACAAAAAUCCAAGUUAUGAUAAUUUUCAUACAUUUGGCUGUAUUUGUUUUGUGCAUCUUCCUCCUUCUCAGCGUAAUAAACUUUCCGCUCAGUCUACUAAAUGUGUUUUUAUAGGUUAUAGUACUUCACAGAAAGGCUUUCUCUGUUAUGAUCCAUGUUCUAAUAAAUUUCAUGUUUCUAGAAAUGUUGUUUUCUUUGAGAAUCAAUAUUUUUUUCCUACUCAUGUUGAGUCAUCUCCUGCUUCUCUUCUUCUUCCUACUUUUGAGAAUUUGCCAUCUUCUUCUAAGAGGUUGAAACCUGGAUUUGUGUACGAACGUCGUCCGCCAACUUUACCCCCUCCUGAUAUUGAUCUGCCACCUUAAACUGCUACACAACUAGAAUUGAGAAUUCUUCAAUGCCUGCUCCUCUUGAGCCCACUCGGCGAUCUACCAGAGUAUCUUGUCCUCCUAAUUGGUAUGGAUUUUCAUUAACUUUAUCUGCCAUUUUUGUUCCAACUUGUUACUCACAAGCUUCCAAGCAUGAAUGUUGGCAGAAAACAAUGGAGGAAGAACUUUUGGCUCUUAAAGAAAAUGACACAUGGGAUAUUGUUUCAUGUCCUUCAAAUGUCCAUCCAAUUGGAUGUAAAUGGGUUUAUUCAAUUAAACUUCAUUCUGAUGGAAGUCUUGAUUGGUACAAAGAUCGGUUGGUUGUUCUUGGUAACAAACAGGAGUAUGGUGUGAACUAUGAAGAGACUUUUGCACCGGUAGCAAAAAUGACGACGGUGCAAACUAUUAUUGCCAUUACUGCUUCACAAAACUGGACGCUUCAUCAAAUGGAUGUCAAGAAUGCUUUUCUUCAUGGUGAUCUCAAAGAGGAUAUUUAUAUGAAACCUCCACCAGGUUUGUUCUCAUUACCUACAUCAGAUGUAUGCAAGUUGAGGCGGUCUCUGUUUGGAUUAAAACAAGCUCCCAGAGCUUGGUUUGACAAAUUUCGGUCUACUUUUCUACAAUUCUCUUUUGAGCAAAGCAACUAUGACUCAUCUUUCUUUCUUUAGAAAAAAUCCAUAGGUUGUGUCCUUCUUUUGGUAUAUGUUGAUGACAUUAUUAUUACAGGAACUGAUUCUUCACUAAUUACUAGCGUGCAACAACAACUGAAGGAUUCUUUUCAUAUGAAAGAUCUUGAUACUCUUACAUAUUUCUUGGGUUUGGAAGUUCAUCGUGAUUCAUCCGGUGUGUUUCUAAAUCAACACAAAUAUACCCAAGAUUUGAUUUCUUUGGUAGGUCUUUAGGAUUCAUUCUCUGUGGAUACUCCAUUAGAAUUGAAUGUAAAGUAUCGCCGGGAGGAAGACGAUCUUCUUCCUGAUCCAACUAUAUAUCGGCAUUUAGUUGGGAGGUUAAAUUACCUUACUAUUAUUAGGCCUGAUAUCUCUUUUAUAGUUCAACAAGUUAGUCAGUUCAUGCAAGCUCCCCGUCAUCUUCAUUUGGUGGCUGUCCGUCGCAUCAUUCGAUACCUCUGAGGAACAUCUAAUCGUGGAUUAUUCUUUCCUAUUGGUUCACCUAUUCGUCUUAAUGCUUUUAGUGAUUCUAAUUGGGCGGGAUGUUUUGACACUCGUCGUUCGGUUAAUGGUUGGUGCAUGUUUCUUGGAGAGUCUUUGAUAUCUUGGAAGAGUAAUAAGCAAGACCGUAUGUCAAAAUCUUCAACAGAGGCUGAAUAUCGAGCAAUGUCUACUGCUUGCUCCGAGAUUGUGUGGCUUCGUGGACUACUUGCUAAGAUUGGAUUUCCAUAAUCUAAUCAUACUCAUCUCCAUGCUGACAAUACAAGUGCUAUUCAGAUUGCUACUAAUCCUAUUUAUCAUGAGCGGACCAAACACAUCAAAGUAGACUGUCAUUAUAUACAAGAAGCUGUAGAUAAAGGUGUCAUUACUCUUCCGUACGUGUCCGGUGAUCUUCAAAUAGCUGAUGCAUUUACAAAAUCAAUGGCACGACAACGACAUCAGUUUCUCGUCGGCAAAUUGAUGCUUCUUGAUCUCCAACAUCAAUUUGAGGGGGGAUGUUAGCAUGAUGUAAAUAUUGUAUAUUAAUGUAAUCAUAUAUUGUUGUAUAUUGGUGUAAUUAUAUAGAUUUGAUUUAGUAGUUAAAGAGAAUAAUAGUGACUUUAGUAAGAGCAGAUUUGGUGGGAUAAAAAAGCGAAUUUAGAGGGAUAGAAAAAUUGAUCUUUAGGGAUAGGAAGACGGAUCUUUAGGGAAUUAAUCAUUGAAUAUUUUCUGUUUAAUGACAAGACUCUCAAUAUUGAGAGGUAUUCAGCAGAAAAUUGACACAUAACAGCAAUACCUUCAUCAUUUUUUCUCUCCGUUUCCUUCAAAUCAGAAAUUCUACCUCUAAACUCGAUGAUUUUCUCCUCGUAGCGAGCCUCUUUAUCACUUUUUGCCUUCUUUAGCUUUUGAAUUCUGUCAAACAGCAUUUGUCUUUUUGUACUGCUUGUAGUCCUCUUCUAUUAUUUUACUGUACUUUUCGUCGAUACUUCUUUUUUCUUCCUCGAAACCUUUUUCGCAAUCCAUCAGAAUUUCUUGUGCAAAAGGGAAGUCUUUUUCUUCAACCAUUUGUUUUUCCUUCAUAAUUGCAAGUAAUUCUGGGAUCGAUGUCAUCUUCAAUGGAUAUCAAAGAUGUGAUGUAAGCGGUGUGAAGUGGAAAAUGACAAUAAUACAGGGAGCAUGAAAAUACAUCUAAGAACAAUAAUUAGUACUAUUUGAUCAAGAUUUCAAGAAUUUUUGAUACUUUUACAUUAAAGAUUAGUCAAACACCUCAGCUUUUAAAGUAAAACAUUAAAUGUACCUUUGAUUUCUGCAAAAGAAUGAAUGUAGUUGUAAUCCUUAAAAUGUACUUAGAUAACUUAAAUAGUAAUUAUAGGAUAUCCUUUUUUGCUCUUUCCAUAAUAAGAUAUCGAUUCAUUCCCUCAUACCUUUAUUACAUGGCAUCAGAGUUAUUGUCUGAGUUGGUAUUUUGUAUUAGCCGGAGGUCACUAUGACUUCACUGAGCACAUUUGAGUAGUUGUAGACUGCAGUUAGCAUUUAUAUGUUCUUUACGCGGACAUUAUAUGGUAAAAUCAUACUUGCGAUCAAUGGCAACUUGAACUUAGCACUUUAGCAGCAGUUGUAUUAUGUUGCUGUAUAUGGAAAAGUCGUGCGUAAGAGUUGUAUCACUGCAUAUUAUAUCAAUGUUGAUAGCUACUCUUCUUAAAUACAGUAGUUAUGUUUCAUUUCUUUUUGUAACUAUAUUACAUUUCAUAAUAAAGUGUAAAUAUUUGUCGCGUCGCAUGGUUUUUCCUACAAAUAACUUAACUAUAGUAAAGCGACAGAAAGUUGAGAUGACAAAUAUUCAAAGUUCAUAUGAAAAUAUUUCCUAUAUAUUGAUUAGUUUGAGGCAGACACAAGAUGCAAACUAAGUGUUUUCAACGAGUAGUUUUCCCUGGUUGUUCCUUUUAUGGACUGUUGUUUAGUAAAUAAUAUAUUAUGGUCCAUUGAAAAAUGUUCCACAUUAGUACUACAAAGUAUUUGUGUGGGUGUUUAUAGCCUUGCGCUAUCCCACCUUAAUAGCUAUCUUUUGAAAUGUGGUUCUCCUAAGGUUGUAAUAGUGAUAUCAAAGCCAUCCAUUACCUUCCUUGCCCACCGUUCCUGGGAUGGUGACGCAGGUAUGGCAGUAUUUGUUCGGUGCUAGUAAUGUCUAGUGCACAACCAUCGUGGCACCUGACUCAACAAGAGAAAUCUAGGAAAGAGCUACCUACAAAAGUAGAGAGUGGAGCCAUCGAGGACGAAGGAUUCGAAGCGUGAUGGUUUGUUAUGAUCGUAGCAAAAAGUCCCACAUUUGUACUACAAAGUAUUUGUGUGGGGGUUUUAUAGUCUUGGGUUCUCCCACCUUAAUAGCUAGCUUUUGGAGGCGUAGUUUUCUUAAGGUUGUAAUAUUGGUAUUAGAGCCACCCAUCACACUCCGUCGCGGGAGCUGUGCACCUGACUUGGAAAGGGCUACUUAGGAAAGAGCUAUCUAGAAAAGUAAGUGAAAGCUACCCACUUGAAAAGGGCCUUCCAUGCCCACCAUGCCUGGGAUGGUGACGUUGAUAUGACAGUGUUCGGCCGGGGAAAGUAAUGUAUAGUGCACAAUCGUCGCAACAUCUGUGCACCUGACUCGAAACCUGAGACGAUGAAACCAUCCGAUCAAACGAUGAGACGUCUUGAAUUUAGUCAAAAAAACAUCAAGUACAAGGGCAGGCUUUCUCUCUUCCCAAACCACACGCGUCUUUUCCUUUCAUUACCCAAAAUGCACAAAGAAACCAUCCAUCUUUCACUCUCUCUCCAUCUUCCUCAUCUACUCUAUACCCAAAAUCAAAACCACAAUCCACCAUAUCUUACCAUCCGCCUGCACUACAAGGAUUCAUCCUAUUUUCAGCCUUUCCAAUCCGCUACUUCAAUAAAUCAACGAAAAUCAGUUCCCAAUCGGUGAUACAACGAAAUUAGAUUUCAAAUCCAUGUUAAAGACACAAAAAUCGUCCAAAAUCGUGAAGUGAGUUGUCUUUUUCAACUUUUUGAAUUUCAAAUACAUCCCUUUGAUUUGGCCGUUGGUUUCCUUGAAUUUUGGUUUCAAAUUCGGACUUUCAAGUCCGGAUUUGCAUAUAAAUACCUACGGUUUUACCUAUUUCGAAGGGGGGGCGGGGGGGGGGGGGGGGGGGAGAGAAGUUUUUUAGAAGGAGAGACAGAGGGGGAACACUCGAAAAUUGGGGAAUAUUCACACAAAUUCACAAACAAAGUCACAAAAUCAGAAGUUUUGUUUCUUCUUUUCGGUCUAGGUUCGGGCUCCCGGAGUUUGAGUUGGAUAGCUGGAAAAUCUUGGCAUCGAAGCCCCAUCUUGCUGCCCCAUAAAAGUUUCAACGGAAACUCGGUUUUGACCCAAAGUUUGGGUCGAUGGGUAUAGGAUCACAGAGUUCGGGGUCUAAAUUGCUAGGAGCCAAUUUGCUUCCAUAGGAAUUGAUAGUAUCCCAUCCUUUACCUUUCUCAUGACUUUCUUAUUCACGUUUGUUUCAUUAACUUUGUGUCAUUUUGAUAAUUUAUUUUAUAUGUCUUUGAUUGAAACCGAUAUCACUUAACUUUGUUUAGUUUUGUUCGAACUUUAAACCACCUAGAAUUGAUUUUAUUCGGUCAUUUUUUAUUCGUCAUUCAUAAAUAUAAUAACGGUAUAUAGUUCAACCACUUAUUUUUAUAAUUUUGCACCUACGAAUCUACCUUUAUAAUAAAUGGCAAACUCUGCUUUUUAUAAUUACAAUAUGGAAUACAUCUCUGAUUGAACAAAACAACUGGUUAUUAUUUUCGAUUUGCAAAAUAUUAAUUAACGGUUUUGUCACCUUAUCCAGAGUAUUGUUUUCCAAAUGAAUCAACAUAAGUAUUAAAUAGGUUUCAUUUAUUCCAUCCGCCAUGUUUGCAAGUAAAUAAUCCACCAACAUCGAUUUUUUCAUUCAACGCUGUAUAAUUUAAACACCUACUACAGGUCAUAUCUGCUUCUCAACUCUAUUUCAAAUUUUCAGAUUUUAAAGGCUUUCUGAACACAAGAUAUAUAUAUAUGUUAUACACUACCACAUACAAGGUAUAUUUUACUACUAUCAUUAUAAUUGCUAUUACUAUAAUAUUACCACUUACAUUAUUAUUAUCAUUGUUAUUAUUUUCACUUUAUUAUACCUAUGUAGGCUACUAUCACAUUUAUGUUUACCUUAGUUCAAUUUAAAUCUAUUCGGGUUGCACAAGCGAAAAGAAUUUUAUACCUUUUCAUACAUUUCUAAAUCCUCAUGCAUUUAUAUUUAUUUUAAAUAAAUUUUUUCACACUUCAAAAGUAUACUUUAUUUACCUUGUAAUGAAUUUUAUUCACGUAUUUAACUUUGCAAAGUCAUAAGAUCUUAUACUCGCUACUUUACAUAUUAUAACAACAGAAGCUACUACUCUCUCUCAUAAUUUUUCAAAAUAUUCAUUUAUUUAUAACUAUAUUAUUUCGUUGUAUGUGAUAGUGUUACAUCUUUAUGUGCCUUGACUACUAUUUUUUAAAAUUUAUUUAUUUAUUUAUUUAUUUUUUAAAAAAUGAUGACGGUUUUCUUAUCAAUUUUAACAAAUAACUAAGGCAAAAUAUUCUCCAAAUAUUUCUAAAGCUAAGUUUAAGGACUAUCUUCGGAUAGGCUCUCUUAGUAGUUAGUUUUUGGGGUGUGGUUUUCUUAAGGUUGUAAUAGUGGUAUCAAAGCCACCUAUUACCCUCCGUGCCCACCCUUCCUGGGAUGGUGACUCUGGUAUGUUAGUGUUCGGCCAGGGCUAGUAAUGUCUAGCGUACAACCAUCAUAGCACCUAUGCACCUGACUCGAAAAGGGAUACAUAGGAAAGAGCUACCUAGAAAAGAAGAUAGCUGGCUUUUGGGGUGUGAUUUUCAUAAGGUUGUAAUGGUGGUAUCAGAGCCACCCAUCACCCUCCAUGCCCAUUGUGCCUGGGAUGGUGACGCCGGUAUGACAGUGUUCGGUCGGGGUUAGUAAUGUCUAGCGCACAAACGUCGCGGAAAUUGUGCACCUGACUCGAAAGAGCUACCUAGAAAAGUAGAGUGAAAUCUACAUGUCGAGGAUAAAGGAUGCGAAAUGUGGUGGUUUGUUAUGAUCCGUUGCAAAAAGUCCCACAUUUGUACUACAAAGUAUCUGUGUGCAGUAUUUAUAGCCUUGGGUUCUCCACCUUAAGAGAUGGCUUUUGGGGUGUGGUUCUCGUAAGGUUGUAAUAGUGGUAUCAGAGCCACCCAUCACCGUGCAUGGGUUGGUGACGCCGCUAUGGAAGUGUUCAGCGGGGGCUAGUAAUGUCUAGCACACAACCGUUAUGGCGCCUGGGCACCUGACUCAAAAAAGGCUAUCUACAAAAGUAGAGUGAAAACUACCCAGAGUGGAGCCGCCGAGUAGAGUGAAAACUACCCAAGAGUGGAGCCGUCGAGGAUGAAGGAUAUGGUUUGUUAUGACCCAUUGCAAGAAGUCCCACAUAGUUACUUGUCAGUAGUAACUGCAAACGUCUAGGUUGAACAAUAUAUGAACAAACAUUAGGUAGGCGUUUGGCCGUGAAAACAAAAAAUAAUUAACCUUAUUUGGAAUUUUCAGAGUUAGAGUUGUAUUACACAUUUACAAUUUAAGCAUAUUUUUUUCUUCUUUCUCGCGGUCGCUACUCAUUCGCUAUUUGUU
rnacentral:lncRNA from 1 species